CCAAUUGUAACUUUAUAUUGUAUAAAUAUAUUCUGCAGUAUAUGUCUCAAAUUGAUGAGGCUUUUCCCACAUUUAACAAAAGGAAAACUAAAUUAACACCAAAUUGCCCAAAAUUAAACCAUAUAUUAUACUAAAUUAAUUCACAACAGUUCGACAUCAAUCAAAUAUUAUCUCGCACUCGAAUUCACAAAACUCACUUUCCGGGUACAAAGUUUGUAGCAUAUGACCAUGCAUUGUUUGCAACAGGGUCAGCAAGGUGGUCAGCGAGGUUCUCCAAUGGUCCCUUUCCGGUAACAAUGGCUUGAACAAAGAAUCCAAACAUAGAGAACAUGGCUAGUCUACCGUUCUUGAGCUCCUUCACUUUCAGCUCAGCAAAUGCCUCUGGGUCAUCAGCCAGACCCAAUGGGUCGAAGCUACCACCAGGGUAAAGUGGGUCAACUACCUCACCAAGAGGUCCACCAGCAAUUCUGUAACCUUCAACUGCACCCAUCAAGAUCACUUGGGUAGCCCAGAUGGCUAAAAUGCUUUGUGCAUGGAUCAAACUUGGGUUCCCCAAGUAGUCAAGACCACCCUCACUAAAGAUCUGGGAUCCAGCCUUGAACCAUACAGCCUCACCAAACUUGACACCAUUACGCGCCAAGAGUUCGGGGAAGACGCACCCAAGAGCUCCGAGCAUGGCCCAUCUGCUGUGGAUGACCUCAAGCUCACGGUUCUUGGCGAAUGUUUCAGGAUCAGCAGAGAGCCCAGCAGUGUCCCAACCGUAGUCACCGGGGAACUCACCGGUCAGGUAAGAUGGGGCUUCGCCGGAGAAUGGGCCAAGGUACUUAACACGGUCGGGGCCGUACCAUGGACUUCCUGAUGGUGCGACUUUCUUGACUGCUGUCUUCCUCAUGGAAACCCUUCCAUUUCCGGUGAUUUCUGAACCAGAUGGUGCUACUUUCACCGCCUGUCCGACGAAAGAAGAGGAUAGUGCCAUGGUGGAAGCUGCCAUUUUUGUGAGAUUUGUUUUGAAGAUGUUUUGAUGAUAUGAUAGUAUUAUGAGUGAUGAAGAUGUGUGGAUCUGGAACAUAGAUUUAUAGGGUGGUUUUUGGGCCAAGUAGUUGAUAAAUGUUUAUCUUGAUGCAAUUUUUAACUUCAUUUUGAUUGGCUACCAAGAUUUUAGUUCUAUCAGUGGGUCCAUAAUCUGCGUGGUUCCACUAUUCGAGUUCUCUGGCCCACAUGAGAUAUUUGAAGGGGCAGCGAUAUUCAUGGCUCUGUCUUAUUAAGCGAAUAUAAUGGCUAGAAAUCUCAGCCACUAGCUACCAUGCACAAACCGGUUUUUUUUUUGAACCGGACCGCUUCAAAAAUCCGGUUCGGUUCUAGUCAAUUUAGUCAAAACCAGUUUGGUUCCAAACCGGUCCAGCUUCAAAAUAAUUCAAACGUAUGUAAACUCGUUAAAGAAAAAACCGGUUCAAAAAGGGUUCAAAACCAGUUUGACGGAAAAAAGGUUUUUUUCAAUUUUUAUUUUGUUUUUAGGCUAAUAACUGAAAAAUAGGAAUUUUUUUUUAUAAUAUUGCUUUUAUUGUGUUUAAAAAAAAAGUUUCACACUAGGUUUUUUGAAAAUGGAAGUGGAAUGAAUUGGGAAUUCAUAAGCCUUUUUUUUGGUAAUACACACGUACACACGUCCAUAUGCCAAAAGGUUUUUAUUAUUAUUUUUUUUAUUUCUUGUUUAAUCUUUUGAUGUAUUAAAUUUUUUUUUUGUUUCAGAUUUGAUGUUUUAUCUUUUUUUUUUUCAUUUUUUUUGUUUUUUAUAUUGGAAAUACAUAAUACAACUUCAAACAUAAAAACACAAAACAUCCAAAUUGUCAAACUAAUACAUCUUCAAAUAUAAAACAUUGAUGUCGUCGUAGUCUUCAUUCCAAGUCCGUAGUCAUUGUAUUUAUUCGUCAUCCGCCAUGUCGUUGCGUAAUUCUCUCUCAUACUCGAUCUCUUCUAGGGUGAGUGACACCGACAUUCCCAUCGCUACUUCUUCCUCAUGUACUCGUGCUUCGACAUGCAACGAUGUGCCUUCUAGUGCUUCGAUGUCUUGUAUCCUUUCCACGCCAUCAAGGUAGUAUUUCAAGCAAAUGCACACUUCCACCGACAAAUGGGUUAGUUUUGUUCUUCUUGGUGAUAUUACCCUGCCACUAACAGAAAAACCGAUUCCGANUUACCCUGCCACUAACAGAAAAAGCCGAUUCCGAAGCUACCAUAGAAGCUUGGGAGCUUAGUAGAUCACGGGCCAUAGCGGCUAGAAUUGGAAAUUAGGUUUCCUUUCCUUUCCACCAAACCAAAAUAUCAAAAUUUUCAAACUCUUGAAUACUCAUUUCACUACUAGAAAAAUAGCCUUUUACGACGCGCGAACAACGACACGCGCUGUUUUAUGAUACACAAUAGUGUGUGCCCUAAAAAUAAUGUCGGCUCUCCAAAAAUUAGAAGGAUUUAGGGUACGCAUUUUUGCGCGCCCUAAAAUAAGUGUUACAUUAAAAAAAAACACGGAGGGCACAUAACAUAAAACGCGCGUCCACUAAGUAUGUCGCUUUAUAUUUUUUAAAUGAAAUGCGGGUCACAUUUUUUAGGGAAAACGAAAUUCCAAAAAGUUUGAAAGGCCCGCCAUGUUCCUACCUUCUUUCCACCGUUCUUCUCUCCCUUACUCAAAAUACCCAAAAAAAACCCUAAUAUACUCAUCGCUCCUCUUUUCUCCCAUAACAAACUCGCACCAUCACCAAAUCUCUGAUCUCCCACCAGCAAAAGGUCUCCUACCGAUGUCUCCACCUACUCUCUGCCCUCUCACUAUUUCUCUCAAUUAAAAACGCUAGAUCUCUCAAUCAGAGAACCAUGGCUACUUCUCCUUUCUCCCACACCAGUUGGCAAAAAGUGAGGAGUCUCGAGCCUAGCAGUUGAUAUUCACAUGCCCUCUUAAAUUGAAGGAAUCAGAACAUUGUCGACAUCAAUUCGUUAAUCAUCACUAGAGAAAUCAGAUACGCCAUCUGGUUGAUGAGUCAAGAGAAAUCACAUAUGUCAUCGCUUCAGCAAUCAUCCCUCCUUUUAACCGUAAGUUUUCAAUCUUACACUUUACAAAUAUCAUAUAAACAUCUCUCUCUCUCUCUCUCUCUCUCUUUCUCUCUCCUGCUAUACCUUGAUGAAUUAUCGCAUACAUAUGGAGGAACUGCUUUCUAAAAGCCAGCUAUCGGGAGAGUCAACAGGGUCAAUUGGGUGUUCAAAAGGUGCUUCGAUAUCAUCUUCCCGCCAGCAAAUCUCUGUUAAAGUUGUCACAGAGUAAUCCAUUUGAGUUUGGGCAUAUAUUUUUUGUUAUUAAUUUAGGGGGAGACUGUGUUCCAUGAUUUUGGUCAUGCAUUUCUUCAGCACACGCUAACAAGACAAGAUGAAGGGCUUGUUGUUGGUAUUCGUGGCAUAGAGUGGAUGCUGUUGAGUUACCUUUCCAGUUCAUGGAAAAUUGGUGCUACCGUAGGUAGGUAUAUAUAUCUCCAAUUUCAAGAUGUUGUUCAACUGCUGCAGGAACGAGGUGAGGGUGGCUGAUGAGAAUUUGUGACAGGAACUAUCCGAUUGGGGAUUCCAGCUCAAGUGGGGCAGUUGGCGCAUCAGAUCCAGCAGAAUCAGAAGAUAAUGAGGCCUUUAUUGCAAUUCUCUUCUUUUGAAUAUGAAAAGAUGCACUUUUCAGUCCUAAUCUGGGAUGUGAAAAUGAAAGGAACCCCUGUUUAGCCAACAAAACAAAGUAAAAUUCAGUUACAACACUUACCCAAAUAUAGCAUUCUACCUUUAAUUUUUCUCAUCAAGACAAAAUUGAAUCAGUUAUGAAACCGACCACAUAAAAGGCUGUUUUUCUAGAGUUGCAAUGUUAGGAAUAAAAGUCACAAUGGUAUGUGGUCGGUUUCAUAACUGAUUCAAUUUUGAUGAGUAAACAGGUUAGAUUUCAUAUGGUUGUUUGUUCAGAUUGGUAUUCAUCCUGAUUUUCCUUCAAUUAUGCAACAACUAUGCUGGAAUUUGCUAUGUUCCAUACUCGGAUUUUGAAUUUAUCGGAAAAUUGAAUAAUUAAUCUGGAAAAAUACCAUCUUUGAAUGAUUUUUUUGUCAUCUGUAGAUAAGGAAUACCAUCUUUGGGUAAUUAGUUUAUCUAGUCUACAUGAUUAAAUUAAUGGACAUAUAAUUCUCUAUUGAUAGAACAAAAAACAUUGCUUUGUAGUGAAGAUAAGGAAUACCAUAUUUGGGUAAUUAGUUUAUCCAUACUCGGAUUAUGAAUUUAGCCCACCAUCAGCAGGGGAUUGCUGAGUUUUAUGUGACCAUAAUGCCCUUUCGGUUUGUAGUGAAGAUCCAAGCAUGUAAUUAAUAACACCUCUAAUUAAUUAAUUAAUUAAUCCCCUAAAACUAACUAUGGUUAAAUUAAACUGGUGGUAGGUGCCAGUGUACAUAGGGGCACAUAUGGUCAAAUAUGUUUUAAUUAUUAGUCUAAUAUCUUUUGAUACUUAUCAAUAACAACAAAAUAAUGUAAAAUCGUGUGAAUACAAUUCAAGGGUAUAAUGGUCUAGACAGAGAUUAUUUUUAUUAAAGAUAUUUAUUUAUUAAUCAUCAGAGAAGAAGGAAUUAAUAUGAAAGAAUCACUUACUGCAAAAUAAUCUUCAAAUGUAAAAUCAACAUAGCCUAAGCCCUGAUUUUUAUUUCACCACAGGUUGGCGAGCUGGCGGGAAUAGCUUUGGGAGCAACUGUCAUGCUUAAUAUUCUUAUAGUUGUGUACGUUAUGGUCAAAAUAGUUCAGCAAGAACCUCUGUUGAAAUGAUAUAGGCCACUAAUUAUUUAAAACUAUCACUGGCUCCUCAUUAUGGUCAAAAUAGUUGGUCUGUUAAAAAUUGUGACUAUGAGCAAUUUGCCACUUCUAAAUGGGUUCUUUGUAGUUUUCCUUUCUAUAAUUCAGGAAAUAGGAUCAUAUUUUACUCUUGCAGAAAUAGUUAUGGUCUGUGAGCAUUCUUCCAGAUUGUAAGAACGUAAUUUUCAACACAACAAAGGUGAAAUUAUAUCUAUGUUUUCUUGUGUAUUUAACUUCACAGGAGCUGAAACAUGAUCUAAUUUUUUUUAUCUAUUGGUUAUGUUGAAUAUGGAUAAAAGGUUGUGGCUCAGAAAAGUGUUGGUGAUGCUUCUACAUUUGUUGAGAGUGAAUUUUCACUGUCAAAUUCAAGUUGGAUUUGGUAUGUAGAAAAAGUGUGUGUUUAGAGUAAGGACUUUUUCCUUGUUGGACUGUAAUAGUAGACCAAUAUGAUUCGUUUUAUAAAACCCUUAGACAGAUCACAGUUGGUUCUGCAAUUGCAUGGUCAGGUAAACAUUCUAAACACAUUUUCAAUUUAUUUUGUGAUAUUUAAUUUCUCCCAUAUUCUUUUAAAUUAUAUUAUAAUAUGCUUAUAAACACUACUUUCCUUUCAUGUAGCCAAAAAAUUGUCCCAAAGUUGACUGAGGUACUUUGGACAAAAAUACAAUGUUAGCUUACAUCUUUAUUAGUUAAUAUAAUCAAAUUUCUAAUUUUAGGUGCUAACUGAUACGCGUCCGCAAGUUCAGUCUGCAUGGCAGACAACACUCCAGCAGGUUUGACUAUAUUCUUAUGGGUUGUGGCAUUCACAUUCCCAUAGUGAUCUUGAUAAAGUUGCUUCUAUUUCCAUGCUAAGUUGGCUUUUAUUUGUAAUAUAGGAGGUCCAAAAUCUUGCAAAGAAGGCUGCAGAAACUGUGGUGUUGGUAAUUGAUGAUGAAGGGACUGAGUAUUUGAUAUCAGAACUUCUCAAGUUGCUUCUAUUUCCAUGCUAAGUUGGAUUUUAUUUAUCUUACUGUUUAUUAUCAUUUUUUAUAUAAAAUUUCAUCAUUUAUAUUAUAUAUAUAGUACAUUAUAGACUUUGCAUCAUAAUUUGUUGAAUGUUACAAGAUAUAAUUCAAAAUUCAAUUUCCUCAUGUUGUUGCUGAAAUGACAGCAAUUGGUUUUGGCCUACCAAAGAAUGCAUUCACCGCUUUAAUGAAGAAUGUAAGUGUUUAUUUUUCUUUUCUGUUUGGUGAAAAUCAUCAAAUGACAAUCUCAUUAUAUAUCUUAGGAUCUUAUCAGUUAAUAAACUUGAUCGUGGGUAUGAUCAAGCAUAGGUUUACAUUUAUACCCCUGCUUUUAUCUUUUAUCUUUUAUGUUAUAUAAUUAUAUUCCCCCUUUUUUUAUCAGGUUAAUUUGGUGGUUAAUUAUGAUCUUCCUAUAAGACAUGAUCAUCAAUCUCACUACAAGAAAAAUACCCUUUUACGACGCGCAAAACACGACGCUCUUUGAUUUAUGUUACGCAUUAGAGAGCGACAUUAAAAAAGUGUCAUCUCUUAAAAAAUUUUAAGGAUUUAGGUCGCGCAUUACUGAGUGCCCUUAAAUUAGUGUCUCAUGUAAAAAUAUUAAAAACACGGAAGGCACUUGUGCGUCGUCUGUGAAUGUCGUUUUAUAUUUUUUUUUAAGAAACACGCGUCUCGGAGGGAAAAUGAAAUCCCCAAAUUUUUUAAACCCCCACCUUUUUCUCCCUCGUCUCCACCCCUCAUCCACAUCCACUACCUCCGAUCCUCAUUUCCUCUUCUAGCCUCAAACUACGGCGAUGCACCUUCCUUCUCGAAGAAUGCUUCAUUUACCACCAUCGUCCGAUUAUGUGAGCCCAAGGAAUUGACCAAGACGAAGAAGAUAAUGGAUCAAUUGCUUCACAUCAUGUUUAAGGUUAAGGGUUUGAGUUAGUCCGCAACAGGUAAUCGAAUUUUGCCUAAUAUAUAUUUCUACUCUCAAACUGUUUAUUCGUCCGAUUGGAUGCAUAUUUACUAUUAAAUUUGGGGAUUUUCUUUUAAAACCCCCGCGCCUCUUCUUGUUUGUAGCUAAACAACCGUGAAUUUGUUAGAGUGAUUGGAAGAGGAAAAAUAGAAGAUAGAAGAAAAAGAAGAAGAAGAAAAGCGAACAAACGGGAUUUCUUGACCUGAUGUGUUAAUCCGUGAUCAGGUCUUCUGAGCGAAGAGAAGAUCUGAGGCUCAAUUGAAGAAAUAUGAGCGCUUCUAGAUUUAUAAAGUGCAUCACAGUCGGUGAUGGCGCUGUCGGGAAGACUUGUCUCUUGAUUUCCUACACCCGUAACACCUUCCCCACGGUAAUCAUCUCUUCAUCAACCGCCUUCAGUUUCUGCCCAACUAAAGCACGGUUACACACUUAUUUCUCUUCGGACGUUUCUGUGGCUUCCAUGGGAACGGAGGAGGAUGAUAUAAAUGAGGCAACAACUUCAUUCGCUACAUGUUUGAACCUUAAAUUGAAGGGAUUAUAUAUUGAAAUUUGAAUCUACAACUUCGAAUUUCAGUCAUCUCUCUUCUCUUCUACAUCUCACCUGAUUCUCUAUUGAAAUUUCUAGGGUUUUUAAUUGAACCUACAUCUUCAUCUUAAUCUUCUUUUCUGAAGUUAGGGCUUUUUUCUUAAGAACAACUAAUUUUUUGCAGUAAGUAAACCUCUAAUUUUUUCAUUUCUCAUUUCCUUAGACCUCUCCCCUUUCCAUCUCAUAUCGAGGCAAAAUCAAUUUCACUUUGGUGGCUUCGAUUUCCUAGCACAUAUUAUGUUAUUAUAUGGAUUUGUAGGAAAUUAGAAAUCAUGUUAGAAUGUUUGAUGUUCUGUAUGUUCAUAAAAGUACAUCUAAAACAAAAAUCUUAGAUUAAACAAAACUGAAGCAUUUAAUGAGAUGUAAUUACUAACUUUUGUUGGAGAUGCAAAUGCUAAAUAAAGAAAACUGAAGCAUUAAAUGAGAACCUUUAUAAUUCGAUUUCAUUCAGAUCUUCGGUGGAUAUUUAGGGCUAACAAAGAAAACUGAAGCAUUUAAUGAGAUGUAAUUACUAACUUUCGUUCAAGGUAACCCCUGUUAUGAAUACAUGUAAGAAUUUAUUUAUCUUUUUCUCUCACCACUUGCUAUCCAUGUGCUGCUCUCUCAUAGUUGAUAUCUAACAACAAAGACCUGAUCAGUCUAGUUUGCUUGUUUUUUUUCUUUUUCUUAUAAUUCUUGAAUACGUGCAGAUUUUUUAAGACUUCUAGUUUUGUUUUUUGUUCAGUGAUAUUGAUGAUGAGGCAAGUUUAUCAACACUAUGGGAGAGAUAUCAAAGUGUCUCUGAAAAGGUAUUGCGAUAUCAAAGCAUAAAUUAUUUAUGGAUUAAAAUGGGAAAAUGACUUAUAUGGGUAAGAAAGUUUUAAAAACUUUUAAAAAUGACUAUCAAAGUAUUGUUUGUAUAAAAAACACCAACCAAGUUUACCAUUUUGUCAAAUCUAACAGGUUGGUAACCUGCAUCUGCCGGUCAAAAAAAAUUACCUGAUCAUUUUAAAAACUGAAAUUAUAAAUGACAUGGCAUCCUUUUUUAGUCUUACGUGGAUUAAUUGCAAGGGAAGAUCCAUUUUCUCAGCGUUCUUUCUCAAAAUCAGGAGGGAGUCAACACAGAACCCUCUCUAGGGUUAGUUUCUGCCCCUGUAUACAGUUAUUUUUGUUUAAAUUGACUGAUUUUAACAGUUGACGAAUAUGCUCCUGCUUUGGGCUAAUCACACAUAUGUCUUUUUUAUGACCAAAUUGCCCCUGUAUAUAGUUUUUUUUUGUUACAAUUGACUGAUUUUACCAGUCAAUUAAGGUGUUGUUUAGAAACUGUUAGUAUCCAAGACCAUUUACAUGCUCGUGCACAAAGACGAAUUUGCCCUUGAUUGUGACCAAACUGCCCCUGUAUACAUAUUUUUUAUUACUAAAAACACCCCCUGUCCUAGAAAAAUAUGACACUUCUAUACAAAAGCUAAUACCAAUUUCUCACUACAAAUCAACUAAUAAGAAAAGAAGUGGGCAACUCUCUAAAAUGACCAAAAUUUGAAUUGCAGUGUCACAAAUUGACAAUUUUUUAAAGCUAUAAUGAAAUAAUGCUUUGUUUUGUAAAAUAUACAAAAUCCGUUUGUUGUUGUGUGCAACUAAUCCACAAACAUUUACAUAAUUCUCGUUAGUGUACUUUGCAAAGUGGUGCUGAAGUAAUUUGGGCAACAAAAGUACAUAUAACUAUAUUAAUAUUCUCUAAAUAAUCAUAUAUAAUGAAAUAAUGGUUUGUUUUGUAAAAUAUACAACCCAUACUGUAUUUUUGAUAAAAAAAAAUAAUGAUUUUAAGAGAUUUUGUCCGAAAUACCCUUAUAUACUCUUUUUUUUGGUAAAAAAUUAAUGAUGUAAUAGUUUUUGACUAAAAUGCCCGUAUAUACUAUUUAACAGGUUUGACCCCAUCUGAAUUAUGAUUCAGCUUAAAAUUGAAUGCCAUUUUGACAAUUUUAUUGCUUUUAAGACUAUUUACUGCUGAAAAUAUGUCAAAUUUGUUACAUUUUGCUGCUAUAAAUAGUCAAAAAAUAACUAAAAGUCUACAAAGAUUCAAGGUAACAGUAAAUAAUACUGGCAUUUCCAGCAGCAAAUCUUCAAUUGCAGGGACUAAACUUUGUCAUUUUUAGCAGAAAACUUUAUCAACCAACAAAAAGAGGUUAAUAAAGAAUCUAAAUGGCAUUCCAUUGUAACAGCAUCAAAACACGACCUGCACUCAAAACCCUCCAAAAUAGCCCCUACACUCAAUUGUAACAGCCCCUCUGUUGUGAUUCCUUUAACUGUGACCAAAUUGCCCCUCUAUUGUGAUUCCUUUAGAUUCAAGGUAACAUUGUUUUAAGUGAAAAGAUCAUUUCAUAACUUGUUUACAUAAAUUCUUUCUUAGCUUGUUUACAUAAAUUCUUUUUCUGUCAAUUCCUUUCAAGACAAAAAGAAAGAAAGCAGGAACUUAUAGCCAUGCAAGUAAUUUCAUUAUUUUUCUCAUUAACGAUUGUACUUCCUUUGCUCUUUCUUGCAUAAUAAUAAACAGAUUUAAAGAGGAGUGGAGCCAUAUGACCACCUGAUGCCCCCAAAUCAAUUUAUUUGAGCUAGAUUUGAACGAUUUACAAGGAGAAGAAGAAAAUCAAUUGUCAAGAGGAGAGGAGAUGUAUGACCACCCACCUGAUGCCCUAAAUCGAUUUAUAAUAUGUAUUUUUCAUUUAAUGCUGAGUAGAUGUGCAACACACUACCUAAAUAUGCCAACUAAUCAUUACUUUUGCCAACUCAGCCGUUCACCUGGAGAUCCGGUUACCACCGGGUCAUAUUUGAACAAAAGAUAAACUUCGUUGGUAUUUUUUGUACGACGCCUAUAGUUAAAUGGUAUUUUUGAACAACUAAAACUUCAAUGGUUUUUUUUGAAUGUUUUUGAAACUUUCUUACCCUUAUAAGUCAUUUUCUCGAUUAAAAUUGAACUUUUUUCAUACAUUACCUAACAUUGACUUGUCUUAAUUUGCAGGCAGAAAUACAAAAGGCUUUUCAUAUAUUUCUUAAACAAUUUUUUGUAAUAUACAAGAAUUGGGAGCCAUUAGAUUUAGAUAAUUCCAUAGAACCUUUCAUUGAUUCAAGGGAUCCUCUUUCUGAAAAAAAGAUUGCAGUGGCAUCAGAAGGCAGUCAUAUCAGUGAUGGAAGCUGGUGGUCUUAAUUGGUUAGUAGGUAAGGUAUGCAUCUUCAGAUUUAAUUUCUAUUGAGAACUAAACACAUUUGAAUAUCUGAGAACUAAACACACUUGAAUAUUUAUAAAUGAUGCACACAUCCAAAGGGAUAAUAGCAAUGUUUCUAAUGGCGUCAAAUAGACCUGAUUGUGACCACUAAUGGUUCAUCAGGUUUGUUGAUUUUUAUUUUAUUUUAUUUGAAGUGCAUUAUCUGGUUUAAUAUGAAAUGAUUCAUGUUGAAAUUGGUUUCUUUUGUUACUCCAUAAUACUUGAUAUCUUAUUUUUUGCAUGCAGGUGCUAACAAAUAUGGUGUCAUUAUCAUUGUUGUUGUUGUUGUUGGAUACGGAUAUGUUUGGUGGAAGGUAAAUAUAAGCUCAUAUAUUAAUAUUAUUACUUUUUACAGUUAACUUGUACAUAGUUUUUCUUCAACUAACAGAAAUGGUAUCAUUAACAGGGUUGGAAACUUCCUGAUAUGAUGUUUGCUACAAAAUGAAGUUUAUCUGAUGCCACAUAUGCUUUAGCUAAAUAGAUUGACACUGUUUACUCAUCACUUGCAGUAAGUUAUUUAAAAACUUUGUUAUUUUUUUGUUAUUAAUUUGGGUUGUUUAUUAUGUUGUUUAGGCUACCAAGAGACAUUUAUCUACAAGGAUUGACCGUGUUGAUAGUAGUUUAGAUGAGGUUGCAGAAAUUACUGCUGCUAAAAAAGAGGAGGUAUGACAAGAUAAAGGUUGUUCUAGAUGUUUAAUCUAUACAUAAUGCGGUUUACACCCUGGUGUGGUUCUUUUCCAUUUUGUCUUGUGACUUUGAUAUUGUUUUCUGAGUUGGAUAUGUGGUAUGAUAAAUUAUUUUUACAUGAGAGUAGGCUGAGUAGGGUUGAAUUGAAAUAGGUACUGAAUAUUACCGUUUGACAUGCGAUUUUUUCUAGCUUAAUGAGAUAUUUAUAACAAAUAAUUUUGAAUUUUUGUUGUCUUUUGUAGGGAAAUCCAUCAAGUUCAUCAAGGCCAGCUCUUGAAUUACCAUAGAGAGUAAACUUCUAAUCUUAUACAAAUACAAUGAUUUGCUAAAUUCAAGAAAUAACAAUGCACUUUUAUUUAUUACUUUUAUUAAAACAUCCUAGUUUAAUUUCUAGCUUAAUGAGACAUUUAUUACUUUUAGCAGAGAUCGAUAUAUAUAUGAGCUUUUUGCUUUCAAACAUUGUUGGGGAAGAAUGUUGAAACUUGCUCUUUGUGAAGGUAAUUUUUUUUCUUAAUGCAUUAUCCUCUAUAUUCUUGAUAUUUUUCCCACUUUUUAAAUCUUUUAUCAAAUUCUCACUUUUGGAUACAGUGCUUGAUGAGAGAAUGUGUGACCUAAAUCUUUUAUCAAAUUCUCACUUUUGGAGUUGGCCAUAAGAAAAUGUAGGCAAAGGGUAAUUUGUUAUAGUUCAGGUUGACAAGGUGCUGUAUUUUUCACAUAAUUGACAAGGAGCUGUUGUAUCUAUUCAGACUAGACUUAGAGCAAUGGUUGCAAGAGAUGAGUUCAGCAGAAAAAGAAACAAGGCUGCAACUAUAGUUAAGGUACUAUGGAUGAAUUAUGUUUGUAAAGUAUUUAAGAAAAUGAUUAUAAACAAGGGUGAAUUUGUACAAAUUAGUUAGCUACUUGCANUGAGUAUUUGAUAUCAAAACUUCUCAAGUUGCUUCUAUUUCCAUGCUAAGUUGGCUUUUAUUUAUCUUACUGUUUAUUAUCAUUUUUUAUAUAAAACUUCAUCAUUUAUAUUAUAUAUAAUACAUUAUAGACUUUGCAUCAUAAUUUGUUCAAUGUUACAGGAUACAAUUCAAAAUUCAAUUUCCUCAUGUUGUUGCUGAAAUGACAGCAAUUGGUUUUGGCCUACCAAAGAAUGCAUUCACCGCUCUAAUGAAGAAUGUAAGUGUUUAUUUUUCUUUUCUGUUUGGUGAAAAUCAUCAAAUGAAAAUCUCAUUAUAUAUCUUAGGAUCUUAUCAGUUAAUGAACUUGAUCGUGGGUAUGAUCAAGCAUAGAUUUACAUUUCUACCCCUGUUUUUAUCUUUUAUCUUUUGUGUCAUAUAAUUAUAUUUCCCUUUUUUUAUCAGGUUAAUUUGGUGGUUAAUUAUGAUCUUCCUAUAAGACAUGAUCAUCAAUCUCAACCUGACCAUGAAGUGUAGUUGCACUGAAUCGGAAGAGCAGGGUGAUUAUGGGAGAUGUUAAGUAGUUAUAGGGCUUUAGAUGCUUUCCCUUUGGGUAGGAAAUGUUUUUAAGACAUGAUCAUCAUUCUCUACCCCUGCUUUCCCUCUGGUGUUUAUCUCCCAUAAAACCCUAAAAUGUGGAUGUGCUAAAACUGAAGAAAUUAGAAGACACAUACUGGAUUUUAGCAAGUCGGGUAAGUUUAAAAAUAUCUUAAUACGAUAUUGAUUAGAUUACACAACAUGUAAUGUAGAAAAUAUCAUGAAUAUUUAUGAUCAAUAUUCAACUUUUGAAAAUGUAUCCAGUUUGAUGUUUAUCUAUUUGACAUUUUUUUGAUAGAAAAUGAGAAUACCGGAGAAGAUGAACCACAAAUUUACAUUGAAAUGAUCAAUGGAAUUAUCAAAUCCCUUCAGGUAUCAUCUCAUAUCACUUGCUUAUGAAAUUUAUUCAUCUAUACUUGAAAAGAUAUAUUUAUUUUUGUGUUGUUUCCAGGCUAUCCUUGAUGCAGUUCUCAGCACAACAAUUAUGAUUUUAUGAUGUUAGGCUAAACUAUAAAGCAAUCAUUCUUUGUUUUAGGAAACGUUUCAGAGCUUCUUUAGGCAGCUUAAUGAUGAGUUAUUGAAACAAAAUGGUGCCCCUUUAUAGCAAUGUAGUAUUAGGUUAUAUAGAUAGGAAAAACCUCUUAAUAACAACGUACAAUUAGAUCCCCUUAAUAUCAAUGUAUUACAAUUUUAUGACAUGAUGUUAUUGAAUGAAAUUGAUUGUGUAAUGGAUUGUAUUUUUUGUAUAUGGUAUUUUAUUUUCUAUUAUGAGACAUGAAAUGCAAAUUUAAUUUGAAAAUUAGUAAAUCUAUAAAUAAUUUUUAAAAAAAAUAAAAUAAAAAUUAUGAUACGCAAAAAUGUGUGUCAUCUUCAUUUAUGACAUGGCCUUUCUUGACAGUGGCUUUAAUGAUACGCAUUGCGUGUCAUAAAUACGUGUCGUCUAUAGACGACGCGCAAAAGCGCGUCGUCUCUCGUUAUGACAGGGCCUUCCUUGACGCGCAUGCGCGUCGUCUGACCGUUUUACGACUCGCAAUGAGCGUCGUAAAAGGCAUUUUUUCUAGUAGUGUUUGAGACAAGAAAUCAGAACCAAUGUACCUUCCGAGCUCGCUACUUGGCGCGUUAGACCGAGCUCGUUUGGAAUUUUCAUUCCUCAAAGUAUUAUAAAGCCUAAUUGUUUCGUUAUUUUAGUGAAAAGUGGAUCCGGGUGCCCCCAUAUUUUGCAUCACGUCAUGAAUGUUUGUUGAACCAUAUUUUGUUAAAUAAACUUCAAAUAAAUUUUGAAAAACUUUGUUAAAUUUUGAAACUUCCUUUGAUGCAUAAUCAAUGUCAUCAUCCAAUAAACCCAAAUCGUAACAAAUAUUUUCAAUUAAAGUCUCAACCCCCCCAACAUUUAGAGUUGGAUUCAAAGUGGCGGAACAAGUAAUAAUGGGAGCCAUUUCUUGAAAAUAUUUUUUUAACUUUGCUUUCAUCGGUUUCAUCAUAUUAGCAAACAUUGUGCUCCUCAUUUCAAACUCAUUUAUUUUCGCACACAUUAAAAAAAUUUGGUUUAAAACUAAACAACUUGUAGGAUAAUAAACCCCCGAUAAAAAAGUGGUUGUUUUUUUUUUAAAAAAACAUCAAGCAUGUCUGUAACAAGUUUGAUAGUAUCCCAACUUGAUUCCGGAUAAGCCGUAACCUUAUUACGGUCCGAAGGUUGUCAUGUAACAUUUUUAAAGUAUGUUUUUGACGUAAGGCACAUUCAAAAAUUUUGCAAGUGGAGUCCCAUCGGGUAUUAUUUUCCCAAUUCAGACCUAAAAAGAGGGCAUUCGCAUCGACACAAAAUUGCAUAUAAUUAUGAUAUCGAGCGUUACUAGAACUAAAAAUAUCUUUUAGCAUGUCUUUGAAACCAUCUUUUAUAGUUUCAAUGUGAGUUAGUCCAUCUUGCACAACCAAAUUAAUCAUAUGUGCAACACAUCGACUAUGAAAAAUAAACACCAUCACAAAUUGGUUUAUAUUUUAGUUUUAGUUGUCCAACCGCGACGGUGUUGUUUGAAGCAUUAUCAAAAGAUAUAGAAAAAAUCUUUCCUUCAAGUUUAUAAGUUUUGAUCACACAAUCUAAAAUUUUAAAUAAAUUUCUAUCGGUGUGCGGGUACUCAAACAAUUCAAACGUAAUCGUAUGCUUUAUCAUUACCCAAUUAGUUGGAUUAAUCCAAUGAGCGGUAACACAAAGGUACGCAUCCGGUGAACCGUCAGGAGCCGUCCAAACAUCACAAGUUAAAUUCACACCGGUUUCUAAAGAUUGAAAUCCUAAAAUCAAUUCAUUUUUUGCAAGUUUCCACAUUUCAAUACAAUCGCGUCUAAUAGAAGUACGACUCACAUGGCAAUAUCGUGGUUGGAGAGUAUCUUGGAUGAGUGAAGUCAAUCGUUUGUUGUCGAAGUGGUCAAAAGGCAAGCAUUCUUGAAUCACGAACUUCGUCAUCCUAUCCCGAACUUUAGCCAUAUCGUAACUCCACAAUGUUGCAUCAUUCGUCAUUCUUGUUUGAAUAUGUCCCGACCCAAAUUUCACCGUGGGGCAUCUUUUGGUCAUAUGAUUUUUCAAUGUCGAAUUCUCAUCUUCAUUAAAAAAAGCACCACAUUUCUUGCAUUGCGCUUUUUUAUACCGUUCGACAUUACACACAAAUCGUAGUUGCACAAAAUAGCCGGAUUUCUAUUUGUUUCUUUGAUGCUAACAACGGUAAGAGUGUUUGAUGAAUCUCGAACACCAACGGAAGCCGAAUCCAUUGUUUGAAUUAAGAGUGGUUUUUGAACUAAGAGAGGUUUGCGGUUUUUGAACUAAGAGAGGUUUUUUGAGGUUUGGUUAAGGUAAAGUUGAGACCUAAAAAUGUAAUACAUAUAUAUAUACUAUAAGGAAUAGUUAAUAUGGUAAAAAAGAAGCAAAAAUCGAGUCUUGAACAGCCUCAAACGACUAUAUAGCCGUUAGGAAAAGACAAAAAAACGGUAACAUUACAAAAACCGGUUCACCAACGGCACUUUCGAAAUCUGGUUCAAAACUGGUUCAUCACACCUGUUCAGAAUAAACCAGUUCCAAACCGGUCUCCAGGGUAAAACAUGCGAACUGGUAACAUCCGAUGGUUCGGUUCACUAUGGGUUCGGUUCUUAUGUGAACCGGUUCAAGGCUAAACCGGUUUCCGGUUCACCAACCGGUUCGGUUCCUAAACCAGUUUUUUUGCCCACGCCUACCACUAGCUAGUCUAGGUGGGCUUUUAGUACGGGGGUUUUCAUGAGGAAUAGGUUGAAAGGAGUGUUGGCAUCUCACUGCCGUCAUCUGUUACCAUUUCAUAAGGAGUGGUAGCAUUCCUAGCACAUUAGAUUUUUUUUUUUUGAUUUUUUUUUUUGAACUUAAAUAAAUUAUAUUUUUAUAAAACACAAACAAUUCAAUAUUAAUCAAGAAACUAACUACAUUUUAUAGAUAAAUUUACCUUAUUUAAACAAGGAUUAAUAGAAAGGUCAAAUAAAAUUUAAAUGGUUAACGACAUGCUUAAAAUUUUACAAAUAUAUUGAUUUUGUAACGACACAAUUUUCUACUCUAUCAAGGUAAAGAAACAUUUAUGUUAAUAAUAAAGUGACACUUUAAUAUAUAUCUUCAAAUAAUUAUUAAAAAUAAAUAAUACUAUAAAAAAUUACCAAUACUAUCUAGAAACAAAAACCACUCACAGCACGGAAUUUACAAAACAACCAUCCAACUUCCUUAUUUUUUUGAAAGAGCUUUUACGAUCUCCAUUUCCAUUUCCUUUUUUUCUUAAAAUUACAUCUUACAUCUUCCAAUUUGCUAUUAUCAUUUCUUAAGUUUGUGAAAGUAGACUAUUCCACAAAACUACUCCUCCAAUUGUGUGAAACACGAAGCAAAAGCGAGACCUUUGAGCUUUUUCUUAAAAAAUAAUCCUUGUUUGAGAUGGAGACCACACCAUUGAUGGGAGAAAUGAAGGUUCUAGAGAACGAUUGUAAGAGGAAGAUUAUUGUAUCCACAGGCCAAUAUCCAACAAAUCUCUUUCUCUUUCUUCUCGCUAUGGUGUUGACGAGCCAUGGCUGGCGACUUCCUUGGCGCAAGCCAGGGGGCGGCCUUCAGCGCCCUUGGCGACCGGUGGCGACCUCCAUAGCGAGGCCCACUCCCUAAAGCCUUAUAACACACCAUUUAUUGACCAAGUUUACCCAACAAUGCAUCCCAAUUCAUUAGAUUUGUCUUAUCAUUAUACUUUUUAUACAAUUUCAUCAUUUUUCUAUAAUAUAUUAAAACUCUAUGAAAAUUCAAAAGAAUAUACUUUUGAAUUUUCAUAGAAUUUUAUUAUAUUAUAGAAAUAUGGUGAGAAUCCUAGAUGCUUUUAUCUCUCUUUCAGACUUAAAAGCCAGUAUGCGUUCAAUAAGUACGUGGCCAACUCCGGACCUAGCUUUUGCGAACGUGGGACGUUCACUUCGGAUAGCCUCGAAAUGAGUACCUCUUACUUUAAAAAUUUAUAACUUUGGCAUACGAGCUCCGUUUUCGACAUUCACUUUCAUUUAGACUCUGUUUGCUAAUUUUGAUUUUUAUUUUUAAAUUUAUAUUUUUUAACAGGCCGGGACUGGAAAAGCCCGUUAAAAAUUCAUAACUUCUUCAUCCGACGUUCGUUUUCGUAUGACUUUUUACCAUUAAACUACUAUCGACGAGAUUUUUGAUUCUCAUUUACAUUGUGUUGGAUAAAAAUCGCUCGAUCUAUACUUCGAACUACGGGCUGCACAAUGUUAUGCCAAAUCUUAGAAAAUUCAUAACUUCCUCAUACGAAGCUAGAUUUGGAUUUCUUUUUUAUGCACGCUCUUGGUUUAACGUAUACUACGAUUUUCAUUUAGAUUGCUAAGGCUAAAAAACACUUUAUCGUAAACUCACUUUUCACGUCACACAAUGUCAUGUCAGUUUUGUCGCGAAACUUCGAUAUGUCAUAAAUUCUUCGUGAUCAGGGCCGAUCUUGAAAAAUGAAAUAUUCUUGGAGCCCCAGGACGAGCAAGAAAAAAAUGGCCCUUAUCUUUAUUAUAAUUUUGUAAUUUUAAAUAAAAAUAUAUAAUGAAAAAAAUUAGGCCAUGUGCAGCUGCCCACUUUGCCUCCUUCUAAGCCCCCAUUGUUCAUGAUAACUCGGAUUUCAGCGUUCUUUAUAUUUCUGGAGUCCUUGUCACGACCACUACAACUUUCUUCAUAGAUAUCGGGUUUAUAUAACAUUUUAUUUUUGACGCUUAUUUUUAUUCUUAAUUAAUUAUAUCAUUAUAAACAAGUAUAUAAUCACAUAAAAUCACGUAAUUCACAUAAUACUCAAGUAAUUCAUCUUUAUUACAUUAAAAUAGGUUACAAUGGUUGACCUUGACUAUUACAUCAUCAUACUAAUGUGAAACAACCUAAAAUACGACCCAAUUUUUUUUUUGUUAAAAUAAUACUAAAGAUAUCAACCAUCAUAAUAUAUCAUGAAAUCGUACGUCAUAAAUCCCCAAAAAGUUAUAAUAGAUAUGUCAUGACAAAAGAGUUGUAUCAACAUACCAUAGUAUCUAAAAUAAACUCCCAGGACAAAAGUUGAAACUGUGGUGUGUGCAAUGUCAUCAUCCUGAGCUCUUUCCUUUGCUUGCGGAAAUACCUGAAACCAAAACUGAAACUGUAAGCACAAAGCUUAAUGAGCUCCCCCAAACUACCACAUACCAUACAAUAGCAUAUACAACACAUACUAGGCCUUGCCCACUGCAUCGGACCGAAGUCCGGAAAUUGCAUCGGACCGAAGUCCAGAACUAACCAAGGCCUUGCCCUCUGCAUCGGACCGAAGUCCGGAACUACAUCAGACCGAAGUCCGGAAACUAACCAGGGCCUUGCCCUCUGCAUCGGACCGAAGUCCGGAACUAACUGCAUCGGACUGAAGUCCGGAACUGACUGCAUCGGACCGAAGUCCGAAAUUGUCUGAACAUAACAUAUCAUAAACAUCUCAACCAGUAUGAACACAUAAACUGCAUAUCGCAUCAGACCGAAGUACGAAACACAUAACACAAAUACAUGCUUGAAUCACAAAGACAUCAAGCAUUCUAAGUACUGCAACGGACGGAGGUCCGAAACUUCUGCUAACUAAACCGACCGGCAUUGUAGCCGUAGACCCGUUCCUACUGGAAGGAAAACUCACCUCGUAAUGCUGGCUGCUGAGAUGCUAACUCUAAAAGUGACUGACCGCUGCUUCGGAACUGUCCGACUACAAAUCCCAGAAACACUAGAUUAGUUACUUGCAUAUACCCUCAGGGUAAGAUGACUAUUUUGCCCCUGGUCAAAGUCAACUUCUAGUUGACCGGACUCGCCGACUAUGGGCGCAGAACCGCCGAGUCCCUCCUUUACUAACUCUGACUUUAACUCACCGAGUCCCUUUCCCACUCACUGACUCUCUCUGAACUCGUAGGUCGAAGAAAAAAGGGGACUCACGACUCGACUCGUCGAGUCUGAAGAACAACUCGCCGAGUCCUGCCGUGCAUAUUCCAAACAAACGAAUUCAAAACUAUUCCAGAGCAUCUGACUUGAAGAUCUGAGCCCUUGGAACUAUCUAAACACGUGAAGUUUCUAACUUUACGUGCAACUAAGAAGGAAUGAAGCUAUUUCACUCAAACACUACUUUUCUUGGGAAAACUCAUCCGACUCGCCGAGUUGUAUGAACAACUCGUCGAGUCUAAGGUGAUCUUCAUCGGACUCGCAGAGUUGCUCAUCAAACUCGUCGAGUCUACGACUAUCUUCAUAUGACUCGCCAAGUCACACAUGCGACUCGCCAAGUCCAUUCAGUCCCUUUUUCCAUACAGACCUGAUUUGGGCCAUGCAGUGGCUCCAAAUCACAGAUCCAAGAUUCUAGGGCAUGCUUAUCACGUAAAUUUGCAAACUUUACGUGCAUGCAUGGCUUUAAAGGCUUCAAAUGCCAACCCUAAGCUCUUAAUGGGGUUCCAAGCUCAAGAGGGACCUCAAUCACGACCAUAACCGAAACUUUACUCUUCUAGAAUGCAAUGAGAGUCUAGAUCUGAUGUUUCCAUAAAAGGGGAAGUCCAUCUCUCAAGUUUGAACCAUAAGAGGCUCCAAAGAGGGCAUAACAAGCAUAUAUGAGGUUAUAAUGGGGGAAUGCACAAGGUCAUAACUUCAUUACCUGAAUGAAAAACAGAUGUAAGCUAACUCCUAGAUUUUCCUUCCCUUCUAUGGACCUUCCUUCCUUCCCAAAGCUUCCAAGCUAUCACAAAUACCCUCAAACUCAACAAUGGGGCUAGGGUUUACAAGGGAAAUGUUAUGAGAGUGAUAGAGGCGAGGUUGGGGGCGCAUAAGUGUGUUUAAAUAGGGUGAAAACCCUUAAAAUUAGGGCUUCAUCCAGACAGGCGGACUCGCCGAGUCCAACGUAUGGACUAGUCGAGUAGCCAUCUCAAAACGCGUGAUCGUCCCGUCUCUACUUGACGAGUCAGGCUACAGACUCGUCGAGUACCCCUUCAGAAAUGAAAAUACUUUAUUUGAAUUACAUACCAGAAAUGGGGCGUUACAACUCUCCCCCACUUAUCUUAGACUUUGUCCUCGUAGUCUGCUGCUGCUGCUGAAAAUAACUCUGGGUAAUGCUCCCUCAUCUCCUACUCGGACUCCCACGUCCACUCUGAACCCUUUCGGUGCUGCCACAACACCUUCACUAGCUGAACCACCUUGUUCCUCAAGGUCUUCGUCUUCCAAUCUAUGAUCGCAACUGGUCUCUCGAUAUAAUUCAGGCUGCUAUCAACCUGAAUAUCCUCCAAGGGUACAACUGCUGACUUGUCCACCAAACACUUUCGCAACUGGGAAACAUAGAAAGUGUUGUGGAUCUGGCUAAGCUCUACCGGAAGAUCCAACCGAUAAGCAACCCGACCCACCCGGACCAAAACCCUAAAAGGGCCAAUGAACCUGGGACCCAGCUUGCCUCUCUUCCGAAACUUGAUAACACCCUUCCAAGGUGAUACCUUCAGGAGGACCAUAUCGCCCACCUGAAACUCCAAGUCCGAACGCCUCUUGUCGGUGUAACUCUUCUGCCUACUCUGUGCAGUCUGCAGUCUACUACGAACCUGCUGGAUCAACUCUGUGGUCUUGAGCACCAUUUCAGUGCUCCCAAUGACUCACUGACCAACCUCGCCCCAACAAAUCGGAGUCCUGCACUUCCUUCCGUAUAGCAUCUCGAAAGGAGGACGUUUAAUACUAGUGUGGUAACUAUUGUUAUACGGAAAUUCCGCUAGUGGGAGAUACGUAUCCCAACUACCACCGAAGUCUAGAACACAUGCCCGGAGUAUGUCCUCGAGAGUCUGAAUUGUCCUCUCACUCUGCCCGUCCGUCUGGGGGUGGAAGGCGGUGCUAAAAUGAAGACGAGUCCCCAUCUCGUCAUGAAACUGCUUCCAAAAUCUGGAAGUAAAACGGACGUCUCGGUCUGACACUACCGAAACAGGCACUCCGUGCUGUGCUACUACCUCGCGUACAUAGAUGUGGGCUAGCUUCUUAGCCGAUAUGCUCUCCUAGAUCGGUAUAAAAUGUGCGCUCUUGGUCAGCCGAUCCAUUAUGACCCAAAUCGAAUCCACUCCCCGUGCGGUCCUGGGAAGCUUGGUGACAAAAUCCAUGGUAAUGUCCUCCCAUUUCCAUAUGGGAAUAUCUAACGGCAGCAUCUUGCCGUGGGGUCUCUGGUGCUCUGCCUUGACCUUCCUGCAGGUCAGGCAUCUCCCCACAUUCCAGGCGACAUCCUGCUUCAUGCAGGGCCACCAAUAGUCGGGUCGAAGAUCUCUGUAGAUCUUCGUUGCCCCUGGGUGGAUGGAAAAUCAAGAAUUAUGAGCCUCGUCCAUCAAUACCUGCCAUACUCCGCCCCAGUACAGUACCCAAACCCUCCCAUGGAGGGUCAACAAUCGUUAACUGUCAUAAUCAAAGGAAGCUACUCGGUCCACGAUUCUCUCACACUUCUGCCUCUCCUCCUUGAGGCCCUCGACGUGUGCCUCCCUGAUCUGCUCCAACAAGGGAGUAAUCACUGUCAUCCUCAAGCAUACAUCCCUGAUCGGGGCCGCUGCCGUCUUGUGGCUCAGGGCGUCGGCCACUACGUUGGCCUUCCCCGGGUGAUAAAGGAUCUCACAGUCGUAAUCCUUCACCACAUCUAACCACCGACGCUGCCGCAUGUUAAGAUUCGGCUGGUCCAUGAGGUACUUCAGACUCUUGUGAUCCGUGUAGAUGGUGCAACGGACCCCAUAGAGGUAGUGUCUCCAAAUCUUGAGGGCGAACACCACUGCCCCCAACUCCAAAUCAUGCAUCGGAUAGUUAGCCUCGUGAGACUUCAACUGUCUGGAGGCAUAAGCUAUCACAUGCCCCCGUUGCAUCAACACUGCCCCCAUAUCUGCGAUCGAGGCAUCACAGUAGACUACAAAAUCAUCCACUCUCUCCGGCAAGGUCAGAAUCGGUGCCUCGCACAAUCGCUGUCUGAGAGUCUCGAAAGUCGCCUGCUGCUCAGGCCCCUAACGAAACACCACCGACUUCUUGGUUAGUCGGGUGAGUGGAACUGCUAUCUUGGAGAAAUACUGAAUGAAUCUCCUGUAGUACCCUGCCAAACCUAGGAAGCUCUGAAUCUAUGAUGGAGACUUUGGGACCUCCCACUGCAUCAUGGCCUCUAUCUUGGCCGGAUCUACCAGUAUACCCUUCUGGUUGAUGAGGUGCCUAAGGAAUUGCACCUCGCGCAACUAGAACUCGCACUUGGAGAACUUUGCUAAAAGUUUCUCCCUCCUCAAGACCUCUAGCACCUCCCUUAGGUGCUCCUCGUGCUGCUCCUGAGUCUUGGAAUAAACCAAGAUGUCAUCGAUGAAUACAAUCACAGACCGGUCCAACAUCGGCAUGCACACGCGGUUCAUGAGUUCCAUGAACGCGGAUGGAGCGUUGGUGAGCCCAAACGACAUCACCACAAACUCAUAAUGACCAUAACGGGUCCUAAAAGUUGUCUUCUGAACAUCCUCACCCCUGACCCGCAUCUGAUGAUAACCGGAGCGCAAAUCAAUCUUGGAAAACCAAGACGCUCCUUGAAGCUAAUCGAACAAGGCAUCUAUCCUCGGAAGUGGGUAACGGUUAUUCACCGUUACCUUGUUCAACUCCCAGUAGUCUAUGCACAUACGGUGCGACCCAUCCUUCUUCUUCACAAACAAGAUUGGGGCUCCCCAUGGAGAACUAAUUAGUCUAAUGAAACCCUUGUCUAGCAGCUCCUGCAGCUGCGUAUACAACUCCUGCAUUUCUGGAGGAGCCAACCGAUACGGCGCCUUGGCUAUCGGAGCCGCACCAGGAACCAAGUCAAUCUUGAACUCAACCUGUCUCUCUGAAGGUAUCCCAGGUAAUUCCUCUGGGAAUGAGUCCGGGUACUCUCGCACCACUGCUACAUCAUCUACUGUCAUCGUACUCUUAUCCCGGGUAUCCAUCACAUAUGUGACAUAACCUGCUUAACCCUGUUGGAAGUAGCGCCUCACUCUCACUGCUGAACAAAGAAUCGGUCCGCGUUGUGGGCUCUCGCCCUGAAUCACUAACUCUCCCCCGUUGGGAGUGCGAACCCUCACUAGCUGCAAUUCGCAAUCAAUCAUCGCCCCAUUGGGGCUCAACCAAUCCAUGCUUACUAUGGCCUUGUUCCCUCGCAAAGGAAUAGGGACCAUGUCCACCGAAAACUGCUCAUCGAAUAACUGCAGUGAGCAUGCCUUAUGCACCCUCGUGACCCUGACGGUCCUAUCAUCGGCUAUCUCCACCUCGAGUGGACAAUCCAGCUCCCUAGGAUCUCUGCUAAACCUCUUGCUAAGUGCAAGAGAGACAAACGAUCGGGUAGCCCCUGAAUCAAAUGACACUGUAGCUGAAAUGUCGUUCACUAAGAACGACCCUAUACAUAAACAUAUAACAUUAGAAACAAUCAAUAAUCAAUGCAUAGAUAAAAGGAAAAUACAUACCCGUCACCACGUCAGGAGUCGCUCGCGCCUCCUCUGCUGUUAUCUGAAAAGCUCUACUCUUCGCCACUGGCACCUCGGCCCGCCCCUGACGACCGUUCGUAAUCCUCAAUGUAGCAGGGGCAGGUGCCGACACCUUCCCUGCUGCUGCUAAGCUUGGGCACUGGGACUUUUUAUGUCCCCUCUGAUUGCAAUGGAAGCAAAUCAGAUCUGAUGCUGCGGUAGCUGUGGUAGAAACUGUACAAUCUCUGCUCAUAUGCCUAGUCCAACCGUACUUGUAGCAGCCGGAACUCCCUGCCUUGCACGCCCCAUCGUGUAAUCUCCCACACUUGCCACACCGACUGUGGCUCUGCUGACCUCUGGACCUAUGAUCCGAAACCUUGGGCUUCUUGCCCAAACUCCCUGUACCCGAAGCCGCCUCCGCCUUCCUCUUAUUCUCCAUCUCAAGAUCAAUCUCUCUCUCUCUCUCUCUCUCUCUCGCCCUUGCAAUCAUAUCAUCCAGCAUCUUACAGCUGGAUCGGCUCACAAACUGGCGGAUAUCACUCCGCAGCGUCUCAUGAUAACGGGCCUUCUUCAUUUCCUCGUCAGCUGCGUACUGAGGAACAAGAAGAGCCCUCUCCCUGAACUUGGCGGUAAUCUCCGCCACUGUCUCUAUAGUCUGAGUAAGGUCUUGAAACUCUCUAGCUAACUGUUGCACCUCAAUAGUCGGUGCGAACUCGGCUCUGAACCUGGUGGUAAAAUCAGCCUAAGUCAUAGUAUCAAGUGCUAUGUCAUCCCUGAUACCAUGCCCAACCUCCUCCCACCAGUCACAUGCCCUAUCCUUCAGGAGACAGGAUGCUAAUCUGACCUUGUCCCCUUCGGGACAUCUGCUAGUGCGGAACACGUUGGCAACAUCUGCCAACCACCUAGUGCUCGCAAUGAGGUCCCGCACCCCAUGAUAGCCUGGAGCUCCACAAGCCCGAAACUCCCUGAAGGUGAGUGUGCGCGACCCCAUCAUGGCCGCCAUCUCAGCACGAAAUGUGCUCAACUUCUCAUCCAUCAACUCCAAGAUACCCUCCUUGAUCGAACCGAAGAUCACAGGACUCUGCUCAAGUAUGAUACGGGUAACCUCUGAAGUGAAAAACUCCCUAGUUUGCUCAUCCAACUGCUCGGCCCCCCAGCCUGAUCCUGAUCCUUCCUCGGCACCUGAGCUGCCGACUGCUGGCCUAGGGCGUAAAACCACCAUUCUGAAAACACAUCAUGAUAAACGUCAAAAACACUGAUAUAUCUCUAGGGAUCGCUACUACUAUAGGUUUCCUGGUCUCGCCUCUGCCUUCCUUGAUUCAAGUACAAAUCCUCAACAAAAACCAGUCCUCAACUGCUGAAGGCCUCCUUGUAAUGCCAAUUAGUCAUCACCUGAAUAUCAUCACAUGUGACGAGACUCAGAUAAUCCUUCGAGUAAAAGACUCAUUCCUACAACGGAUGGACUCAAACAAGAGCUGCGCAGUAGAGCCAAAUCCAGCACUCUGAGAUUAUUCAACCCUGAUCUCAGGCGAUGUGUCGUAUUCACCUAAUGGUUAACUCUCAUUACCCGGAGUCUCAUAAAGCACAAAGCAAGCAGCAUUCGGACACAGGAAACUAAUCAAGCCACUCUAUUCUCAUAACAAGAAAUUGUACUAGCAUACAAUGUUAAGCUCGUACUGUCAGGCAUAACCUAAACAGGCUAUCCUACUGCUGUCUACUCAAUACUAGCAUGCAGUUCUCAUAAAGCUGAAGCACAUAUAGCAUGCACAUAAGGCAUCCUGCUAGAUCCUUAGUCCUAUUCUAGCAUGCUGUUCUACUGAAACUAAAACUGAUAAUCAUAACAUAAACUUGUAUGGGUAAUUUAGGGGUACUUACUUGAGCUCGACUGAUCGCAUGCACCACACCCUUUUCUCGUUUUCAAAACUCUUUUCUUUUUAAGUCUCUUUCUCAAAAGUUCUUUUGAACACAUUUUUCUUUCGAAAAUCUUUUUUCUAUUUCCUCAGUUUGAGUUCAGUUACACCCGUAAGUGUGUCUGAAUCCCUCAAACCAAGGCUCAGAUACCAACUUGAAAUAACCCAAAAUACAACCCAAUUUUUUUUUGUUAAAAAAAUACUAAAGAUAUCAACCAUCAUAAUAUAUCAUGAAAUCGUACGUCAUAAAUCCCCAAAAAGUUAUAAUAGAUGUGUCAUGACAAAAGAGUUGUAUCAACAUAACAUAGUAUCUAAAAUAAACUCCCAUGACAAAAGCUGAAACUGUGGUGUGUGCAAUGCCGUCAUCCCGAGCUCUUCCCUUUGCUUGCGGAAGUACCUGAAACCAAAACUGAAACUGUAAGCACAAAGCUUAGUGAGCUCCCCCAAACUACCACAUACCAUACAAUCAUAUAAAACACAUAUUGGGCCUUGCCCACUGCAUCGGACCGAAGUCUAGAAAAUGCAUCGGACCGAAGUCCGGAACUAACCAGGGCCUUGCCCUCUGCAUCGGACCAAAGUCCAGAACUGCAUCGGACCGAAGUCUGGAAACUAACCAGGGCCUCGCCCUCUGCAUCGGACCGAAGUUCGGAACUAACUGCAUCCAACCGAAGUCCGGAAUUGUCUGAACAUAACAUAUCAUAAACAUCUCAACUAGCAUGAACACAUAAACUGCAUACCGCAUCGGACCGAAGUCCGAAACACAUAACACAAAUACAUGCUUGAAUCACAAAGACAUCAAGCAUUCUAACUACUGCAACGGACAGAGGUCCGGAACUUCUGCUAACUAAACGGGCCGGCAUUGUGGCCGUAGACCCGUUCCUACUGGAAGGAAAACUCACCUCGUAAUGUUGGCUGCUGAGAUGCAAACUCUAAAAGUGGCUGACCGCUGCUCCGGAACUGUCCGACUACAAAUCCCAGAAACACUAGAUUAGUUACUUGCAUAUACCCUCAGGGUAAGAUGACUAUUUUGCCCCCGGUCAAAGUCAACUUCUAGUUGACCGGACUCACCGAGUCAGGGCGCAGACUCGCCGAGUCCCUCCUUUACUAACUCUGACUUUAAUUCACAGAGUCCCUUUCCCACUCACUGACUCUCUCUGAACUCGUAGGUCGAAGAAAAAAGGGGACUCACGACUCGACUCGUCGAGUCUGAAGAACAACUCGCCGAGUCCUGCCGUGCAUAUUCCAAACAAACGAAUUCAAAACUAUUCCAGAGCAUCUGACUUGAAGAUCUGAGCCCUUGGAACUAUCUAAACACGUGAAGUUUCUAACUUUACGUGCAACUAAGAAGGAAUGAAGCUAUUUCACUCAAACACUACUUUUCUUGGGAAAACUCAUCCGACUCGCCGAGUUGUAUGAACAACUCGUCGAGUCUAAGGCGAUCUUCAUCAGACUCGCCGAGUUGCUCAUCCAACUCGUCAAGUCUACGGCUAUCUUCAUAUGACUCUCUGAGUCACGCAUGCGACUCGCCGAGUCCAUUUAGUCCCUUUUUCCAUACAGACCUGAUUUGGGCCAUGCAUUGGCUCCAAAUCACAGAUCUAAGCUUCUAGGGCAUUCUUAUCACGUAAAUUUGCAAACUUUACGUGCAUGCAUGGCUUUAAAGGCUUCAAAUGCUAACCCUAAGCUCUUAAUGGGGCUCCAAGCUCAAGAGAGACCUCAAUCAUGACCAUAACAGAAACUUUACUCUUCUAGAAUGCAAUAAGAGUCCAGAUCUAAUGUUUCCAUAAAAAGGGGAAGUCCAUCUCUCAAGUUUGAACCAUAAGAGGCUCCAAAGAGGGCAUAACAAGCAUAAAGGAGGUUAUAAUGGGGGAAUGCACAAGUUCAUAACUUCAUUACCUGAAUGAAAAAUAGAUGUAAGCUAACUCCUGGAUCUUCCUUCCCUUUUAUGGACCUUCCUUCCUUCCCAAUGCUUCCAUGCUAUCACAAAUACCCUCAAACUCAACAAUGGGGCUAGGGUUUACAGGGGAAAUGUUCUGAGAGUGAUAGAGGCGAGGUUGGGGGCGCAUAAGUGUGUUUAAAUAGGGUGCAAACCCUUAAAAUUAGGGCUUCAUCCAGACAGGCGGACUUGCCGAGUCCAGCGUAUGGACUCGUCGAGUAGCCAGCUCAAAACGUGUGAUUGUCUCGUCUCUACUCGACGAUUCGGGCUACAGACUCAUCGAGUACCCCUUAAUAAAUGAAAAUACUUUAUUUGAAUUACAUACCAAAAAUGGGGCAUUACAUAAUGCUUAGCCCAGAAACACGGACGUUACACUUCUCUCCUCCUUAGGAUGAUGCCAUCCCCAGAAUCAUACAUCAACAAACUAAUGCGGAUAGCGACUCAUCAUGUCACUCUCCAUUUCCUAGGUGAGAUUUGACUCAUUCGUAUGUUUCCGUCGCACAAGUAGUAAGUCAACCAUCUUGUGACGCAACUUCUUCGUCUUAUGGUCAACAAUCGCCUCCGGUUCUUCAACUAGCCUCUUAUUUUCAUCCAUCCUUAGCUCAUAAAUUAGAAUUAUGUCAGGAACUUCUCCCAUGAAUUUCCUCAAAUAACUCACAUGGAAAGUGUUAUGAAUAAUGUCUAGUUCUUCUGGUAGUUCUAGCUUGUAGGCUUGGUUCCCAAUCCUCUGAAGAACUUUGAACGGUCCAAUGAAUCUUGGACUUAACUUCCCUUUUUCCCGAAUCUUAUAAGUUCCUUGUAGCACCUGGUUCCUGGUAUGUAAUUUAUUUAAAUAUUUUGCAUUUUUGGCCUUGGACUCGGCAAGUUGAAGGACCAACUUGCCGAGUAGAAGCGGGAUGGGACGUGGGAUUUAAGUGAUGGACACGUCGAGUCGGGUCCCGGACUCGACGAGUAGGCUCUGACUGAAAAACCCUAAUCCGAGGGUUUGCACCCUAUUUAAUCAUCUCAUUUUCCCCUAAUGCUCCCAGAAACCCUCCCUAGUAAACCCUAAGUGUUUUGGUGCAAGAUCUAAGGCUUUUGAGUGAUUUUUGUGGGUUUUGACCUCAAGGAAUAAGGAAGAGCAUAGAAGGAUCAAGAGGAGACUGAAGGAUUAGAGUUUGGUGCAUCAUUUUCAGUCCUUGAAAGGUAUAAAUUAUGUACCUUGCUUGUUCAUUUGUUAGAUCCUUUUUUGGGGAAGAUUUAGGGCUUCUUAAGUCAUAUGAGGUGGCCAAACAUGGUUGGGGGUCAAGACUUCGGAUCUAAGUCUUGGAAGGAGUCCCAAAGCAGAUUUGGGUUGCUUUUGCACCCAAGGAAGGUCCCAUGCAACAUAAGAGCCAUUUUAGAGCCUUUUUGGGUCAAAAGUCCCAUGCAUGCACGUAAAGUUCGAAACUUUACGUUCUAGAUCGAGCUUAGGGCUUGGAUCUAUCUUUUUGUCAAAGGUUGUACAUCAGAAAUCGAGGAUUUAGGGUGUGGAUGUUAUCGAAUCGGCGAGUCAGUUCUUGGGACACGACGAGUCCAAAGCAUAGGGUCUGUUAUCUGUUGAGGGUCAAAAGAACCCAGUUGGGUGUUAGAAGGGUUGUAGAAGGUCCGAGAGAGUGACCCAACGUGUUGGACUUAGCCUUAGACUUGGAAUUCAUGGGACUCGUCGAGUGCUAGAACAGACUCGGCGAGUCCAAGGCAAUCUCCUUAUCGAUGAAGAUGAACUCGACGAGUUGUUCAUACAACUCGGCGAGUCGGGGUCAGGACUUGUUCAUCAGAUGAAGGUGAACUCGACAAGUGUUCAUCCGACUCGGCGAGUCGGAUGAAGGUUCAUUGAUGUUCGUAAAGAAAGGGAACUCGUCGACUUGUUGCCAAACUCGACGAGACGAGUCGUGGAUAAGGACGAGUAAAGGAAAGGGACUCGACGAGUUNAACUCGGGGAGUCGGGUCAACUGGAAGUUGACUUUGACUUGGACUUGGUUGGGGGUAAAAUAGUCAUUUUACCCCAAGAGUAGAUAUUAGUUUUCUGACUGAGUAUUUUGUGGGGAUUAUAGCCGGAGGAUUUCCGAAGCAACAGCAGGCAGAGGUUUCCUGCACAUAUUAUCAGCAGCUACUUGUUCGAGGUGGGUUGCCUACCAGUAGCGGUGGGUCUACGACCACAAUGUCGGCCCACCAAUAGGAGUUGUAUAAUUAUAUGAUUGUCUUUGUGAUAUCAUCUAGGUUGCUUCUACCUGAUAUGUUAUAUGCUGGCAUGAUAUGUUAUAUGUGAUAGUAGUAGAGUUCGGUUGUUAGGACCGAAGGGUAGGUCAAACACCCCAGAUAUGUAUGACAGUAUGUGAUGAUAUGUUUAUAUGCCGACAUGACAUGUUAUAUGGGAUAGUGGUAGUAGGAGGGGAACAGUCCCCAAGUUCGGUUGUUAGAACCGAAGGGUAGUUCAGACACCCCAGAUAUGUCUGAUAGUAUGUUUAUGUUAUGAUAUAUGUGAUAGUAGUGGUACGUGUGGAAUAGUCCCCGAGGGUCGGUCUUUAGGACUGACGGGUAGGUCAGCACCCCAAAAAGACUUGACAGGGGUAGGACGACACCCCAGAAUGGCCGCACGGGUAGGUCGGCACCCCAGAAUGGCCGUACCGGGUAGGCCGGGCACCCUAGAAUUGCCUGGCAGUAUGUAUGCUAUGUGAUUGUAUGGUAUGUGGUACGAUGGGGGAACUUACUAAGCUUCCUGCUUACAGUUUACAGUUUUGGUUUCAGGUACCUCUUCAACAAAGGGGAAGGAGCUGGCGCGGUAGCGGCACAUCAUACACACAUGUUGGUUUCCGCACUAGUGUUUCUUGGGUCGUUACAAGUUGGUAUCAAAGCCCUGAUCUGAGGGAUUCGGACACACCUUGGGGGUGUCUGGACUCAAAUCGAGGGAUUAAAAGACUUUUACAAGAAAAAUGGUUUCUUAAAAGCUAAGAUAAAAGAGUUUUGGGAAAGAACAAAGUGUGUGAUGUGCGCGACCGGCCGAGCUCAAGUAAGUAUUCCCCAAAGUACCCAUACAAGUUUAUGUUAUGUUUAUCAGUUUCAGUAGAAUAGCAUGCUAGAAUAGGACUGAAGAUCUAGGAAUGAUGGCUUAUGUGUCUGCUUUAUGUGCUCCAGCUUAUGAGAAUUGCAUGCUAGUAUUAAGUAGAAAAUAAUAGGAUAGUCUGUUUAGGUUAUGCCUGGUAUUAUGAGCUCAGCAUUGUAUGAUGGUACAACUUCUCGUUAGGAGAAUAGAGUUGUUUGAGUAGUUUCCUGUGUCCGAAUGAUGCUUGCUCAGUGCUUGUAGGACUCUGAAUGAUGGCCGUUAGCCAUUAGGUGAGUACGUCGCGUCGCAUGUCAUUAGGAUUGAAUAAUCUCAGAGUGCUGGAUUUGGCCCUAUUGCGCGGCUCUCGUUUGAGUCUAACCGUUGUAGGGACGAGUCUUUUACUUGAAGGAUUAUCUGAGCCUUGUUACAUGUGAUGGUAUUUAGGUGAUGGCUAAUUGAUAUCACAAGGAGGCCUUCAACAGCCGAGGACCGGUUUGGGUAGAGUCAGAGAUUUUCCCUAGGGUAAGCCUACGAUGAGAGUAGCAGAGAUCAGCAGUGGAAAAAGGGACUUGGUGGAGUCGAGGCCGUCCUUGAGGAAAGUACGGAUAGAUAUGGAAGGUAGUAUGGGCCCGUACUACAGAAAGCAGAGGAUCCGUACUCGAAUUAAGGAAGGCUAAGGCAAGACCAAGGAACUUGUGAUGGGUGUGAUCCCUAUAGAUGUACUAGUAUCACUGACGGAUGUCAUGAUGUAUUGCGGAAUGGUGGUACUAAGGCCAAGGCCAGCAGUGGGUAGCUCAGGAGAGGGAUCGGGUUCGGGUUCAGGCUCCGAACCAGUGGACGAGAGGCUACGCGAGUUCAUCGCGUCUAAGAUCACUAUAGGCAUCCUUGAUGCGACCCCGAUCAUCUUUGGGUCGAUCAAGGAAGGGAUUGUUGAGCUGAUGGAGGAUCGCCUUAGGGCGCUCAGGAGUGACAUGGCGACCAGCCAGUCAGGAUCCCGCAUACUAUCCUUUAAGGACUUCAGGGGCAGUGGCGCGCCGGACUUCCACGGGGAAAAGGACCCCAUUUCUGCUAGACGAUGGAUUGCGGACAUGGAGUCUGCACAGCUGACAAGCUUCUGCCCCGAGGGGCCGAAGGUGAGAUAUGCAGCAGGGUGUUUGAGAGACAGAGCUAGAGAUUAGUGGGAGUCUGUUGUUGACUCCUUGGGAGCCUCGGCUGUUGAGGCUAUGACCUGGUUAGACUUUGUGACCAGAUUCAGGGCGGAGUUUGCGCCAGCUGUAGAGCUUCAGCAGCUGGCCAGAGAGUUUUUGGAUAUGAGACAGACUACGGAGACUGUGGCGGAGAUCACCGCCAACUUCUGGGAGAGGGCAUUGCUUGUGCCCCAGUAUGCGGGAGAUGAGGACAUGAGGAUGACCCGCUAUCAUGACAUGCAGCGAGCCGAAAUUCGGGAGCAUGUUAGUUUUUCAGCUUGCCCUACCCUAGAUUCCAUGAUUUCCAGAUCAAGGGAGAGGGAGAUCGAUCUAGAACAUGUCCAGAAGAGGAAGGUAGAGGAGGGGCAGACGAUUGGGGCUUCGGAGAAGAAGCCUAAGGGAUCAGAUGGUAGGCCGAAAGGCCAGUCAGGACCAGGCCACUGCAGGAAAUGCGGCAGGCCACAUGAGGGGGCGUGUAGAUUGGGAUUGUCGGGCUGCUACAAGUUCGACAAGACGGGGCAAUUCAGCAGAGAUUGUACCGCCCCUACACCAGUUAUUCAGACGUCUGAGUUGCUGUGUUUUCAAUGCAACCAGAGGGGCCACAAGAAAGACAACUGCCCCCAGUUAACAGCAGCAACAGUGCCAGUGAAGGCGCCAGGUCUAGCGACCCUGCGAAUUACUGAUGACUGGAAGGCCAAGGCUGAGGCUCCAGUGGUGAGGAGUCGGGCCUUCCAGUUGACUACCGAGGAGGCACGCGCUGCACCCGAUGUGGUAACAGGUAUGACUUCUUGUUUAUGCUUUUAUGAUAUGCUGCUGUGAUUUUGAUAUGUUAUGUAUGUGCUCUGUUUAGGAUCGUUCCAUGUGAACGGUAUCCCAGUUCAAGUAUUGUUUGAUUCGGGUGCUACCCGAUCAUUUGUCUCUCUUGCGCUUAGCAAGAAGUUUCCUGAGUCUUCGGGCAUGUUGGAUUGCCCUUUAGAGGUUGAGAUUGUAGACGACAGGUCGGUACGAGCAUUAGAGGUCUUCCGAGAUUGUGUUUUGAGGUUGUUCGAGGAGCGUUACAUGGUAGACUUGAUUCCCAUACCCUUGCGGGGGAACAAGGUUAUUAUCGACAUGGAUUGGUGGAGCCCCAAUAGGGCGGUGAUAGAUUGCGCACAAUAGUUGGUGCGAGUCAGGACCCCAGGAGGGGGAGAUUUAGUGAUUUAGGGUGAGAGCCACAGCGAGGGCCAACCUUAUGUUCGGCAACGAGGACAAGGCGUUACCUUCAGCAGGGUUGCGCCGGAUAUGUCGCUUAUGUCAUGGACACCCGGGAGGAGGGAAAGGCGACAGUGGGCAAUGUGCCUGUGGUACGAGAGUUUGCGGACGUAUUCCCCGAGGAGUUGCCUGGGAUACCUCUGGAACGAUAGGUGGAGUUUAGGAUCGACCUAGUCCUUGGUGCGGCUCCGAUAGCCAAGGCACCGUAUCGGUUGGCUCCUCUUGAGAUGCAGGAGUUGUCUACACAGCCGCAGAAAGUAUUAGACAAGUGAUUCAUUAGACCUAGUAGUUCUCCCUGGGGAGCCCCGAUUCUGUUUGUGAAGAAGAAGGACGGGUCGCAUCGGAUGUGUAUAGAUUAUCGGGAGCUGAAUAAGUUAACGGUGAAGAACCGUUACCCACUCCCGAGGAUUGAUGACCUCUUUGACCAGCUACAGGGAGCAUCUUGGUUCUCCAAGAUUGAUCUGCGUUCAGGGUAUCAUAAGAUGAGGGUCAGAGAGGGGGAUGUACAGAAGAUAGCGUUCCGGACGCGCUAUGGCCAAUAUGAGUUCGUGGUGAUGCCUUUCGGGCUCACCAAUGCUCUUGCCGCAUUCAUGGAUCUCAUGAACCACGUGUGCAGACCAAUGUUGGAUCGGUCCGUGAUAGUUUUCAUCGAUGAUAUCUUGGUUUACUCCAAGACACAGGAGGAGCACGAGGAGUAUCUGCAAGAGGUUCUAGAGACUUUGAGAAGGGAGAACUUGUAUGUUAAGUUCUCCAAGUGUGAGUUCUGGUUGCGCGAGGUGCAAUUUCUCAGACACCUUGUCAACCAGAACGGGAUAUCGGUGGACUCGGCCAAAGUGGAGGCCGUGAUGAGAUGGGAGGUUCCAAGGUCUCCAUCCGAGAUUCAGAGUUUCCUAGGAUUAGUCGGCUACUAUCGGAGAUUCAUCCAUGAUUUCUCCAAGAUAGUCAUACCCCUGACCAGGCUAACGAGGAAAGUCGUGGUUUUUCGUUGGGGGCCUGAGCAGCAGGCCGCAUUCGAGACAUUGAGACAGAGAUUGUGUGAGGCACCAAUCUUAGCCCUAUCGGAGGGCAUAGAGAAUUUUGUUGUGUACUAUGACACGCCCAUUUCAGGUUUGGGCGCGGUACUGAUGCAGAGAGGGCAUGUCAUUGCCUACGCUUCGAGGCAGCUGAAGCUUCACGAGGCGAACUACCCGACGCAUGAUUUGGAGCUGGGGGCUGUUGUGUUCGCCCUUAAGAUUUGGCGUCAUUACCUCAAUAGGGUUCGCUAUACUAUCUACAUAAACCACAAGAGUUUGAUGUACCUCAUGGAUCAGCCGAAUCUAAACAUGAGGCAGCGUCGGUGGUUAGACGUGGUGAAGGAUUACGAUUACGAAAUCCUUUACCACCCGGGGAAGGCCAAUGUGGUGGCCGACGCACUUAGCCGCAAGGCAGCGCCGAUCAGGGAUAUUUGUCUGAGGAUGAUAGUGGUGACCCCGCUGUUGGAGCGGAUUCGGGAGGCCCAACGGGAGGCCAUGAAGGAGGAACAUCGGAAGAGCGAGCGGAUUGUGGGGCAAGUUUCCUCCUUCGAUUAUGAUAGCCGAGAGCUGUUGACACUACACCGUAGGGUGUGGGUGCCGUACCACGGGGGUGUACGCCAGGUUCUGAUGAAGGAGGCGCACAAAUCUCGAUUCUCCAUUCAUCCCGGGGCGACGAAGAUGUACAAGGACCUUCUUUUGGACUAUUGGUGGCCCUGCAUGAAGCUGGAUGUAGCAUGGUAUGUGGAGUGGUGCUUGACCUGUAGGAAGGUCAAGGCCAAGCACCAGAGGCCACAUGGAAAGAUGCAGCCGUUGGAUAUCCUGCUGUGGAAAUGGGAAGACAUUACGAUGGAUUUUAUCAUAAAGCUUCCUAGGAUCGCUCGGGGAGUGGAUUCGAUAUGGGUCAUCGUCGAUCGAUUAACCAAAGAGCGCCCAUUUUAUUCCGAUCCAGGAGGGAAUUUUGGCCGAAAAGUUGGCCAACAUCUAUAUCAGGGAGGUGGUGGUGCGGCACAGGGUGCCGGUAUCGGUGAUUUCAGACAGGGACGUGCGGUUCACUUCCAGGUUUUGGAGGAAGUUUCAUGACGAGCUGGGUACUCGUCUGUAUUUUAGCACCGCCUUUCACCCACAGACGGAUGGUCAGAGCGAUCGGACCAUCUAGACAUUAGAGGAUAUGCUGCGAGCAUGUGUUUUAGACUUCGGAGGUAGCUGGGAUACCUACCUUCUGUUGGCGGAAUUCUCGUAUAAUAAUAGCUAUCAUACGAGUAUUAACCGUCCUCCCUUCAAGAUGUUAUACGGGAGGAAGUGCAGAACCCCAAUAUGUUCGGGUGAGGUUGGCCAGAGGGUCAUGAGGAGCAUCGAGGUGGUGCUCAAGAUGACAGAGAGGAUUCAGCAGGUCCGGAGCAGACUUCAGACUGCUCAGAGUCGGCAUAAAAGUAAUCUUGAUAAGCGCCGAUCAGACCUGGAGUUCCAGCUCAAGGAUAUGGUUCUCCUAAAGCUGUCGCCAUGGAAGGGCGUCAUCCGAUUUAGGAAACAGGACAAGUUGGGCGCCACGUACAUUGGACCGUUCAGAUUCUUAGCCCGGGUGGGCAAGGUAGCAUACAGGUUGGAUCUGCCAGCCGAACUCAGCCAGAUCCACAACACUUUCCACGUCUCCCAGCUGCAGAAGUUUCUGGUGGACGACUCAGCAGCGGUACCCUUAAAAGAUAUUCAGGUCGAUGACAGCUUGAAUUACAUUGAGCGGCCAGUAGCGAUCCUCAACCGGAAGUCGAAGGAACUGAGGAACAAGAGGGUUGAACUAGUGAAGGUGCAAUGGCAACAUCGGAAGGGCUCAGAAUGGACUUGGGAGCCAGGGGAGGAGAUGAUCGAGCAUUACCCAGAGUUGUUCCAGGAACGAACAGCAGACUUCGAGGACGAAGUCUAAAAUAAGUGGGGGAGAUUUGUAGCACCUGGUUCCUGGUAUGUAAUUUAUUUAAAUAUUUUGCAUUUUUGGCCUUGGACUCGGCGAGUUCAAGGACCAACUCACCAAGUAGAAGCGGGAUGGGACGCGAGAUUUAAGUUAUGGACUCAUCGAGUCAGGUCCUGGACUCGACGAGUAGGCUCUGACUGGACAAAAACCCUAAUCUGAGGGUUUGCACCCUAUUUAAUCAUCUCAUUCAGCCACCACUCUACCCUAAUGCUCCCAGAAACCCUCCCUAGUAAACCCUAAGUGUUUUGGUGCAAGAUCUAAGGCUUUUUGAGUGAUUUUUGUGGGUUUUGACCUCAAGGAAGAAGGAAGAGCAUAGAAGGAUCAAGAGGAGACUGAACAAUUCGAGUUUGGUGCAUCAUUUUCUGUCCUUGAAAGGUAUAAAGUCUGUACCUUGCUUGUUCAUUUGUUAGAUCCCUUUUUGGGGAAGAUUUAGGGUUUUUUAAGUCAUAUGAGGUGGCCAACCAUGAUUGCAAACAUGGUUGGGGGUCAAGACUUCGGAUCUAAGUCUUGGAAGGAGUCCCAAAGCAUAUUUGGGUUGCUUUUGCACCCAAGGAAGGUCCCAUGCAACAUAAGAGCCAUUUAGAGCCUUUUUGGGUCAAAAGUCCCAUGCAUGCACAUAAAGUUCGAAACUUUAUGUGCUAGAUCGAGCUUAGGGCUUGGAUCUAUCUUUUUGUCAAUGGUUGUACAUCAGAAAUCAAGGAUUUAGGGUGUGGACGUUAUCGACUCGGCGAUUCCGUUCUUGGGACUCGACAAUUCCAAGGCAUAGAGUCCGUUAUCUGUUGAGGGUCAAAAGAACCCAGUUGGGUGUUAGAAGGGUUGUAGAAGGUCCGAGGGAGUAACCCAACGUGUUGGACUUAGCCUUAGACUCGGAAUUCAUGGGACUCGUCGAGUGCUAGAAUAGACUCGGCGAGUCCAAUGCAAUCUCCUUAUGGAUGAAGAUGAACUCGACGAGUUGUUUAUACAACUCGACGAGUCGGGGUCAGGACUUGUUCAUCAGAUGAAGGUGAACUCGACAAGUGUUCAUCCAACUUGGCAAGUCGGAUGAAAGUUCAUUGAUGUUCGUAAAGAAGGGGAACUCGUCGACUCGUUGCCAAACUCGACGAGUCGAGUCGUGGAUAAGGACGAGUAAAGGAAAGGGACUCGACAAGUAGAUGACCCAACUCGGUGAGUUGGGUCAACUGGAAGUUGACUUUGACUUGGACUUGGUUGGGGGUAAAAUAGUCAUUUUACCUCAAGAGUAGAUAUCAGUUUCUGACUGAGUGUUUUGUGGGGAUUAUAGCCGGAGGAUUUCCGGUGCAGCAGCAGGCAGAGGUUUUCCAAACAGAUUAUUAGCAACUACUUGUUCGAGGUGAGUUACCUACCAAUAGCGGUGGGUCUACGGCCACAAUGUCGGCCCACCAAUAGGCACUACUAGAAAAAAGGCGUUUUACGAUGCUCAUUGCGCGUCGUAAAACGCUCAGACAACGCGAAAAUGCGUGUCAAGGAAGGCCCUGUCAUAACGAGAGACGACACGCAUUUACGACACGCAUUUACGACGCUCAUUUACGACACGCAAUGCGUAUCAAGGAAGGCCAUGUCAUAAAGGAUGACGACACGCAUUUGAGUGUCGUAACCUUACGACACGCGUUUAGGACAUGCAUUGUGUAUCAUUAAAGCCCCUGUCAUAAAUGAAGAUGACACGCAUUUGCGUGUCAUAAUCUUCAGCAACCAUUUACGAUAUGCAUUUACGACACGUCUUUACGAUACACAUUUACGCAAAAUACAAAAAUAUGGAAAUAAAUAUAUAACAAAACAAUCAAUUUCAUUCAUUAACAUCAUGUCAAAAAAUUGUAAUACAUAGCGGAAGUAUUUGUUGAGAGCCCAAAAAGUUACAUAAAUCAAUGAAAGUAAAAUUCAUAACUUUUCUAGUUUUCAUAAUCCUAACAAUAGCUGCAUCAACCUGCGAUAUAUUUAUAAAAAAAAUGUGAUUAUAAAUUUAUAAUUACAAAAAAAAAUAAAGCAAAAAAAAAUUGGACCUGAUAUUGACGAUCUUGGGAAACUCUCUCUGUGGUGCUUGCGUUUUCUUCCACAGUUUCCUUCAGCUGGAUAUCAUUCACAUGUACAUGGAAUGGAAUGGAAUAAUGAAAUAAGCAAAGGAAUGGAAUGAGUCAUUCCAUUCCAAUUUCAUAUGAACUUCACAUUAUAAAAAAUUAAUUGAUCUCACCUUUAUACGAUAAAGAGGAGCAGUAAAUACAUCAUUAAACAUGAAGGAAUCAUUGUCAUCCACAUCAGUUUGAACCUAUUCUUUUGUCUCCUUUUCUUCUUUCUCUUUCCCUUGUUCUUUUUUGUCUUGUAUCUUUUCAAGUGGUUGGUACAACAAUAGAGGUAACGGGACAUGUGCCAGUAUUGGGUCCUGAAGAUCUUGUUGCUUUUGUGCUAAGUGUUUUGUGAUUGAGAAGCAAAUGGUCACAAAUUGCAUAUGGGUUCUGGACAUGCAAAUAAACUUAACUAUCGAUCACAUAACAAAAGCAAAUGAAAGUAUGAUGUUAUAAUAAACAAUUCAAAUGCUAAUACCUUUGACAUGUUUGUAUCUACAACAUUUUGGGAGCUUUCGAUGCUUCGAAGAAUUAAAAGUAUUGAAAUAACCUCUUCCUUCUUUAGACUAUUAUGAGGCUUCCCAUCUUCACAAUCACCACCAAUUGCCAACAUAGAAAGAAAUAAAUACAAUUUUCCGGAAAAUAAUAAAAAUUCAUAUAUAUUUUUUUCAUUCAAAGAAUCAAAAUCAACAGGUAUAGUAUGCAUUCAAUUUAUAUUUCAGGAAAAAAAAACUAAUAGUAUACCUACCUGUAUGUGGGUUCAUAGCAAGUUUUCUCUCUUGGAUAAAACAUUAUUUUUUUAUUUUAUUUAUACUAAAUGUUUUUUUUUAUAUUUUGAUAUAAUACAAAUUAAUUUAUGUUUUAGAUAAGCUCUCUUUUACUUNCCUGUCUUUUACUUAUUUACAUUGAAAAUUGACAAAUAGUUCUUUUUCCACAAAAACAGACAAACUAUCUACAAUGAGUUUUUUGCCCUUUGCCACUAUUUAAUCACCUUACCUUAGUUUUACACACAAAAUCCAAUAAUGGAAUAAUGCAUUGAACAUUACACAUUUGCAAAUAAGAUACACAUUAGCAAAAAAUGGUCUUAGCACUAACUUUCACCACCCACCCACCCGAUAACAAAAGAAAAUAUAAUCCGCCCACUCAGUUUCACUUUAUUUGCAAGUAAGUAUAAACAAUAAUAUUGCAGGGUUUUUUUUUCAGUAUGAAUGAGUAUUCAGUCACUAUUCAUCCAUACCUCUUUAAGUAGUUGAUACCAAAUGCUACCAUUAUUCAAUCUCCAUCUAGGGGUAGGGCUAGGUGUUGGUGUUGUUGGAGCAGAAGAAGCAUCAAUGAUAUUGAUAACAAUGAAAGGGGAACUCAAAUCAUCAAGUUCAUCAUCACUUGUGUUUGACUUUCUCAACACUGAUGAUCCAGUGCGACCCAAGUGUUUUAUACAUACAGCCACUCCCUCUCCUCCAACCAAAAUGGUUUUUAUUAUUGAUGAUGCUGAUGGCGGAUCAUAAACAACCGAACCAGCUACACAUGGGACACUGCUCACACAGUCUUCGCCACCCUCUGUAGAAUAUAAAGCCAAAAGAAACCUGUGUUUGUUUACUACUCAAAAUGAAGACAUAAAAGAAGAAAGGAAUAUGCAUUGUAUUGGAAAAAUGAAGACUAAAAACCUCUUAUAUUAUCCAUAUCAAUAAAGCUAUAUUUAUAGCUUCUUAGACACCCACGAUGAAGUAUGAAAACAAUCCAUGCUCUUGACUCCACCUAAUUAGCUUAAGAAUUAACUAUUAUAUAAAACAUAAAACACAAAACAAUAAUAAUUAUCAAAUCUAAAGUUUCAGCCAUGCACGUGAGCUAUGACUAACAAACCGAUUAACCCAACACCUUCCACCCCCAAAUCCUUAGCAUAUAUAAACAAACACCCUCUAAAUGCAUGUUAUUAGACAUACCAAAAUAUCUUUAAUUGGUUGGCUUGUGUGUCCUUCACAUCAACAUAAUUACUUAAUUAAUUAAUUAUACUGAACUCACCUCUGAGUCUAAGGCUUCAAGCACAACUUCAGGAAUAGCAUCUGGACAAAACUCAUCUGGAACAAAACUAUCUAGUAUCCCUUUUAUUAAUGCUACACCAAAACUCAAACAUACCUUCAAAAAAUUUUAAAUAACUUUAGCUUUGUGGAUAACUACACUACUAUAAAAGAAAAAGAGCCCAAUUUUAGAGACCUCUUUUCUGAUUGUGCUAUCUAACAACAUAUCCUUAGGAAGCAUCAUCAGGUCACUUAAUGCAUUCAGGAGAUGAAAAGAUUUGAAUGAUGAAUCAUCAGCAUCUAUAUCAAAUAAAUCAGUCAGCCACCUCGACCAAUUUUCAAUUUGCACAUUGCCAAAUGAACNNNNNNNNNNUAUAUAUAUAUAUAUAUAUAUAUAUAAAGGAUCACUUGCCAUGGGAAUUGGUCGCCUAUGAUUCAGAUCAGAGGCCUGGAAUCGUCAAGGUAGAAAACACAAGUCAAGAAAAAAAAUAAAAUAAGAGACUUUUAGGCAUAAAUGGUAUAUACCCUGUAAUAGGGAUAACAAACUCCUUGAGUGCUUUUUCACUUGUUACUCCAAUUAAUUCGCCAAGACCUUGAGCAUCCUGUUCUCUCAAUUCUGCAGACCUGCUUAUUAGGCCCUGAAGAUAUAUGGGAAGCAAUGGUUGAAGAGCCUUUGGGAGACAUAACCUGGGUAUAACAAUUGGUCCACCCUAUAUGUCCAUCAACAAAUAUUUAAAUAAGAUAAACCUUAAUCACUACUAAAUGCUGAUUAAAAUACACAUAGUUGCCCCUCGAGUUCCAAAACAUUAAAACAACUCUAUUUUGUGCUUAGAUUCCAAAAUAGGACCAAAACAAAAUUCAUACGCAAGUGCUCAAUGGAUGAAAAAACUCAUAUGUACAAAUUCUAAGCCAAAAUACAAGAAUACAUUAGUUCUACAUAAACCCUAUCAACUCGAAAAUAAAAUUUUCUCGUAUAAUAAUUACAUAACCAAAUUAUGUAGUGAAAUCACACAUUAAAGCAAAUGUCUUUGUUAUUGUGAAUUUUGAUACAUCAUAUAUUAUUAUAUUUUUACCUUUAUUAUAGAUUGGUUACCCAACUUUACAUGCAUUUGUUGAGUUUAUUUCUGGAUUUGACAUGCCUUCUGACAUUCACUCAAAGAAGAAAGACAACAUUCUUCUAGAAACUGGGAAACCUUUUCGAUGGCUCUCUUCCAUGAUGAGUUAUCGUUGCCACUAGCUCAUAUCUUCGACCGUAUUUAUUAUAAUUUUUUUUAUAAAUUAAUAAAAAGAUGAAAAUGAUAUAUANNNNNNNNNNNNNNNNNNNNNNNNNUAUAUAUAUAUUAUAUAAAUACAUACCUCUGGUGAUGAUAAAAAAAGGAAAUCACGAUUCAGAGUAAGGUGAAGAGGAAUGUGGAUUGGUUUGAGUAAUUUUGUGCUUCCUUGACUUACAUAGCUAAACCUCAUUAAGUGUAGUAUUAUUAUCUCUGGAAGCUCUAAUAUUUCACUGAUUUACUUGCACAUACUAAUUCACAUAAUAAUAAAAAGAAGUAUACAUUUCCUGCUGAUGAAGCACGAUACCCUUCAAGUGUCUCUGGAGCUGAAAAAAGAUGAAGUGCAUCUUCUAUUGUAUGCAUAGGAUCUGGACAUAUAUUCAAAUGGAGCAAAAGAAAUGGCUGAAUAGUUGCAGAUGCUUUGUUACCUAUUUUUGUUUUACAUUAAAAAUAUAUAAAUGAUGAAUUAAUGAUAUCAUGUUAUUGAGAUGAGUGAAAAAUGUUAAAAGAUUAAAAAAAAAUACCUCUUGCUUUCAUUACACUUUUUAUUUGGCCUUCGAAGAUCUGACUUAAUUUUGAAGGAAUAAAACUUUGUGUUCUUGUGAUUGUAGUUUUGUUCUUUGGUCCAACUGUUUCCCAAAUAUCAUCAUCAUCUUCAUCACUUAAAGAUGAAACCAGUGAAACUUUUCCACCAUUAAAAUUACAAACUUCUCCUUCAAGUUUAAGAAGUUCAUCAUGCAUUUGGUGCAUUACAAAGCUUAAAAACACCUGAGCAUCUUCUUGCCUUUUUAAAAAACAAACUUCAACUCAGCAUCCGAAAUUCCAAACAUAACAUAUAUAAAAUUUGUUGAUUAAUUUUAUAACAUUAACACAAACCUUGGUCUUCCAGAGAAGCUAUUUGGCAUAUCUGGAGAGAAAUUGUUGAGAACAGAUUCAAACAUGAUAGGUCGAAAAGGUUUCCCAGUUUCUAGAAGAAUGUUGUAUUUCUUCUUUGAGUGAAUGUCAGAAGGCAUGUCAAAUCCAGAAAUAAACUCAACAAAUGCAUGUAAAGUUGGGUAACCAAUUUGUAAUAUAGGUAAAAAUAUAAUAAUGUAUGAUGUAUCACAAUUCACGAUAACAAAGACAAUUGAGUCCAACUCCAUCGGCGUUUGCUUUUGAAUGAAUUCCUUGGGAUAAACCUUCCAUAUACGCUCUGCUCCCUUUCCUUUUGGAACAAAACACCAUAGCAAGACUCCAAAUAUGUAAUAAUAAUCGAUCGAUAAAGUUUCUACAUAAGUUGCAGGUGAUCAAAAAUGGCGGAAAUCAGGAAAUGUAAAUUGUACCUUUAGCGAGAUUAGGGUAAAGCCAUCACAAGUUAGAGCCAUCAUCACCUGUGGGAGACCUAGGGGAAGUUGAUCGCCUCUAUCCACCUGCCAAAAAAGUGAAUCGUCUUCCCAUAAGUUUUCGUCACUUUCUCUCGAUCUUGCCGCUCAACCGGACCAAGGACGCCGGGAAGGAAAAGGACGUCCCUCUUCACCUCAUACUCGUGGAUGUGCCACAUUGGCUUUUCUGAAUCCGGCAAGGUGAAGAACAAUUUUUAUGUUACGAUGUUUUCAACUCCGAUUAAAAAAGCCCUAGAAAUUAUCCCAGUGAUUUUGUGAUAUAUGAGUUGUUGAGGUAUACAGCAGAGGUGGUAUCGUGAUUAGGGUUUGCAGAGAAAAGGGGGAAGAAGAGAAUGAAGGGGAUCAAGCGGGGUAUUAAAAAAUUUAAGAUUUUUGAGAGGAUUUCAUUUCCCCCUUUCAAGAAGGCGCGUUUUAGUAAAAAUUAUAAAGCGACAAUCACAGAGGACGCAUAUUUUAGAUAAAGUGCCCUCCGUGUUUUUAUUUUUUUUACAUUCGACACUAAUUUAAGGGCAUGCAAUAAUGCGUGACCUAAAUCCUCAAAUUUUUUGAAGAGACGACACUUUUUUAUUGUCACUCUCGUUUGCGUAACAUAAAUCAAUAAGUGUCGUGAUUUGCACAUCGUAAAAGGGUCUUUUUCUUGUAGUGAGGAGUUGUAUGAUUAGAUGAUUGUCUUUGUGAUAUCAUCUAGGUUGCUGCUACCUGAUAUGUUAUAUGCUGGUAUGAUAUGUUAUUUGUGAUAGUAGUAGAGUUCGGUUGUUUGGACCGAAGGGUAGGUCAGACACCCCAGAUAUGUCUGACAGUAUGUGAUGAUAUGUUUAUAUGCUGGCAUGAUACGUUAUAUGGGAUAGUGGUAGUAGGAGGGGAACAAUCUCCAAGUUCGGUUGUUAGAGCCGAAGGGUAGUUCGGACACCCUAGAUAUGUCUGAUAGUAUGUUUAUGUUAUGAUAUAUGUGAUAGUAGUGGUAGGGGUGGAAUAGUCCAAGAGGGUCGGUUUUUAGGACUGACGGGUAGGUCAGCACCCCAGAAAGGCUUGACACGGGUAGGACGAUACCCCAGAAUGGCCGCAUGGGUAGGUCGGCACCCUAGAAUGGCCGCACGGGUACCUAGAAUGGCCGCACGGGUAGGUCGGCACCCCAGAAUGGCCGUACCGGGUAGGUCAGGCACCCCAGAAUUGCCUGGCAGUAUGUAUGCUAUGUGAUUGUAUGUUAUGUGGCACGAUGGGGGAACUCACUAAGCUUCGUGCUUGCAGUUUACAGUUUUUGUUUCAGGUACCUCUUCAGCAAAGGGGAUGGAGCUGGCGCGGUAGUGGCACAUCAUGAAUGGUUUUCCGCACUAGUGUUUCUUGGUAUUGUACUAUGACAUUAUUCUUAUUUUUGUGAAUGGUUUUCAGACAUGAGAUGUGGUUUUAUGAAAAGUUAUGAUUAGAUGGUGUUUUCUUAUAAAUGUUUUUACAAGUCAAUUUUAAAAAUGAAAUUUUUGGACUUGUAAAUUGGGUCGUUACAUUCCUUCCAUGGUAAGACUUUAAGCAAAACCAAAUCUCCAACUUCGAAUGCCAUCAGUCGUCUUUUCUUGUCAGCAUAGCUCUUUUUACAAUCCUGAGCUGCUAACAUCCUUUCCCUAAUCACUCUUAACUUUUCAACAGUCUGAUGGACUAUCUCGGGGCCCAUAAACUGCCUUUGUUCAACUUCAAGCCAACAUGACGGCGUACGACACUUUUUUCCGUACAAAGCUUAAUAAGGUGCCAUCUUGAUGCUUAAGUGGAAACUAUUAUUGUAGGAAAACUCUACCAGAGGUAAGUGUUCAUCCCAGUUACCUUGGAAUUCUAGGGUACACACUCUUAGCAUUACUAUAGUGUUUGAAUCGUCCUUUUUCUCUAACCAUCGGUCUGUAGAUGGUAGGCUAUACUUAAACACAGCUUCGUACCCAAUUCUUCUUGUAGACUCCUCCAAAACCUUGACGUGAAACGGCUAUCAUGGUGUAACGCCCAUGUUUCUAGGCUAGGCAUUAAUGAUAAUGUAAUAGUCUAGGUUAACCUUUGUAACCCGUCUUGAAAUAAUAAAAAUGUAUUAUUUGAGUAUUAUGUGUUUUGUGCUUAAUUGUGUGACUUAAAUGAAUUAAGGAUAAAAAUAAGCAUCAAAAUGAAAUGUUAGAUAAACUCGAUAUCUAUGAAGGAUGUGGUAGUGGUCGUGGCAAGGUUUCCAAAUAUAUAAAGAAUGCCAAAAUCUGAGUUAUAACGAAAAAGUUAUGAUCUGUCGAAGUUUCGUUACAGAACCGGCACGGCACUGCGUGACGUAAAUAGUGAAUUUACGAUAGAGCGAUAUUUAGUCUUAGUGAUCUAAACAGAAGUUGUAGAAUAAGUUUAACCGAGAGCGUGCAUAAGAAGAACGUCUAAAUUUGACUUCGUAUGAGGAAGUUAUGAUUUUUCGAAGUUUCGAUUUAGCAGUAUGCAACCCAAAUCUCGAAUUACAGAUCGAGUGAUACUUGGCCGAAACAAUCUAAACGGGAAUCGAAGAUCUCGUCGAUAGUAGUCCAAAAGUGAAAAGACAUACGAAAACGGACGUCGGAUGAAGAAGUUAUGAAUUUCUAACGGAGUUUUCCUGUCCGACCUGCUAAAAAUAAUAUAAUAAAAAUAAGUUCAAAAUUAGCCGACGCAGUCUAAACGAAAGUUGUAGAGCAUAGUCUCACCUAUGUGUGGAUAUAAAGAACAUAAAAAAUGGAGCUCGUAUGAGGAAGAUAUGAUAUUAUGAAGUUUUUAAAUAAUUAAAAUAUAUAAAUUUUAUUAUAUAUUCGGAUAAUAUCCGAAUCCAUGACUCAGCCGAUCUGAUCCGAAGAUUACGCCCAACGUACUGCUUGUAGAGGCAUUACGCCCAGCAUAAUCAGGAUUUACGCCCAACGUAAAUCGAGGUUUCAUCCCCUAUAAAUAGAAGUCGUGGGCAGCCGAGUUUUGUUGCUCAUUUCUUCCUCUCUCUCCCGUUUUACCUCGUUUUACGUGCAAGCUUUACCCCCGAAGCCGCGGUAUCAUUCCCGAGACCCGAAGCCCCGGGGAUCCCGAGAAGUAAAGUUUCUGAGCCGAAACUCUGCCCGUGUAAAGCCCGGUUUUGGAGAAAACGUCCUGGUUUUAUCGGAAAAUAUUAUUUUAAUAUAUGAGGUGAUGUCCGAUCAUCUUCUUAUCAAGUGAGUGUAUAUUCCCUUUCUUCUAACACAUAGAUAUGAAGUAUCUACUUUAGAAUAUGUGUUACAUGUGUAUAAAUAUACGUGUAUAUAUAUGUUAUCUGUUUAUUUGGAAUGAGUAUCUUAUUAGUUUUUAAGUUACAUAUGAAUGCAUAUGUAUGUUGUUAUCUACAAAAUGUUGGGUAGAACUUGUGUAGAUAGUUGAUGUGUGAUAAACUGAUGAGAUGCCUCGAUGUGAUUGUGAUCUAGUCAUUCAACAGAAUAUGGGUGACGACCACGGACUCUUUCUAGACUGUCCCGUGGAAUGCUGGCAGGCUCAUAACCUGUAGGUGUUGGUGAACUUGGGUGUUCAUUUGUUGUAUUCUAUCCCCCUCAUGGUUGCCUUAGGACAUUCAUUGUUGAGAAAACCCCUCUGCAGUAGUGUCCGUCCUGAUGAAAAUCCUAGAUUAGGUCCCUUGUAAUAGUUAUUGUCAUAGUGACGUAAAGUGAGGAUAACAGGAAUGGGUAAUCAGGUUAUUGUUGGUUGGUGAAAUUAAAUAUAAUUAGUUAUUGUGGGUUGAAAACCCUAUAUGCUCACCAGGCUCCCAAGCUUGACCCACUCAGUUUUUUUGUAUUACAGGUAGUGGUGCGAGGGCAUAAGUUGGAGAACUUAUGAAGAUGUUUUUGUUUAUAGACCAGUAGUUGUAUAUAACAGUGUAAGGUCUAUGUUUUACUGUUUAUGCUUUUGUGUCUGUAUCGGAACAUGACAUCCUGAGUUUUGAUAUAUAAUGAAAAUACAUUUCUUUAAGAAAUGUUUUGAUAAACUUUAUUUUAUCAUGUUUUGUUUUAGGGACAAAUUCUGCAACUCUUUUAAAUCAAUGGAUUUACUCUGAAAUUAUUUUAAAAACAUAAAUGAAACCGGCCUUUUCUGGCCGUGAUUUUGGGGAUUUCACACAUGGUCUGAUACUAUCUUUAAAGGAACACCAUGAAGUCUUACUACCUCCUUCACGUAAGCAUUUGCAAGCUUAUCUGUAGACCAUCUUGUUGGAUUAGUGUCUAAGUCCAUAACUAUUUUGGUAUGUACUUGACCCGAUGGUGCAUGGUCCUUUUGGGUUGCCUUCACCAAAGCAACUUGAUUGGAGAAAUAAAUAAAGAGAGAGAGGUUAUUAUGAUUUAUUAAUAUGUUAUAAGAAUAAUAUAUUAAAGGAGAAAUCAUAUUUGUUUAAUUAAUAUUGGUCAAUAAUUAAUUAAGAAUUAAUUUUGUGAUCAAGUGUAAUUAAUUAAACUAGAGGGGCUGAAUUGUAAUUAUGUGAUAGUUACAAAAUAAGGUAAGGAUUAUCUUAAAUAUAGGGUGAACGAAUUUAAGGAGAUAAUGCCUUAGAAUUCGACUAGGAUAAGGGUUUCUAAGACUUAUCUUAUGGUUGCUUGGUGGGCAAGCAACUAGAUAAGGAUAAGGACUAAAACCCUAAUCUUUACACCUAUAUAAACCCCCUAAGGCUCAUGAAUUCGUCUAAGCCUUCCCAAGAAGUCCUAAGGACGAAUUCCUACCUCUAUCCUCUCUCUUUAUACCUUCUCCAUUUGCUCUUGGUGUUUGUGAGCCAUUAGAGGAGUGACACUUGUGACUCUAAGCCUUCCAAAGUCAAUUCAUGGAGAAUUGGGAUUGUUAUUACUACAUAACAAUCAAGGUAACAUCUUAAACCUAAUUAUAUGUUAAUAUUGAUUUCCAUAUGCUAGAAUUAGGGUUUAUAGUCUUGGAUUCAUUGCAUGUACAAUAGAGAAACCUAGAUCCAAGCAUUAGGGUUUGUAUGAGCACAUAGGAUGUCUUAUGACCAAAACCCAUCAGUGGUAUCAGAGCCUAGCUUGGUUUCAAUUGUAUUGAUGCAUUGUAUAACUGGAAAAUUCGUUUUUUGGGUUUCUGGAGGCUGGACUCGCCGAGUCCAUAGAUGAACUCGCCGAGUCCAUGCUGACUCGACGAGUCCAUGCCUGACUCGGCGAGUCGGCUCGUCAGAAGGAGGGAAAACCGGGAUUUCUUGCUGUUUUUGCUUAAGGAUAGUUGCCUUAUCAUAUUAGAUCAAUAUAAAUCCGAUUUUAUGAUAUAUUUGACUAUAUUCUUGAUCUAAUUGAAGAUAUUUAUCAAUUAAUAAAAUAUUUGUUUCCUUAUGUGAUAAUUGAUUAAUUAUUUUGAUUAAAUUGAUAAAUUGUUUUGCAAGAAAUCAUUAAAUAAAUCAAAUAUGGAUAAUUAUGUGAUUAAAUGUUAAUUUAGAUUAUUUGUUAUUUGAUCCUUGUUGUUAUGAAAAGUUUCAUAUUUUCCCCUUUAGGUUUUAUAGUUUAAAUUUGAACCCAAAAGUUUUGUUGUUUUGAAAUUUAAAUAGUUGAAACCCUAAUGUUUUGAAAAAGGUUUCAAAACUUGCCCUCAAGUUUUGGAAUUUAAAUUUUGAUUAAAUAGUUUAAUUUUGAUGUAUAUUUAAAUUCUAAACCCUAAUGUGUUGAAAUGUUUCAAAACUUGCCCUCAAGUUUUGGAAUUUAAAAGUUGAUUAAAAGUUUAAUUAGGAAUGUUAAAUUCUAAAACUCUAGUAUUGUUUUGAAAAAGUUCAAAUCACACCCUUAUGGUUUUAUUAAUUAAUUAAGGUGUAUAAUUAAAAGAGGUUUAAUAAAUCCAUAAAAGUUUUGGUUUACAAUUUAAUUGAAUUAAAAGUAUAAUUGUUAAAUUUGACCACCUAGUAUUUUAAAAGUGUAAAAUACACCCUAUACUAUAUAUAACAUUAAAAGUCUAACAUUAUAUAUAUGUAUGAGUAAAAGUCAGUCUUACCGUUAGUAGGCCUCAUUCACGAAGCUGGUCUAUAAGGGGUGUUUAAGGAAAUUGCCUAUAAAAUGGCGAUUGAAUGGGUAUCCACUCUUACCCACCGCACUCUUGACUAGUGGAGGGUCGUUAGCCGAACGGGUAGGAUAGGACGAAACCUUCCAUUAUAAGUAUAAUGAAGUAUAAAAGUAACUAAAUGUUUUCAUAAAAUUCCCAAUCUUAGUUACUUAGGCAAAAGUGAAUUGAUGCAAUUCCAUGAAAUUACACUUUGUGCCCUUGCGAAGACGUUAGUGGAGCGUGUGUGGUUUACCGGCACACUAAAUGGUUCUAAGCAAAGGUAGCAAAGGGUGACUCAAUGUUUGUCAUAGUUCGGUGGAGCGUGUGUGGUUUACCGGCACAUCGAAUAGGUGACUGUAACAUGUGAGGGCACCAUGUAAGUUUGCAUGGUUAUUCACACCCGCUUUGUGAUCCUCGGCAUCCCAGUCACAAACAAGAGGGGCAUAUCGAGAUUUAAACAUGCCAUUGAAAUGUUCAAUGAAUCUCAAAGGAUCUAGGAGUUUUCAUAGAUUUAAAACUUAAAUUUCUUUUUCGUUUUUCAUGGUGGAAAUUAGUGAAUCGUCAUUCACUUACCUUCAAAUGUUCUGCAAUUUGGGUUACGGCAUCCCUCUCCCGAGUUGUAGAAUAUUGUGUUGGGUCCUAGCCUUAGUAUCUCAUUUGGGUGAUUUACUAAGGACUCAAUCAAUCAACUAACUUGAAUUCUUUUUCUCCCGUUUUGUAGAUGUCAAAGUUCGACAACUAUGGUCUUCCCAAAUCCCGUGGAACAAGCAUUCCACAUGAAGAUGAUAUUCCACGAUUCGAUCGAGGAACAAGAAAUCAUGCUUCACUUCCUCCACCUCCUCCAAUUAUUCUCCCUAACCCACAAGUUCAAAGGCUUGAAAAGUUCAAGAUCACUCAAGCCCUUUUGGCAAGUAAACAUAAAGAAGGAAAGUCGGUGUGUGCACACGUCCUAGGGAUGAAGUCACACAUUGAUAGGUUAAGAAUGUUGGGAUCCGUUGUCUGUGAGGAAAUGGCUGUUGAUUGGGUUCUUCAGUCACUUCCUAACUCAUAUAGUGAGUUCGUAAGAGAGUACUAUAUGAUGAACCGCGACGUGACCCUUAUAGAUCUCACCUAUAUGCUUAUUGCUGCUGAAUCAGCAAUGGUUUGGCGCAAUAGAAAAGCAAAGUUGAUUGGUGAAUCUGCCUUCAAGACCUCUAUGGAUAUAGACAAUGGCAACGAAAGACAUGCUAUGAUCGAAAAGUUUGAUCAUAAGAGAAAGGCAAUGUCUGAAGUAGUUCCAUGUCAUGUUCCAAAAGAGUCAAUUUGCUUUUAUUGCCAAGAGAAAGGGCAUUGGAGACGAAGCUGCCCCAUUUACCUAAGAGAUCUAAGAGAUGGGAGAGUCGAAACGUAUGGCUCUAAUAUAGGUAAAAUCCAUUAACUAACUCUUUUAAGCUUCUAUUCUAGAUUCUUAAUACAUAAUGUGAUAAGAUUACAAUUGAUGUUUUGUAGGAUCGAAGAAAAGAAAGGAAGCUUAAGGGAAGAAGUGAGCAGAAUCUAACCGUGAAGGAAUGGAUUUCGAUCGCAUUUCUCGAAGAUUAGAUUCUUGAGCUACUACUUAGAGUUAGAAUUAGAUUGCUAAGAAAGAUGUAUUAGCAUAGUUUUUCAAUGAAUUGCAUUGUAAGGACAAAUUUUUCCGCAAUAAAAUAAAUUUUGAUUUUAAAUUUUAUUUAUUUAUCCUUACAAUGGCGUGUAUGAAAAAUUGAUGUUAAAAUGUUUCUAUUAUUAGCAAUAAUGGAUUUGGUUCUUAUUAUGUUAUUUAUGGAAAGUCGAGAAUUUACCAAAUAGGGAGAGUUUCUCAUCGCCCAAGUUUCAAUUGGACAGAAACUUGGAAUCAUGCAACUUGGUUGCACGAUGAAUGAGAAAUUUCAUAUUUGGAAAUUAGACUAAUUCAUUGACAAAGUGUCAAGUGAAGGACUAGGAGAUCGAGUACACAAAGUUGCGUGUUGAUCAAGUCCACCAUAAGAGUAACAAAGAUAUUCGUCAUGAUUUACUAAAGGUUUAGUAAAUAUGAUUAUACUUAUAAGAUUAAGUGUAAUUCUGAAUUGAUUGAAAAGGUUUAAAUCAAUAGCAGAACGAAUAAGAAGAAUCAAGUAGGCAGAAAGAUAAAAGUUUCUCCAUUCUAAGAAGAAGGGAGAGUACCUUUUAUGCUUUAUGAUAGGUCUUAAUGAUUAAGAACCAUAUCUCAAUUGAUCCUCUAAGUGAGUCUUAGUACAAUUGUAUGUCUAAGAAGAGGAAUCAAGAAUUGAAGAAAUGGUUAAAUCAAGAAGUCAAUCAUACUUCGUUCCAAAACAAGUCUUAGAGUUAAGAUUGUGACAUUGAGUGAUAAGUAUAAAGAAGGUUUAUAACAUUCAUUAAAUGUGGAAAGUUGUGAUGUCUUGGAUAAGACAAAGACCAACUAGGACCAAUUUAUGAAGUGUUUUGAUAAAAGCUACACUAACUCUUGAAUAUUUGUUUGUCAAGAAAUGGUUAUUGACAAGAGAAUCUUAUAUGUCAAGGAGUCAGUGGGAGUCUUAAUGGUCUUGAAAGGUUUCAAGAACAAAUCAAAUAAACCUUAUCGAUCAUCACUAGCACACGAGUUGAGGUUUACAACCUAUCGUGUUGACAUUAUUUUGAUUCUGUGCCAAUCCAAUCGAGUUAAUUAUGCAUGUGAGUUCUAUGAGUUCUCAUUUUGAACGCAUAAAAGGCAAAGCACCUUAAUCAAUGAAAGGUACAUUGAUAGGAAAGGGUGAGCUGCUUAACUACUUGGAAGACAUGGUGGGCAGCUGUGCUACCAUAAAGGCAAGAAAUCGAGAUCAAGAAAGUUCGAUCCAUAAGAGUUUGAAUUUGUCGUAAACUUUGGUUUUGACAAAUUCACAUGGAUAGGAACAAAUACACCGUUUAAAUCUAAGUGUCAUAAGAUUUCCUCCUUCAUGAAAAUGAUUGUGAGGAAAUGCUUUCACUAAGACAGAUUUUAAGAAGAUAGUGAUUGUAAAAUUGCAUUCUCGAAUUCAAUUAUGGUUACGGCAUCCCUUUCCAUAAUUUGAAUUGUGAGGUUUGGCAAUUAGUCUUAAUUGUUUAGACACACAUAUGAACUAUCGAAGGCAAAGGUGUAUAAGUUCAAGAAGCCUUGAUAAAAGAUUAUCAAAGCACUAAGUAUUAGAAACAUGAACUUAAGAAAUUCAAUAAGCAUUUUUUUUCUGAAAGUUAAGAUGUUUAUGAAUACAUGUCGAAGCUAGUGGGAGCAUAAGUGUUAUGUUUUAUAAUAAUCAUCAAGAUAGUGGGAGCAUAAAAGUUAUGAUUGUAUGAUUAUUAAGGAAAGUAUUGCAAGGUUAGCAAUAUUAAUUAUAGAAAACAAGAGUCAUACUUUGCAAAGUCGCAAUAGUUGAAGAGUUGUUUUGCUAUAAUUAAGGGAGAGAAUAUUAUGCUUCAUUUCAAAUCUAAAGGUUUAGGUUGAGAAAUGUUAAUAAAAUUUAGUCAAAGGUACAAAGUGUGUUCUUAAAAUUUCGAUUAUGAUUACGGCAUCCCUCUUCACAAUUCGAAUUUUGAGAACAUAGCAAAUAAAACAUUAUGCGUCGUGUCCCAUACGCUUCGGGUAUAGGAUCGAUUGCAAAUGCUUUAAUGUUUGACCAUUCUAAAAUUUUCCAAAUGUCGAGCGCAUUUAGAGGGAAAAGGGACUAGAAUUGGUUUUGACUAAAAUAAUUAAACAACUAUCAAAGGACAAUCCAAAGUUCGACGAGGAUUGGUCGCUUGUGAGUAGUUGGAAGUAUAGUAUUGGAAAAUAUGGAAAUGUUUCCAUAUUGGAUGGACCAUAUCGACAUCAUUACGAAUAGAUAAGAUUCUAUUAAGAAUGAGUUGUCAUAUGGAACAUAUGGAAGUGUGUCCAUAUUGGGAAUUGAAUAUUGAGAAAUCUAUGACUAGAUUAGAAACUUCUAUGCAAAAGGAUGUUCAAAGAAUGUACUUUGAGUGAGAGACAUCACAUCUAUGGAAUUGUCUUGUAACAAUCUCCGAUAGAGGACUUUGUAAUAUCAUUGGCAAUAGUCUUUGUGACUUUGGUGCAGUGACAUUACGAAAGGAUCGUUGCAUAAAAUGUUAGAAUCUAGCAUAUUCUAUAAGUAGCAAGAAUUUGAUAUUCUUUCACUUAUGAAAAGGAUUUGGAGUUGUGAAAUGAGAAUGAUUGGAAAUGUGUUCAAUUUGAUCUAUUUCACAAAGUAAGAACCAUAGGUAAACAUUGUGUGCAUGCUAGGAGCAUGGGACAAGUGUAAUAAUUCAAGUAAGAAGUUGAUUACCCGAAACGACAAAUAAUGAGUAAUCGAUAUGGUGAUAAAUAAAAGGUGUUUUAUUUAUACUCAAAGGUUUGAGGCCAUAUGGGAUUAGUAUUAUUCUUGUGUUUCACAUUUGCAUGUUUUGACUUCCAGAAUAAUUGAGUUUAUUAAGAAUAAUCGAAUUAUUCGAACGGGCCACAGUCGUUCAUAUGUUGGAAGUAGAUAUGAAUGAAGACUGUCGUGAAUUGGUGUGUGGAUUGUCUAAAAGAGUAUUAGACAUAAGCAAAUGUUUGCUGCAACGUUCAUGAGUGCUUAUGAAUAUGAUUUGAGCAUUGGAUUAAACCCACGCUCACUUGGAUCACUCCAUGAAUUGUAUCACGAGUGAUUGGUGAGACGAUAACAUCUUAUAUUCUUGAAACCGAGAUGUGUGAGUUGUAUCUUGCGAAUCGGUUGCACAUUGAUAAUAUGUAAACGCACUAGUAACUUGGUGUUAUAAAACAUAUUGUUGUGUGUGAUUUGGUUAGUAAGUGCAAGCAAGCAUUGUAUCAAAGUUUAUCCGUUCCUUUUAUCCAAAGUAGGAUAAAAGCGAUAUCUUUGGGCCCCUCGAUGAUUUAGUGAUGACAAACGUAAAUGCUCGGCCGGGCUAGGGCUAAUUUGAUUUGUUCAAUUAGUCAGUCGUCAUAAAUCGGGAAUCGAGAUAUAGUACAAAGAGAAUGAUUUGAAAUCAUAUCUCAUAUGAUAUCUAGAAUGGAGGAAUAUAUGAUCCCUUAUCUAAGGACACGCGUAUCUGAUAUGAUCAGAGUUGACAGCGGCUUUGGAAAGCUACGAUUGCAGAUCAGGAUCUGAAGUCAUACGCAGAAUAGUUGUUAGACUUAUCCAAGUGGGAGACUGUUGGAUUAGUGUCUAAGUCCAUAACUAUUUUGGUAUGUACUUGACCCGAUGGUGCAUGGUCCUUUUGGGUUGCCUUCACCAAAGCAACUUGAUUGGAGAAAUAAAGAGAGAGAGAGGUUAUUAUGAUUUAUUAAUAUGUUAUAAGAAUAAUAUAUUAAAGGAGAAAUCAUAUUUGUUUAAUUAAUAUUGGUCAAUAAUUAAUUAAGAAUUAAUUUGUGAUCAAGUGUAAUUAAUUAAACUAGAGGGGUUGAAUUGUAAUUAUGUGAUAGUUACAAAAUAAGGUAAGGAUUAUCUUAAAUAUAGGGUGAACGAAUUUAAGGAGAUAAUGCCUUAGAAUUCGACUAGGAUAAGGGUUUCUAAGACUUAUCUUAUGGUUGCUUGGUGGGCAAGCAACUAGAUAAGGAUAAGGACUAAAACCCUAAUCUUUACACCUAUAUAAACCCCCUAAGGCUCAUGAAUUCGUCUAAGCCUUACCAAGAAGUCCUAAGGACGAAUUCCUACCUCUAUCCUCUCUCUUUAUACCUUCUCCAUUUGCUCUUGGUGUUUGUGAGCCAUUAGAGGAGUGACACUUGUGACUCUAAGCCUUCCAAAGUCAAUUCAUGGAGAAUUGGGAUUGUUAUUACUACAUAACAAUCAAGGUAACAUCUUAAACCUAAUUAUAUGUUAAUAUCGAUUUCCAUAUGCUAGAAUUAGGGUUUAUAGUCUUGGAUUCAAAGCAUGUACAAUAGAGAAACCUAGAUCCAAGCAUUAGGGUUUGUAUGAGCACAUAGGAUGUCUUAUGACCAAAACCCAUCACAUCUUUCAUUGGCUACUAUGAAGUGUGCACUCUUAGUAAACCGAUCAACGACCACCCAAAUCAUGUCGUGACCGUCCUUCGUUCUGGGCAGUUUAGUGACAAAAUCCAUGGUAAUGUCUUACCACUUAUCCAUGGUUACACAUAAAGGUUCUAAAAUCCUAUAUGGUUUCUGAUGUUGUGCCUUAACUCUCACAUAGGUCACACACUUGGCCACAUACUUUGCAAUGUUGAGCUUCAUCUUCGGCCACUAGUAGUAGGGUUUCAGAUCCCUAUACAUUUUUGUGCUGCCGAGAUGAAUCGAGUACAUGGUCUUGUGAGCUUCUUCCAUCAGAAGAUCUCUUACUUCGCCCAUCUUGGAAUACCUUUAAUCCUUGAUUAUUUGUACCGAAAACCAAGUUUUUGCUUAAACAUUCUUCCUUUUGGUCAUUCUCCUCUAAAACUUCCUCCCAAGCUUUGUUGAUGCUUUCCACAAUCAUUGUGACAACCUCUAUUGAUUGUUUUGAUUAUAUUUCUCUUCAAUCUUCUGUCCUAACUCAGAUGCUACAUGAAACUUGGUUCUCUGAACCAUGUAACAUACUCAUCUUAGUUGGACUCGAUAUGAUACGACCACUAGGGUCAGAAUCAGAAUCAUCUUCUUAGUCAUUACCAAAACGAUGGUAAUGAAGAACUUGAACAAAACAGAAUCAAUUACUAGCUUCUUAGUAACCUUGCGACUUUCACUGAUCCAAGUGCAAGUCCUGUGCUUCCGGUAGUAUAGGCCUCUACUACCAUUCACACCUACUCAUACUCGUUCAAGGUGCUAUCUCACAGUUUUCCAAGUCAUCAUUCAAGAGUUUCACAUAAUCAUUUAACACAUCAGAUAACAAAAUCAAGGUUUUAUAUUAUUUCUUGAAAUGAUUACAUAAAUGUUCAACUUCGUCCUAUACUAUGCCUCUAAUAAGUUGCGCUACAUGAUGCUAUCCACAUGGCCACUUCAUAACUUGAUCUUCGGAUAUCAGUCCUCACUCCUGCUUCCUUGCAUUGUCAGCUGCUUCGUUAAGGAUCAUUUGGAAUGCCCUUGGCUGGGGCGGUGCGUUUGGCCUUGCCGCUUUAUUCUUCCUUGGGCGGUUCUUCAAAAUAUGCCAUCCUUCAUUGCAUUCAUAGCACACCCUCUUGCGGGAUGUACACUCAUUGGCGUAGUGCCCAGGAUUUUCACACUUAAAACAAGUGACCUCCCGUCACAUUUCCCAUGGUGCUUCUUUUUGUACUUUUCACACCAUUUCGCUUCAACUCCUCCUCCUCUCGAACCAGACUUCGAGAAAUUACUUUUCUUGUUGGAUUUCGAAGAUCCAUCAAACUUCCUUUUCUUACCAACCUCUGCCCUCUCCAGACCCUUCUCCCUUAUCCGUGUCUCAACAAUCUUCAUAGCUCUAACGACUGCCUUCAACGUGCUUGCCAUUUUGACUAUUGGGCCAAAGUCUGAUGGCAAUCCGUUAGCAAAUUUCUCUAUCUUGGCGAGUUCAGUCGACACCAAGUAUGGAAAUAACUUCAUCUUCUCAGUGAAUGCAGUAGCAUAAUAAUCAAUGCUUAUUCUCCGUUCUUCAAUUUCUGGAACUCAUUGUUUAGAUCUAUCAUAUCUAUUUCGGAGCAGUACUGCAUUUUCAACUGCAUUAUGAACUCUUCCUUAGACAUUUUCAGAGCUUUUCCUCGUGGCAUCGUAUCCGUUAAUAACUUCGACCAGCUUAAAACUUUGGUCUUUACUUGUUUGACCGCAAAGACAAUUUUUUGUUUGUCGCUAUAGUUGCAGCUUUCAAAUACCAUCUCUAUUUCGACAUGAUCUUCAUUGUGAUUUGACGAAACAUAUUUGGACGGUUAUGCUUUUCAUGGCCAAUUUUCGAAGAAGUACUUCUUUUAAAUUGACGAGUGUGACAUCCACCAUUUUCACGGUCAGAAAAGACUGAUUUUGUUUAUGCUUUAUAAUAAAAUCAGAGUAACCUUUUUAAAGAAAAGUGUUGUGGAAUUUGUUCCUAAAAUAAAAUAUGAUAAAGAUUUAUCAAAACAUUUCCAAAGAAAUGUAUUUCAUUGUAUUAAAACCUUGGGAUGUCAUUAUUAAUACAAAUCAGAAACAUAAGCAGUACAACAUAGGCGUUACAACAUUUAUUUAAAUCUACUAGCCUAUAAACCAUAAUCCUCUCGUCAAGUCAUCCAACUAUGCUCUUGCCACUACCUAUAAUACAAGAAACUGAGCCGGUCAGGCUUGGGAGCCUGGUGAGCACAUAGGGUUUUCAACCCACAAUAAAUAAUUUUGUUAAUUUCAACAAAUGAAAUAAACCAGAUUACCCGUUUCUAUUUAUCCUCACAUUACGUCCCUAAAACAUCUAAUAUAAGGGACAUAGCCUAAGGAUUAUUGUAGCACCUGGUUCCUAGUACGUAAUCCUUGUAAUUAAUAUUUCUUAAUUUUGCAUUUUUGCCUUGGACUUGGCGAGUUGAAGAACCGACUCGUCGAGUAGAAGCGGGAUGAGAAGCGGGGUCUGAGCUUUGGACUCGGCGAGUAGACCCUGUUUGGGCAAAAACCCUAACCAAAGUGUUUGCACCCUAUUUAAACGCUCUAACUUGGCCUCCUUUGUCCCGAACACUCCCAGAGAGCUGAAGAGCGAAACCCUAGCCCCCAUUUUGUUCUUGAGAGUGAUUUUUGGCUUUGUGAAGAAGGUUUGGAGCUUAGAAGAAGAAGAAAUAGGUUGUAGUGUGCAAAGAGGGGAAGUAGAUCCGGAAUCUACACUACAAGAGGCUUCCAUUCAGCCGGAGGAUUACCGAUUCAGCAGUCAGGCGCUUAGCAAGCAGAUUUUCAGCAGCUACUUUUCGAGGUGAGUUACCUUCCAGUAGCGGUGGGUCUAAGGCCACAAUGUCGGCCCACCAGUAGGAGACGUAUGAUAGAUGAGUGUCUUUGUGAUAUCAUCUAGGUUUGUUACUACCUGAUAUGUUAUAUGCUAGCUUGAUGUGUUAUAGUAGUAGAGUUCGGUUGUUAGGACCGAAGGGUAGUCAGAUACCCCAGAUACGUCUGACAGUAUGUGAUGAUAUGUUUGCAUGUUGGCUUGUUAUGUUAUAUGCGAUAGAGGUAGUAGGGGGUGAAAUAGUCCCCGAGGUUCGGUUGUUAGGACCGACGGGUAGUCAGCACCCCAGAAUGGCUUGACAUAGGGAGGGCGGCACCCCAGAAUGGCCGUACAGGUAGGUCGGCACCCCAGAAAUGCCUAGCAGUAUGUAUGUGAUAUGAUUGUAUGGUAUGUGGUACGAUGGGGGGGACUCACUAAGCUUUGUGCUUACAGUUUUCAGUUCUGGUGUCAGGUACCUCUUCAGCGAAGGGGAAGGAGCUGGCGCGGUAGCGGUACAUCAUACACACACAUUGGAUUUCCGCAUUAUGAGAUGUCCUGGGAUUGUACUCUGACAUUAUUAUUAUUUUCAUGUUUUGGGUUUUCAGACACGAGAUUUGUUUUAUGACAUGAUAUGAUCGGAUGAUGUUUUACUGCAAAUGUUUUACAAACCACUUAUUUUAAGUGAAAUUUUUGGGCGUGAAAAUUGGGUCGUUGCAAUUAUCAUCGGGGUAACAACAUUGCUUAGGGGAUACUGUGACAUCCCCAAAAUCUUGGCCAGAAAAGACCGAUUUUCAUUUAUGCUUUUAAAAUAUUUUCAGAGUAAAUCCUUUUGAUUUGAAAGAGUUGCGGAAUUUGUUCCCAAAAACAAAACAUGAUAAAACAAUGUUUACCAAAGCAUUUCAUAAAAGAAAUGUAUUUUCAUUAUAAUCAAAACUCGGGGUGUCAUGUUCCGAUACAGACCAAUAAGCAUAAACGAAUACAUUACAAGUCAUAUAACAAAUAUAAACAUAUGCAGACUUGUAAACAAAACAACUUGAUGGUUCAUCCAUCUCAUGCCCUUCCGCCACUACCUGUAAUACAAUUUAAAACUGAGUGGGUCAGGCUUGGGAGCCUGGUGAGCAUAUAGGGUUUUCAACCCACAAUAAAUAUCAUAUUUAAUUUUCACCAACCAACAAUAACCCAAUUACCCAUUCCCGUUAUUCUCACUUUAAUGUCCCUAAAACAACUAACAUAAGGGACCUAGUCUAAGAAUAUUUCAUCGGGGCGACAACACAUGCUUCGGGGGUACCUCAGCAAUAUAAGUCAAAUAAGGCAACCAUGAGGGGGAUGGAGUACAGCGAAUGAACACCCAAGUUCAUUAACACCUACAGGUGGCGAACCUGCUAAUGUUUCCACAAGACUAUCUAGAAAAGUCCGUGGUCGUCAUCUAAACUCCGCUAGAUGACUAAAUCAAACAACAACGAGGCCUCUCAUCUGUUUAUUACACACCAACUAUCUACCCAUGUUCUACCCAACAUAUUAGUAGAUAAAAAUAUACAUUUUUAUACAUAGUUUAAAAACCUGUAUAGCAUGCUUUAAUCAACACAUAUUUCACAUAACAGAUGAGGCACACACACACAUAACACGUAUCUCAUAGAGAAUAAAUCAUAUCUAUGAGAUAGAAGAAAGUGAAUACACAUUCACACACAUAACCACAAAAUUAUACACAUAAUACGUAUUCCGUAUAAAAUACUUCAUAAUUAUGCGUUAGAAGAAAGUAACUACACACUCACUUGAUCAGAAGAUGAUCGGACAGCACUACGACUUGCAGAAGUAGUAAUCCUCAGCAGAUCUGGAAGAUCUUCACAAAAAUCGAACUUCUCGCGGGCAGAGCUUCGGCUCGGGAACCGCACUUCUCGGGAUCUUCGGGAUCUCGGGACUUGCCUCGGGGCUCGAGUAUGAUACCGGGGCUUCGGGGUAUUUCUGGCACGCAAAACGAUGCAAAACGGGAGAGAGAAGAGAGAAAAUGAACAAAAGAAUCGGCUGCCUUCGGAUCCUAUUUAUAGGAGGCUGAAGCCUCGGAGUACGCGAGGUGUACUGGUCCGAAAAACGUCACUGCUUACGUAUCCGAAGACUCGAGUGCGAAUGUCGACAUCCCUCGGUGUACGCGGGGCGUACUUCGGAUCGGAUUGCUGACUCCCCUUCGGAUAAUACCGGAUUUUCUAAUAAAAAUUAAAUACAAAUUAUUUAAUAAACUUCGGAAAUUCAUCUCUUCUUCAUACGAACUCCGUUUUCGACGUUCUUUAUAUCCACGCGAAGGUGAGACUACGCUCUACAACUUUCGUUUAGACUCCGUCGGCUAAUUUUAACUUUAUUUUUAUUAUUUAUUUUUAAUAGGCCGGGACAGAAAAACUUCGUUAUAAAUUCAUAACUUCUUCGUUUGACGUCCGUUCUCGCCUAACUUUUUAUCGCUUCGAGACCAACAACGAGACCUUCGAUCCUCGUUUAGGUUGCUUCGGCUCAAAACCGCUCGAUCUCAAAUCGAGUAUUUCGGGCUGCACACCGCUAAACCGAAACUUCGAUAAAUCAUAACUUCCUCAUACGAAGUCAGAUUUGGGCGUUCUAUAUAUACAUUCGUAAACCUCGUUUCAACUACUACAUCAUCAACCAAAGAUAUCAAGUUUAUUUUACACUUUAAUUUUGACGCUUAUUUUUAUUCUUAAUUAAUCAAACCACAUAAUUAAGCAAUUAAGCACAAAACACAUAAUACUCAAAUAAUACAAUCAUAUUAUUUCAAAACGGGUUACAAAGGUUAACUUAGACUAUUACAUUGCUAAAAAUGGCAAGCCCGGAAACACAGGCGUUACAGAUACCUCAACAUUUUAUGUCAAAUAAGGCAACCAUGAGGGGGAUGGAGUACACCUGGUGAACACUGAGUCCAAAUAAACACCUACAGGUUGCGAGCCUGCUAGCGUCCCAUUGGACUGUCUAGAAAAGUCUAUGGUCGUCAUCUAUACUCCGCUAGAUGACUAGAUCAUCGUCAAUAUCGAGGCCUCUCAUCAUUUUAUUUCAUCACACGCCAACUAUUUCAUCUACCCACGUUUUACCCAACAUAUUUGUAGACAUAAAUUACAUAUACAAUUCAGAUCUAAAAAACAAAAUNUAUAUAUAUAGUUUAGAUCUGAAAAGAAAAGUCUAGAUCUGAAAUGAGAAAGUUUGGAUUUGAAGGAAACAGUUCAGAUCUGAAAGAAAGAGUUUAGAUUUGAAAGAAAAGUUCAUAUCUAAAAAGAAAAAGGUUUAGAUCUUUCUUCCAACAUAGAUCUCAGGUAAACAGAUAAUAUAUAUACACAUAACACGUAAUUUAUAUAAAAUAGUUUAGAUCUGAAAAGAAAAGUCUAGAUCUGAAAUGAGAAAGUUUGGAUUUGAAGGAAACAGUUCAGAUCUGAAAGAAAGAGUUUAGAUUUGAAAGAAAAGUUCAUAUCUAAAAAGAAAAAGGUUUAGAUCUUUCUUCCAACAUAGAUCUCAGGUAAACAGAUAAUAUAUAUACACAUAACACGUAAUUUAUAUAAAAUAUUUCAUAUUUAUGUGUAAGAAGAAAGUAAAUACACACUCACAUGAUAAGGUGGCGAUUCGGACAACGUUUUGCUUCUUAAAAUAAUCUCCAUUGAUGAAACCGGGAAGUUUGGUUGAAAACCGGGCUCUGCGGGGGGGCAAAGUUUCUAAACCGAAAAACUCUUUUUCUCGGAGACUUCGGGCGCUCCGGGGCUUUCUUCUAGUGCUAAGGAGGUCCCCUAGGCUUCGGGGGUGUUUAGGGUGGAUAGAGAGAGAAAGAGAGAGAGAGAGAGAGAGAGAGAGAGAGUAGAGUAGAGAGUGAAAGAAGUGUGAAAUAUGUGAGAAAACAUGGCUAGCCUCGCAUCCUAUUUAUAGUCAGGAGGUCUCGCAUUACGUUGGGCGUUCCUCGGUCUACAUGGGGUGUUCCUCGGUACGCAGGGCGUACCCUCGUACGCGGUACGGUUUGCGAGGUUCGGAUUUGUCACCCUUCAGAUGGAGCUAUGUGGCCAAUUCCGGACCUAGCCUUUGCGAACGCGGGGUGUUCUCUUCGGAUAGCCUCGAAAUAUGUACCUCUUACUUCAAAAAUUCAUAUAUUUUGCAUACGAGCUCCGUUUUCGACGUUAUUUAUAUCCACGCGUAGGCAGGACCGUACUCUACAACUUUUGUUUAGACUCAGUUGGCUAAAUUUGACUUUAUUUUUAAAGUUAUAUUUUUAACAGGCCGGGACAGGAAAAGUCUAUUAAAAAUUCAUAACUUCUUCAUCCGACGUCCGUUUUCGUUUUUCUUUUAACCGUUGAACUACUAUUGACGAGAUCUUCGAUUCUUGUUUAGGUUGUGUCGGAUAAAAAUCCCUCGAUUAUAAUUCGAGCUACGGGCUGCACACUGCUAUGCUAAAUCUUAGAAAAUUCAUAACUUCCUCGUACCAAGUCAGAUUUGGACCUUCUUUUUAUGCACGCUCUUGAUUUAACGUAUACUAGGAUUUUCAUUUAGAUCGCUAAGGCUAAAAUGCACUUUAUCGUAAACUCACUUUUUACGUCACGCAAUAUCGUGCUAGUUUUGUCGUGAAACUUUAACAGGUCAUAACUUUUUUGUGAUAACUUGGAUUUCGGCAUUCUUUAUAUGUCCGAAAUCCUUGUCACGACCACUACAACUUUCUUCAUAGAUAUCAGAUUUAUAUAACAUUUUAUUUUUGAUGCUUAUUUUCAUUCUUAAUUUAUUAUAUCAUUAUAAAUAAGUAUAUAAUCACAUAAAAUCACGUAAUUCACAUAAUAUUCAAGUAAUUCAUCUUUAUUACUUUAAAAUAGGUUACAAUAGUUGACCUUGACUAUUACAUCAUCAUACUAAUGUUUAGCCCAGAAACAAGGGCAUUAGAACGAGUAUGUUACUAGGGAGAAGAGAAAGAAAAAGAGAAACGGAAAACAUGAAGGUUUCACGAGAACUUCUCACUGAUAUCACUAUUCCCGUCGGUAACGUCAUGGACAUUGCCGGUGAUAAGGUUACCUCGUUACCAGAGGCAUUUUCGGUGAAAAACGACAUGAGUGAAGCUUUUCAUCGGAGUUGAUAGAGAGAAAAAGAGUAACACGGAAGAGGGAAGAAUGAAGUCGCUAAGGGUAUUAUUCGUGUCACACUUUAGCAACGAUACCAUUUAGUGGUGUCGAAAGACAUUUGUGGCAACUCGAAACGUAAUAGUCGCGACACACUUUUGAGGGAAUAAUUGGCAGAGGGUUCGAGUAUUAGCGGUGACACCGUUGCUGGUAUUAGUUAGUGGUGUGUAUGGGGCGGUUUGGUUCGGUUAUUGGUUAAAACCGAACCAUAACGAUUAUGAUUGGUUAAUGCAUUUUGGUAGCCAUUGGGUAUGGUUAAUAUUGGUUAUGGUUAGUAGUUUUUAUCGGUUAACGGUUUUGGUUAAUGGUUAAUAUUGGUUAACCAUAAUGUUCAAAAUAAUAUAAACGACGAAAGUAUUUUGGCAUGAAAAAUGAAAAUAAAAUACCAAAAAGUCCUCGACGCCGAUGUUUGUAACCUAACUUAUAGUAAUAUAAUAAAAUGUGUAUCUGUAAUACUUAGAGUGAGAUAACACAUAGUCACAUUUAAAAUCAAAAAUAUUUAAUAAAAAUAUAAAACAUUAAAAAAAUUGACAUUAAUAAUUUCAUAUAUUGAUAAUUGAUAUUAAUAUUAAAAUAAAGUCAAACAUUCAUACACGUUCAAUACGAUUAAAUUAAAACUAUUAAAUAAAAAAGCCAAACAUUCAUAUUCUGUGUUAUUAGAUAUAAAAAAAAAAAAAAGUCAAUCACUCAUCUACAUUCAAUGUGAUUAAGUCAAAAACACUAAAAAAAUUCAAAAAAUUAAAAAAAAAUACAUUCUUAAUAUAUCACAUAGUUAAAAAGAACCAAAAACUUAACUUACCUAGAAGUCUUGAGUAUAAAGUCAAAAAAAUCCUUCGAAUAGGACUAUAAAGUCCAAACAAUCUUUGAUUAUGAUUAACGGUGUGAGAAGCCUUCGAUUAGGAUUAUGAGUGUGAAGAUUAAACUAAUUGUGAAUAAUGUUUACAAAUUGUAGAAUUAGCCGAUUAUGAAUUACAACAUUAAUUAAUAAUCUAACUCAAUGUAUGAUUGGAAGAUUAUGUGUGUCUGAGUGAUCAGUCUUUGAUGAUUUGAUUGCUCGUUCGUCUCCUGGUAAGUGAAGAUUAAUAGAUUAUAUUUUCAAAAUUUUAAUGGAUCUUAAAUAAGUUUGACUAUAUNUCUCUUUCUCUCUCUCUCUCUCUAUAUAUAUAUAUAUAUAUAUAUAUAUAUAUUAAAAUAUAAAGUUAGCGGUUCGGUUAAUAAUGGUUCGGUUAACCUAUAAAACCAUAACCGAACCGUUAGUUAUUGGUUAACAAAAAUUAGAAACCGAACCAACGGUUUUUAAAAUGGUUCGGUUAUAACGGUUAAUUUGGUUUUGGUUCGGCUUUUCGGUUAUUAUGCUCACCCCUAGUAUUAGUUUCGCCGUUAUUGUUAUGUACGAAAUCAUUUUUCAAGUGUUGGAUUAUGACAAAAUCGACGAAUAGGGUUUAACCUCAGAUUUUGACGCGGAUCGGGGUUGAUGAGUUUCGCCUUUAGCGGUGACAACCACCAUUACAACGAGACCUAAUCUAAAUGUUGGGUAUCGCUUGUAAUGGUGGUUGUCGCAACUAAAGGAUUCGCCACUGAAGUCCUAUAUUGUUGUAGUGAUAAAUGUUAAACCUAAACACCAAUUUAAACACACCAACCACUAGAAAUUGGUGGCGACAAGUUCAUGGCAUUAAGAGCGAUAACAAAUGGUGUAUAAAUCCAUUAUGAUCUUCGUUGCGAUUUAACAGAACAUAUUUGGACGGUUAAUGAUUUUGAAGCUCAAUUUUGGAACAAUUUUUUUUUUGAUCCAUCAUGUUAUUAAGUUUUAAGUUUUUAAUUUUUUGAGUUGUUAUGGUUUAGUUUCUUGUUGUGUAAUUUUUAUUUUGAUUUAAUAUAAAAUUUAGUUUUUAAAAAAUUAAUUGCUAAAAAAAGUACUGAUGUUAAAAAAAUGAUGUUAAUCCGCCUAACCUAAAUGUAAAUGGUAUGUUGAAGACGGUGUGUAGCAAAAUCAAAUAUAAGCUGCUGGUUGAUGCAUCGGGUAUUGUAUUACGUGAGGUUGAUAGUUUGAUUUGUUGAAAUUAUCUUUUGUGUGUUUGAGAAUUCUUUUAUGGAAGUCCCUAUAAAAAGGAGUUCAAACUCAAAUGUUGGUUGAAAUAUUGCGAGUACACUUCACUUAAUUUGAUUGCGGUUAGGAAGCAAUUUAAUUUCUCAAAAGAUUAAAUGCCACUAAUAAAUUAAAAAAAUAAACUAAAAAUCAACACCAAAUUAAUGCCAAAGCUUUAAACCAUAUAUUACUAAAUUAAUUCACAUACGCCAUCAAAAAAAAAUUCAUGUCACAAACCCAUACUCAUAAAACUCACUUUCCAGGUACAAAGUUUGUAGCAUAUGACCAUGCAUUGUUUGCAACAGGGUCAGCAAGGUGGUCAGCGAGGUUCUCCAAUGGUCCCUUUCCGGUAACAAUGGCUUGAACAAAGAAUCCAAACAUAGAGAACAUGGCUAGUCUACCGUUCUUGAGCUCCUUCACUUUCAGCUCAGCAAAUGCCUCUGGGUCAUCAGCCAGACCCAAUGGGUCGAAGCUACCACCAGGGUAAAGUGGGUCAACUACCUCACCAAGAGGUCCACCAGCAAUUCUGUAACCUUCAACUGCACCCAUCAAGAUCACUUGGGUAGCCCAGAUGGCUAAAAUGCUUUGUGCAUGGAUCAAACUUGGGUUCCCCAAGUAGUCAAGACCACCCUCACUAAAGAUCUGGGAUCCAGCCUUGAACCAUACAGCCUCACCAAACUUGACACCAUUACGCGCCAAGAGUUCGGGGAAGACGCACCCAAGAGCUCCGAGCAUGGCCCAUCUGCUGUGGAUGACCUCAAGCUCACGGUUCUUGGCGAAUGUUUCAGGAUCAGCAGAGAGCCCAGCAGUGUCCCAACCGUAGUCACCGGGGAACUCACCGGUCAGGUAAGAUGGGGCUUCGCCGGAGAAUGGGCCAAGGUACUUAACACGGUCGGGGCCGUACCAUGGACUUCCUGAUGGUGCGACUUUCUUGACUGCUGUCUUCCUCAUGGAAACCCUUCCAUUUCCGGUGAUUUCUGAACCAGAUGGUGUUAUUUUCACUGCUUGUCCGAUGAAUGAAGAAGAUACAGACAUAGUGGAAGCUGCCAUUCUGUUAAAUUUGGUUGAAAGAUGUUGUGGAGAUAGGAGAGUUUGAGUUAUGAAGAUGGGGAGAUCUGCAAGUUUAUUUAUAAGGUGGUUUUUUGGUCAGAUAGAUAUGAUCGAUGCUUAUCUAGAUACAAUCUUCACCUUCAUUUUGAUUGGCAAACAACAUUCUAGUUUUAUCUAAGGGUCAGUAAUCUGCGUGCUGUGAGUUCUCUGGUCCACCAGAGAUUUUUGAAGGGGCUGCGGUAUAUUCAUGGCUCUGGUUUAUUGAGGGAAUGUAAUGGCUCCCAUUCUCAGCCACAAGCUGUUCUUGGUGGGGUUUUUCAUCUUUAACCAUUUUACAUUUUCACAAAGUUACAUAAAUAGUCAUCAUGCUUUACAAAGUCACCGGUUCAGCAACAAACUUUUUUUCCAUGAUUAAAAAUUCAAAACGGUCCGUAUGGUUUUAAUAUUAUUAGUAAUCAUCUUAACAUUUCUAAUUUUUAAAGACAAAUAUUCAUAUAAAUGGUUAUGUGAUUUUCCAGAAUAUCAAGUGGAGCACAUCAUUUUUUCGGUCUUAUGGAAUGACUAUUUGGUUUCAAUUCCUAUCAUAAUUGAUCUUAGAGCAUCCACAAUAGGGGAGUUUAAUGGAAGAGUUGAAUGAGGUGUCAUGCCUACUUGUCAUUCAAUGGAUACAACUCCACCAUUGUGAAAUGCCACCUUGGCAUUCAAUGAAUUUGGAGUUCAAUGGUCAUUGAACUCUUCAAUGGGAAAAAGGAAAAUCUUUAAAUCUUUAAAUAAAUAUUUUUUAAUAUAUUCCAUUGAACUUGUAGAGUUUAAUGCAUUGUGGGAUAAAAAUGAAAAGAGUUGUAUGGAAUAAUGAAUGAUGACGUGACACUCCAUUGAACUCUAUAGAGUUCAAUGCAUUGUAGAUGCCCUUAGUCCCACAUAAAUAAACUUUUAUACCCUUCUAUAUUAUAAUUAGUUUAUUUAAUAUAUAAAUAGCUAUGUUUUAUAGUUAACAAUAAAUUUUGUUCAUNNNNNNNNNNNNNNNNNNNNNNNNNNNNNNNNNNNNNNNNNNNNNNNNNNNNNNNNNNNNNNNNNNNNNNCUCUCUCUCUCUCUCUCUCUCUCUCCCAUCACACCCUCCUAAUCUUUAUUUCUUUCACUCGAUCGGUCAACCUCUUUUCUUUCUACAUAAAAAUUAAUCCAAAAUGCAGCCUUUUCCCAUACUCUGUGCUUGCACCGCCACUUUACCUUCUUGAAACCAAAUUACUAACCAUACACAAGUCUACAAAUCUACUAAUGUGUCUUCCAUUUCUCAAAAUCGAAAAAUAGAGAAGGUGUAGAACAUUGAGCUCACUUCUGUGCAUCUCCCACCUCUUUUACACAAAUAUGAAAUUAAAAUUGAAGAACAACUUUGUGAAGAACCUAGAUUGUGGAGAUGAUGAUGAAUAAAGUCGAUAGUUGGUGGUGCUCGGUGAUGUUUGAUGUUAGCGGCAGUACACUAGUGUUGUGGUGAUCGCCUGUUCAGUUGGUUAUAUUCUGGUAGGGUGGACGAUGGUGACCGUAGAACAGUUCAUAUAUAUAUNNNNNNNNNNNNNNNNNNNNNNNNNNNNNNNNNNNNNNNNNNNNNNNNNNNNNNNNNNNNNNNNNNNNNNNNNNNNNNNNNNNNNNNNNNNNNNNNNUAUAUAUAUAUAUAUAUAUAUAUGUGUGUGUGUGUGUGUGUGUGUGUGUGUGUGUGUGUGCGCGCGCACACUACAAGAAAUUUAGGUGUUUAUCCACACACGUUAUAUGUGGCUAAAAGACCUUUAUGUGUAGUUAUCUUUAGCUACACACAGAUUAAGUGUCAUAAUGUAUUGACUCAUGCCUAUAGAUAUAUAUCAUUAACUAUACAUUCAUUAUGUGGAAGUAUAGUGCAAUUAGUACACACAUACAUGUGUGGUUAAAACUAGUAAGUAUGUGCAUAUAGAAAGGGAGCUGAUCCGUUCACAACAAUUUUUCUCCAUACACAAUAAUUGAUGCUUUAAAAUGUUGUAUUAUACAACUAUAUAAUGCAUGAAUUGUUGUGUAUGGCAAAAAACUGUUGUGUACGAAUCACUUCCCAUAUAGAAGUACUAAAAAUUGUUUGAGUUGUCAACGAUGUGGCUGAUGACAUGUCAAAUUAUGUGGCAAGCCCACACAAAGUGUUGGUGAUAUGUGUUAUUCGAUAUGUGUGGGUAAUAAUUGUUAUAUGUGUAGGUUAAGAUAAGAUAUAUGAAAUAUAUAAAACACAAUAAAUGAAAUAUAAAAUUUAACAACACAAAUUGUUAUUACUUUUAAUAAGGAGUUAACGAUAUAUAAAACUUCUUUUGGAAUGGAAGUAUGUAGCACCCAAAGUCAGAAAGGCCAAGAAAGGAAAGGAAACCCUAAGUUUAAGGGACGACUCAGCAAGUCCAAGGAGGUACUCGGCGAGUCCGAGCGGGAUCCGGGUCGAGGAGUAAAUGACCGACUCGGCGAGUCGGCCAAGGAGACUCGGUGAGUCUGGUCUGUACGAGGAAAUCCCUAAAUUCGGGACUUGGAGCCUAUUUAAGCGCCUCAUUCUCUUCUCUAGGGUUCCUCUACUGCCUCUCUAACCNCUCAACCCCACCCCCGCCCCGCCAUAUCCAUUGUUGAGCCAAUUAUUGCUUUGAAGAGUGCAUUAAAGCUUGGAGAAGGAAGAAGGACCUUGGAGGUGCAAGAAGGAGCUAUAGAUCUGGGCUUGGGAAGAUAUUUCUGAACAUUUGGAGGUAAUAAACUAGUUCUUGGACUCCUUUGCACCUAGAUCUAUGUGUGAGUUUUGGGGCUUUUGGCCAUGAUUGGUACCCAUUUAAGUUAGAAGCCAGAUCUAAAGUUGCUACUUCGGAUAUAAGCAUAUUAUGGGCUUGUGAAGCAUAAAGUAUCAGCCCUUGAGUUGAUUAUGGAGCCUCUUUGCAUUAAACCCUAUUUUAUGGUGUGUCUAGCCUAGAUCUCCUUCUCUACACGUAAAGUUUGCAACUUUACGUGAGGAAUAGGCUUGGGAAGGGUAGAUCUACAGUUUGGGGUCCAUGCAUGACUCAAAAGUCCUCUACAUGUAUGUAGAUCUGAAUGGACUCGGCGAGUCCUUUGAGUGGACUCGGGGAGUAGCAUGAAGAUUAGGAGGAACUCAACGAGUGGGAUGAACAGCUCAUCGAGUCGGAUGAAGUUGGGCAGGAACUCGGCGAGUUGGAAGAACAACUCGGAGAGUCGGUUGAAGAUUGCCUUGGACUAGGUGAGUCUGUUCUUGGACUCGGCGAGUCAGGUCGCGAAACCCUAAACCCUUCGACUUGAGACUCGAAUCAGUGAGUCGAGUGGAGACUCGGUAAGUUGGACAGGUCAGGACUCGGAAAUCGGUAGACUCGGCGAGUCAUGGACUGACUCGGUGAGUCGAGUCGCGAUUGGAAGGACUUAGAGCAUAUGAACUCGGCGAGUCAAUAGGUAGACUCGGCGAGUAGGGUUGACCUGGAAGAUUGACUUUGAACAGGACUUUGACUUUGACCAGAGUUGACUUAGUUGACUGUUGGGGGUCAGUUAGUCUAAGUGUUUCAUUGAUAUUGGUAGCUCGGGGAGCUAGUGGAGCAGGAGUUCAGAGAGUUUCCGGGCAGCAUCCAGAAGGUUAUCAGCAUGUUCAGCAAGUGCAUGUGAGUUUCCCUUUGUGCCAAUGGGUCUACGGUCACAAUGUCGGCCCAUGUAGUUAUGAGUAGAAGACCCGGGGGUUAGCCCUAGGCACAGUAUGCUAGUAUGAUAUUCAGGACGAGGUCCAAUGAUAGCGGGCGGGUGCCCAAGGAAUGGUUUAUGUGAUAGUUUAUACUUGUUGUAUGUGUGAUACUUGUAUGUGUCUGGUAGGGAGGUGAGUGUGGGCGAGGUCCCGUAUCUCACCAAUAGCAGAGUGUGGAUGGUGUUCCACAUCUCAGUAGCAGCAGAGCAGGGGCGAGGCCCAAGUUAGGGAAGGAGUGAGGGUGGGCUGGGCCCGUACCUCACUAUCAGCAGGAGUAUGGACGGGGUUCCAUGACUCAUCAGUAGCAGGACAAGGGCGGGGCCCAGAGAUAGGCGAGGCCUUAGGACAAGAUCCGUUAGUAUGUGUUUAGCUUAUGUGAUGUGAUGUGAUAUGUUUAUGUGCUAUUAUAUGUUAGUGGGCGAGGCCCUGUGACAGGCGAGGCCUAAGUGAAACAGAUCUGUAUCCGAGCGGGGCUCGAAGCCAGGCGGGGCCUGGAGCGGCGGGGCCGUUGUAGCGGGCGAGGCCCGAGGUAGGGGGGGAGGCCCAGGAUAGCGGGCGUGGCCCAGCGUGUGCAGUAUGUGGUUAUGCAUGGUAUGUGGUAGGGUGGGGAACUCACUAAGCUUCGUGCUUACGGUUUUCAGUUUUGGUUUCAGGUACUUCCGGUAGCGGAGGGAAGAGCUCGGGGGUGAUCGCAUGGCACACACCAUAGAUUAGACAGUCUGGGAAUGUUUUACUCUGACAAUGAACAUGUGUUUUGGAAAAUUAAUACUCUGAUUAUGUUUUGAAUUGGUGACCUUGCUUAAAGAAAUCUUUUAUUAAAAGAAAUUUUUAGUCAUGAAUUUUGGGACGUUACAAGUUGGUAUCAGAGCCUUGGUUUGAGGGAUUCGGGCAUACUCUCGGGUGUGCCUGAACUCAAACUAAGGGGUCGGAUAAAAAGUUUUCAAAAUGAAAAGACAGUUUUCUAAAAAGAGAGUUUUGGGAAAGAAAACAGUUUUAGAAAAGCAAAAAGAAUUCAGAAAGAAAAGAACUUUGAAAAGAAAAAAAUGGUGUGGUGCAUGCAAUCAGCUGGUCUUAAGUAAGUACCCCAAAUUACCCAUACAAGUUUAUGUUAUGAUUAUCAGUUAGUAGAACAGCAUGCUAGAUUAGGACUAAGGAUCUAGGGAGGAUGCCUUAUGUGCCUAUUAUAUGUGCUUUGAGUUGCAUGAUAGUGUUGAUUAGACAGUGGUAGGAUAGCCUGUUUAGGUUAUGCCUGAGUAUAUGAGUUUGUGUUGCAUGCUAGUUCAGAUUCUUGCUAUGUGGAUAUGAUUGCUUAUGUAUGUUAUGGUUAGAUUUUCCCCUUGUCUGAAUGCUGCCUGCUUUGUGCAAUAUGGGAUUCCGAGUGAUGGGAGUAACCAUUAGGUGGAUACGUCACGUCACAUGUGAUCAGGGUUGAAUAAUCUCAGAGUGCUAAAUUUGGCCCUAUUUCGCAGCUCUCGUUUGAGUCCAACCAUUGUAGGGAUGAGUCUUUUACUCGAAGAAUUAUCUGAGCCUUGUCACAUGUGAUGGUGUCCAGUUGAUGGCCAAUUGGCAUCACAAGGAGUCCUUCAGCAGCUGAGGCCUGGUUUGGUGUGAGUCAGAGGUUUCCUUAGGGUAAGCCUAGGAUGAGAUAGUGUUGGGAGCAGUAGUAGUGGAUAAGGGACCUGGUGGAGUCGAAGCAAUUCCNGAGGAAAGUACAGAUAGAUAUGGAUGGUAGUAUGGGCCCGUACUACUGAAAGCAGAGGAUCCGUACUCGAUUCGGGAAAGGCUGAGACAAGACCGAGAACCUAGUAGGGUGAGUGUGUGUCUGGUCUCACAGCAGUGAUAAGUAUUCUGAUAGAGGAUGUAUUAUAUAUUCAGCAUGGUGACAUUGCGAGAGAGACCAGUGGGUGGACCAGGCGCCGGAGAGGGAUCGCUCGGGGUCNAGCAGCUCGAGGAGCGGAUGAGGGAGUUGAUAUCAGCUGAGGUUACGCGCAGUAUUCUAGAUCAGACUCCUGUGAUCUUUGGCACGGUCAAGGAGGGUAUAUUGGAGAUUUUGGAUGAGAGGCUGGGAGCCUUCCGUACCGAGAUGAUGGCAUUGAUGGGAGCACGUACCUUGACAUUUCGAGAGUUCAGGGCUUGCGGGGCACCAGAUUAUCAUGGGGCUAGGGACCCCAUCGCUAGCAGCAGAUGGUUGGUUGAUGUUGCCAAUGCAUUCCGUACGAGCCGGUGUCCUGAGGGGGACAAGGUUAGGCUCGCUUCUUGUCUUCUGAAGAACAGAGCAAGGGAUUGGUGGGAGGAGAUUAGUCAUGCCUUGGGGGAUGAUGUCGCGUUGGAUGCGAUGACUUUGAGCGAUUUCUCGUCCAGGUUCAGGGCGGAGUUUUCGCCGAUUAUUGAGGUGCAGCAGUUGCCACAGGAGUUUCAGGAUUUGACGCAGACCACUGAGACUGUGGCGGAGAUCACCGCCAAGGUCAGGGAGAGGGCUCUUCUUGUACCGCAGUGUGUCGCGGAUGAGGAGAUGAAGAAGGCCCGAUACCAUGAGAUGUUGAGGGAUGAUAUCAGGGUGUUCGUGAUCAGGUCCAGCUGUAAGACGCUAGAAGAUAUGAUUUCUCGAGCUAGAGAGAGGGAAAUUGAUUUGGAGCAGAUCCGGAAGAGGAAGCCGGAUGAGGUUUAGGUAGCCACAGGUUCGGGCAAAAGGCCUAAGGGAUCAGAUUCGAGAUCGAGGGAUUAUCAGGACCGCAGUCGGUGCGGGAAGUGUGGCAGGGCGCACAGGGGUGCGUGUAGGAGUGGUAGCGGUGGUGAUUCUGGCUGCUUCAAGUGCGGUCGGACUGGUCAUUUCAGUAGAGAUUAUACUGUUACCACCACACAGGGAUCAGACUUGAUAUGUUUUCACUGCAAUCAGCGGGGCCACAAGAAGGCCCAGUGCCCCAGUUUGUUUUCAAUAGGACGGGUGAUGACACUUGCCCCUGCAACUUUGAGGAUCACAGACGGCCGUCAGGGCCGUGCAGAGGCGCCUGCGGUAGGAGGCAGGUCUUUUCAGAUGACUACCUUGGAGGCGCGAGCAGCACCGGACGUUGUAGGUAUGCGAUUUUGUUUUCAGUUCUUUUAUUUGUGCAUGAUUAUAUUGUUAUGGUUCUGGAUCAUCAUUGGUUUGAGUAUUUUAUUUUUUGAGCGGUUGAUUGUGAUCGAGUUAUAUGCCAUCUUAAUACCUUGGAUAUUUGAAUGGUAGUUAGGAGAUGUGCUCUAUUAGAGAAGGUUUCAUAGGAUGCAGUAAUUGUAGCAUGCCUGGGAGGGACUUGGUAUGUCUCGCUAGAUCGGAGUUGUAUAAUGUUAGAGAUGGAUUGGUUAGAUCCCUAGCUAUGGUGAGCUUGGGUUCCUCAGCAGCUUGAUUAUGGAAUGGUAGCAAGGAUUGGGAUUCUUUUGAGUAUUGAGCAGCAAGGGGUAAGCAGGAUCGAAGUGGGGGAGAAUCCUCCGAGUGUGCAAAGGUAGGAUCACGCAGACCCAAAAUGAGUGCGCGACCUCCGAGAAGGAAAAGAAGUAGUUCAGCGUUUGAUGGAUUGAGGAUUUCAGGGUUGGGAUUUUGAGAAACUCCCCAUCAGCUAGUGCGUGUGAUGGUGAUGGUUAGUAUGUGGUUGGGAAUUCAGGUUGUGGAUCGCCCGUAGGACUCGAGGGAGUCGGAAUGAGGAUCUUGAGAGCUAAUGGCACAUGGGUGCCUUCGUAUUAGCAGUCAGUGGUAGAAAGUGAUGUAAGACUACGGGGCAGCCGUAGCAUUCACUAACAGUUAGUGGUAGAAAGUGAUGUAAGACUACGGGGCAACUAUAACACUCACUAGUAGUCAGUGGUGGAAGUGUUGUAAGACUACGGGGCAACCAUAGCAUUCACUAGCAGUCAGUGAUGGAUGGUGAUGUAAGACUACUAGUAAGCCGUAGCAUUCCUUAGUAGCUUCGUUAGCGGAGUUGGGGCGAGGCCCUUAUCUCCUAGCGAUCAGAUAGGGAUCAGGAAUGGGUAGUGGAUGAAAGUGAUAGGAAGUUUGCUUGUAUAGCCCUAGAGAGGUGAGACCUUGGGAGAGGCCGCUCCAGGAUAUAGUUGGGUGAGGCCUGUGGGCGAGGCCCGUAUGAGAGUAGCGGUAUAGGUGAGACCUGAGAGUAGGGUUGCUCAGUAGUAUGGCCGGGUGAGACCCGUAGGCGAGGCCCGAGAGAGAGUGGUUAGACAAGUAGGACUAGAAGGAUAGAGGCGGGGGGGACCCGUGGGCGAGGCCCGUGUGUUUUAGCGGCAUAGGGGGGACCUGGUAAGGACCUUAGUGUCAAGAUAAGGGAUCGGGGAUCCAUGGAUUGUAGUGACUGAAUGGCAGAAUAGAUUGCGCAGUUAUAGGUGGUCAAAGUUCCUUCGAAAGUCGCUGGGAGCGACUAGGAGUAGUGUUGGGACUAGCGACCGGUGGGAUCCGGUAAUCCAGAUAUUGGUAGGACGGUAGGGAUUAGGGUGGUCUCAGUUCAUCCGGAAGGCAGAUAAGGAAUAGCAGAAUUUUCAGUCAGUAGUAGUGCGGGUAAGCAGUGUAUGGUGGAAUUCAGUUAGUUGUAUCGAGGGGUGCUCGACACCAAGUUUUGACAGAGAGGAGUGUCAGUGGUUACUGGCGGUGAUGACCUGUACUGGAAGUAGCGGGGGUGAUGGAGUUGGCGAAGGAUAUGACCUUCACAGUGACAGAGGAAAUAGUUGGUUAUGGAGCAUUGCCUUGGGAAGGCAAGGAAUUCGCACAAGGAAAGAAGGGGUGAACCCCUAUAGGUUCAGUACAGUACUCGGUGAGUACCGGAAGGAUUGUCGGUUGAGUAAGUUGUGUUUCCAGGAUGUUCAGGGUCAGGGUGACCUGAGUCUAUUAUCCGCAAGGAAUGAUGUUAGUCAGAAUGACCGGGCGGAAGACCAGCGAAGGUAGGCAGCUGGUGUUGGAAUGAUUAGUUGGGUAUUGAAAGCAUAUCGCAGGCAGUGGCCCAUAGCAAACUUCGAGGAUGAAGUUUAGUUUAAGUGGGGGAGAGUUGUAACACCCAAAGUCAGAAAGGCCAAGAAAGGAAAGGAAACCCUAAGUCUAAGGGAUGACUCAGUAAGUCCAAGGAGGAACUCGGCGAGUCCGAGCGGGAUCCGGGUCGAGGAAUAAGUGAACGACUCGGCGAGUCGGCCAAGGAGACUCGGUGAGUCUGGUCUGUACGAGGAAAUCCCUAAAUUUGGGACUUGGAGCCUAUUUAAGCGCCUCAUUCUCUUCCCUAGGGUUCCUCUACUGCCUCUCUAACCCAGAACACCAAACCCUAGCCGCCAUAUCCGUUGUUGAGCCAAUUAUUGCUUUGAAGAGUGCAUUAAAGCUUGGAGAAGGAAGAAGGGCCUUGGAGGUGCAAGAAGGAGCUAUAGAUCUGGGCUUGGGAAGAUAUUUCUGAACAUUUAAAGGUAAUAAACUAGUUCUUGGAAUCCUUUGCACCAAGAUCUAUGUUGAGUUUUGGGGCUUUUGGCCAUGAUUGGUAUCCAUUUGAGUUAGAAGCCAGAUCUAAAGUUGGAACUUCGGAUCUAAGCAUAUUUUGGCCUUGUGAAGCAUAAAGUAUCAGCCCUUGAGUUGAUUAUGGAGCCUCUUUGCAUUAAACCCUAUUUUAUGGUGUGUUUAGCCUAGAUCUCCUUCUCUACACGUAAAGUUUGCAACUUUACGUGAGGAAUAGGCUUGGGAAGGGUAGAUCUACAGUUUGGGGUCCAUGCAUGACUCAAAAGUCCUCUACAUGUAUGUAGAUCUGAAUGGACUCGACGAUUCCUUUGAGUGGACUCGGCGAGUAGCAUGAAGAUUAGGAGGAAUUUGACGAGUGGGAUAAACAGCUCGUCGAGUCAGAUGAAGUUGGGCAGGAACUCGGCGAGUUGGAAGAACAACUCGGCGAGUCAGUUGAAGAUUGCCUUGGACUUGGCGAGUCUGUUCUUGGACUCGGCGAUUCAGGUCACGAAACCCCAAACCCUUCGAGUUGAGACUCGAAUCAGUGAGUCGAGUGGAGACUCGGUGAGUUGGACAGGUCAGGACUCGGAAAUCGGUAGACUCGGCGAGUCGAGUCGCGAUUGGAAGGACUUUGAGCAUAUGAACUCGGCGAGUCAAUAGGUAGACUCGGCGAGUAGGGUUGACCUAGAAGAUUGACUUUGACCAGGACUUUGACUUUGACCAGAGUUGACUUAGUUGACUGUUGGGGGUCAGUUAGUCUAAGUGUUUCAUUGAUAUUGGUAGCUCGGGGAGCUAGUGGAGCAGGAGUUCAGAGAGUUUCUGGGCAGCAUCCAGAAGGUUAUCAGCAUGUUCAGCAAGUGCAUGUGAGUUUCCCUUUGUGCCAAUGGGUCUACGGUCACAAUGUCGGCCCAUGUAGUUAUGAGUAGNGGAAGGUUGACUUUGACCAGGACUUUGACUUUGACCAGAGUUGACUUAGUUGACUGUUGGGGGUCAGUUAGUCUAAGUGUUUCAUUGAUAUUGGUAGCUCGGGGAGCUAGUGGAGCAGGAGUUCAGAGAGUUUCUGGGCAGCAUCCAGAAGGUUAUCAGCAUGUUCAGCAAGUGCAUGUGAGUUUCCCUUUGUGCCAAUGGGUCUACGGUCACAAUGUCGGCCCAUGUAGUUAUGAGUAGAAGACCCGGGGGUUAGCCCUAGGCACAGUAUGCUAGUAUGAUAUUCGGGACGAGGUCCAAUGAUAGAGGGCGGGUGCCCAAGGAAUGGUUUAUGUGAUAGUUUAUACUUGUUGUCUGUGUGAUACUUGUAUGUGCCUGGUAGGGAGGUGAGUGUGGGCGAGGUCCCGUAUCUCACCAAUAGCAGAGUGUGGAUGGUGUUCCACAUCUCAGUAGCAGCAGAUCAGGGGCGAGGCCCAAGUUAGGGAAGGAGUGAGGGUGGGCUGGGCCCGUACCUCACUAUCAGCAGGAGUAUGGACGGGGUUCCAUGACUCAUCAGUAGCAGGACAAGGGCGGGGCCCAGAGAUAGGCGAGGCCUUAGGACAAGAUCCGUUAGUAUGUGUUUAGCUUAGGUUAUGUGAUGUGAUAUGUUUAUGUGCUAUUAUAUGUUAGUGGGCGAGGCCCUGUGACAGGCGAGGCCUAAGUGAAACAGAUCUGUAUCCGAGCGGGGCUCGAAGCCAGGCGGGGCCUGGAACGGUGAGGCCGUUAUAGCGGGCGAGGCCCGAGGUAGGGGCGAGGCCCAGGUUAGCGGGCGUGGCCCAGUAUGUGCAGUAUAUGGUUAUGCAUGGUAUGUGGUAGGGUGGGGAACUCACUAAGCUUCGUGCUUACGGUUUUCAGUUUUGGUUUCAGGUACUUCCGGUAGCGGAGGGAAGAGCUCGGGGGUGAUCGCAUGACACACACCAUAGAUUAGACAACCUGGGAAUGUUUUACUCUGAUAAUGAACAUGUGUUUUGGAAAAUUAAUACUCUGAUUAUGUUUUGAAUUGGUGACCUUGCUUAAAGAAAUGUUUUAUUAAAAGAAAUUUUUAGUCAUGAAUUUUGGGACGUUACAAAGUACAUUAAUCCUUGGUACAAAUAUUACAUCAACAAAAGUUAUCUCUAAGCUUUCAUGAAAUUGAAGACCUUAUGCCUAACACAACCAUUGUAUCUAGAUAAGAUUUUCCUACUUAUUUACUUUGUUGUGUGCAAAUAUUAAUACACUUGACUUAAGCAUCACCAACAUUUGGACAUAAUUGUUGACGUUGAGGUGGUUGGUUAGAGCAUUAGUCAACUUUAAUAUUCAAGUGAAGACGUAUCAAAUACAAGUGAUUGUAGUUCACUCCUAUAGCAACAAGAGGAGCAGAGGCUUUAAGUAGUUUAUCCAUUUCAACAUGAAACUCUUUUCACACAUGAACGAUCUUAUGACACCUGUCAAAUGCCUCUUAAAAUAUACAAUCAACACUUGGUCAGUAGCUUUCUUCUCUGUGGCCAGAACCAUGACCUCUUCAUUUCCCUAUAUUAAUGAUGACAGGUUCAUAAACUAAAAGGACUGUAAAGUCAAAAUAGUUGACAUUAUGUUGACAUACCUAGUGGUGUGAAGAGAAGAAUAAAUAGAAUGUUUGUAAUAAACCCGCUUUCUUGGGUGAGGAAACCAUGACACUUGUUCAGAAAUGAAACAUCCCAACUAGCACCUAACGACUUUUGCUACAUUGAGAUAUACUAGCAAACAACAUAAGCAAAUCACAUGGAAAAUUAUUACAAUUAAUAAAACUCAUAAAUAAAGUGGUAAAAACAGCCUUGCACACACUCUUGAUUAAAAAAAUAGUUUAUAUUAGUGUAACAUCCCGAUUUCUCGAUAUCAGUUUAAAGUUCUAGAGUCAUGUUUCAAAGACAACUCGACGAGUUGAUAGGCCAACUCGUUGAGUAGUGACCAAAUCAGCCAUGUGGAUUUUAGACCCUACUCGUCGAGUUGGAGGACCCGACUCGACGAGUAGGUGCUGGAAAGUGAAAACCAUAAUUUUUAGGGUUUGCACCCUAUUUAAAGGUCCUUAACUUUCCUCCUCAGCCUCCCUUGUCACCUUCACGUCCAAAAAAACCAACUAGUCUCUAUUCUUGAGUGUGUGAGACCAAAAGAGAGUGUAUUGGAGCAUUCUUAAGGAGUUAAGAGCUUUGAACAAGGGAUAGCUUGUAGAUCCAACUUUUCCAGUGUUGUGACAACAAUAUUGAGUUAUAAAGCUACCACCUUUAUAUUUCAUUGCUUAGAUCUUCCUUUUUGGUAAAGUAAUUGUCAUGUCUAGGGCAUGAUGGGGUCACACUCGGAUUUAAGCUUGCCACAAGGGCAUAGUUUUAGAACUUGACUUCUUAAGGCCUUAUGAACAUAAAUCCUUAAGCUUUAUGAAGCCCUAGCCCUCCUUCAUGUCCAAAACCUUCUCCUAAUGCUAAUUAUGAGUGUUUUAGCUUCAUAGAACCAUGCAUGCAUGUAAAGUUAGCAACUUUAUGUGAUAACAACACCCUAGGAGCAUAGAUCUACUGUUUGGAGCUUUGGAGCAGCUUAAAAUAGUCUGAAUGAGUGAUGGACUGAAGGAGACUCGACGAGUUUCAUGGUUGAAUCGAAGAGUCGGUUGAAGAUUGCCCAUAAUGGUUUUGCAUGGACUCGGCAAGUCAGUAAGAAGACUCGACGAGUCAGUUAGGGUUCUUCCUGACAUUUAGACACGCGUAGACUCGCCGAGUUGGUGGGGAAACUCUGCGAGUUGGCCCAGGGAUUUCACGGUUUUCUGAGUUUUGGAGGAACUCGAUAGGUCAGUAGUUGGACUCGACGAGUUGGGUCAACAUGGACUGUUGACCUUGACUGUUGACUUGGAGUUUGACCAGGGUUAACCAUGUUUGACUUUGGAGGGUAUUUGGUAAAUGGGUAUUUAAGGAAAUGGAUCAUGGGUGGAUAUAGGUAAUGGAGUUUGGGGCAGUAUUUUGAGAGCGUGAUUUCGUGGUUUAGUUCGGCAUUGCAAGGUGAGUUAUCCUCACUAUAUCAACAGGGUCUAAGGCACCAAGGUCAGCCCUUUAUCUGAUUUGUAUUCGGGUAUUUGCUUGAUAUGUUUUUUGAUCUGCUAGAUCUGCAUCCUGGUAGUUAGGAUGGUAUUAUGUUUAGUGACCUGGUUUAGGUCAGUAUCCUGGUAUAUGGGAUGAUGUUAUGUUAGUGACCGGUUAGGUCGGUAUCCUGGUUAUAGGACGGUUGUUGUGUUAGUAAUCAGUUAGUUUGGUAUGAUUAUCUGUUGUAUACAUGCUCGCGUAUAAUAUUUAUGUGCACAUGAUUGUUUGAUUGUUAUGGGGGUUGGGUUGAGGCGGGUCCUGCUUCGUGUUGUAGGCCAACAUACCCAUGGCGGACCGGAAAGACUACAGGCCCAGGAAGGCACAUUGUCCAACCAAUGGCCCAACGAGCGGUCCGGAUAGGCUGAAGGCCCCGAGAGGGUGGUCCAAACGUGCCGAGGCUCGGAGAGUGGGCCAGGUGGACUGAAGGCCCGGUGCGGGCGGUCCAGUCAUACUGUAGACUCAAAGAGUGGACCAGGUGGACUGAAGACCCAGUGCGGGUGGACCAGUCACACAGUAGACUCGGGAUGCAUGGCUGUUCAGUGUUUGUUAUAUGAUAUGAUUAUGGAUUGUAUGAGGUUGGUAUUUUGGGGGUAACUCACUAAGCCUUCGAGCUUACGUUUAUCAAUUUAUGUUUCAGGUACAACGAAUUAACCCAGGAAGACGAAUGUGUGAUCGUACACUUCCCCAUAAUAUGUUUUGGAUUUUCUGGGAUACUCUGAUGUGAAACUAUUUUGGAAACCUUUUUGUAAUAACUAUUGGCAUUUGAAAUGUUUUUAAAAGUUUAAAUUUGGCUUGGAUUUUAUGGGUGUUACAAUUAUUUCAAUUAUCCAAGACGAUUUUAUGUCGAGAUUUUAAGUUAACAUUAAAUCUCAAUUAUUUGUUUGAAUGAUUUUUUUCUUUUAUCUUAGAGAUUUGUUUGAAAUUUAUUAAUUUUUUUUAUAAAUUUGAAUUAAUCAAAGACACAUAUAAAAAUAUCUCAUCAAAUCAAAUAAAUUUAAUAUAUAAAAAAGAUAGUAUCCGAUUAAGUCAAUCUAAAAAUACCAACAUAUAAAUAUAACUCACAAAUCUUGAUGGGAAUAAGAAUCAAACUCAAAAUCAAUCAAAUAAAAAAACCUUUGAUUUGUGUUAUAAGUAUAAAAUAAAUCAGGAUUCCAAAUAAAUAUUACAAUGAAAAAAAACCUAAAAUGUUUGAAACAAAAUAUGAAAUUCGCCAUCACUGUCAAUUUAAAAAAAAAACCUUUAUUAAUACUAAUGGGCUAUUUGGUAGCAUCCUGAUGAAUCAUAUCUGAAUGAUCUAGAUGCCUGGAUGAUCUAGAUGCUCUUUAGGAAUUUCUAUCGGAAUGAUAAAAUAAUGUUUGGUUAGGCAUCUAAAUAUCUGCCUCUUAAUGAGGAAAAUAACCAUUUUAGCCCUCUAAAUUAUUUUUUGAAUACAAAAUAAACAUUAUACAAUAUCCAACAAAUCGGUUAAAACAAAUUGGCUUUUGAUAUUCAGAUUCAUGUGUUUCUUCAUCAACAAUCUCUUUGAAGAGGACUCGUUUUGUUUCUGUUUUUAGAUCAUUAGGCUUUCUUGCUUCUGGAACAUUGAUGGGCCUAUUUUCUUGCUGAAUAUCUUCCAUCACUAGCAACUUCAUCUUGCUCCUAGAUCACAUAUCAACUAAACAAGUUGAAAAAUAACCAAACACAUAUUUUCAUAUAGAACAUUUCAAGCAAACACAAACACAUUUUCAAAAAAAAAAAAACAAAUCAAUUGUUAUUUUCAGAUUUCCAAAGGACAAAAACAACAUCAACUGAACACAUAUAUAGAGCAAGAAGAACAAAGCACAAAAAUCGAUUUCAUACAAAAUCGAGCAGCAAGAACACGAUUGACACCAAUUUCAUGCAAAAUUGCUCAACAAUAACACGAUUGAAGCAACAGAUUCGAGAAAAAAAACCAUACCUGAAAACUUACCGACGACGAGUAGGCGGAGAAGUAGGAGCGUUGUCGAAGGCAUGCAAGGGGAGGCGGCGACGGAGCCAAUAAUUGGAAGUUGUCAACGCUUAAUGAAGAUAAAGAAUGAGGGAUGAAAGGUCGAUCUCUAGAAAGAAGGAGAAGAAAAAAGAGUCGGCCGCAAUUUGUUGUUAGGGCAAUGGUAGAAGAUGAAAAUUUUUUUAUUCAGACUUCUCCUCAUAUCUUAACGAAUCAGAUUAGUUUUAGCUACAUCUGACCGAUUAAGAGCGUAAAAAUGUUUCAACCAAACACUCUGAAUCUUAAUGAUCCAAAUGCAACCUCUUAAUGAGACCAUUAAGAGGCAAAACAAACAGCCCCUAAAUAAAAAAAACAAUAUAGUUUCCAUAAAAAUCGAUUUAAAUAUUAAAGAAGAGAAGAAAUCAGCAUUUAUACGACGUAAUAGUUUUUUAAAAUUAAAAAAAAAAAAUUAUUCAUAUUAUAAGUAUAAAAUACAUUUUAUUCUUAACUCUCAUUUGUAAUUUGCCAUAUGUUUUCAUAAGAGUUUAUGGUAAUAACUUAAAUUUUUAUUUUUCCAUAUACCAUUUUUCAUUUACAAAAUUGUUUGUGCUUAUUUUUUUUUGUUAUAUUAAAAUUUAUUAUAUUUUAUUAUAUAAUAUAUAUCAUAAUUUUUUUCAUUAAUUUACAUAUAUCUUAUUUUUACGUGUUUAUUUGAAACAAUCGUUAUAAUGCAAAAUAAAUACCACUUCUCCAUAUUAAUUAUUAAUUUUUAUUAAAAUACUUUAUUAAUUAUUAUAAUUUUUAUCUAUUGAUAUUCGUUUAAUUUUGUAAGUUUUAUUUUCACAAAGUAUAACCUAAUUAAUUUCUCAUCAUCUAUAGUAAAUGAAAGUUUUUUUUUUCACAUGCAAUCACUAAUUAAUUUUGACACUUGUCAUUUUAUAAUAUUUUUUAAAUAAAUAAUAUCCACAUAUCAAUUUAUGAUUUUUNNNNNNNNNNNNNNNNNNNNNNNNNNNNNNNNNNNNNNNNNNNNNNNNNNNNNNNNNNNNNNNNNNNNNNNNNNNNNNNNNNNNNNNNNNNNNNNNNNNNNNNNNNNNNNNNNNNNNNNNNNNNNNNNNNNNNNNNNNNNNNNNNNNNNNNNNNNNNNNNNNNNNNNNNNNNNNNNNNAUCAAAUGUAAUAAAUAUUAUUUUAAAAUUUCAUUUUAAAAAAUAUUUAUUAUUACAUUUUAAUAUUUUAUAUUCUUUAAUCAACCGUGUAAUACAUUUUAAUACAUAGAUUUUCCAUCUAAUAAAUAAAUAAAAUGUAACCAUUUUAAUCACUAAAUAAUUAAUCAACCAAAGAUUAAAACCCACUGAUAAAAAGGAAACUAAAUCAACACCAAAUUGAAAAUUAAACCAUAUAUUACUAAAUUAAUUCACAGAGAGUUCGACAUCAAUCAAAUAUUAUCUCGCACUCAAAUUCACAAAACUCACUUUCCAGGUACAAAGUUUGUAGCAUAUGACCAUGCAUUGUUUGCAACAGGGUCAGCAAGGUGGUCAGCGAGGUUCUCCAAUGGUCCCUUUCCGGUAACAAUGGCUUGAACAAAGAAUCCAAACAUAGAGAACAUGGCUAGUCUACCGUUCUUGAGCUCCUUCACUUUCAGCUCAGCAAAUGCCUCUGGGUCAUCAGCCAGACCCAAUGGGUCGAAGCUACCACCAGGGUAAAGUGGGUCAACUACCUCACCAAGAGGUCCACCAGCAAUUCUGUAACCUUCAACUGCACCCAUCAAGAUCACUUGGGUAGCCCAGAUGGCUAAAAUGCUUUGUGCAUGGAUCAAACUUGGGUUCCCCAAGUAGUCAAGACCACCCUCACUAAAGAUCUGGGAUCCAGCCUUGAACCAUACAGCCUCACCAAACUUGACACCAUUACGCGCCAAGAGUUCGGGGAAGACGCACCCAAGAGCUCCGAGCAUGGCCCAUCUGCUGUGGAUGACCUCAAGCUCACGGUUCUUGGCGAAUGUUUCAGGAUCAGCAGAGAGCCCAGCAGUGUCCCAACCGUAGUCACCGGGGAACUCACCGGUCAGGUAAGAUGGGGCUUCGCCGGAGAAUGGGCCAAGGUACUUAACACGGUCGGGGCCGUACCAUGGACUUCCUGAUGGUGCGACUUUCUUGACUGCUGUCUUCCUCAUGGAAACCCUUCCAUUUCCGAUUAUUUCUGAACCAGAUGGUGCUGCUUUCACUGCCUGUCCGACGAAAGAAGAAGAUAGAGCCAUGGUGGAAGCUGCCAUUUUUGUGAGAUUUAUUUUGAAGAUGUUGUGAUGGUUAUACUUAUGAAGAUGGGUAGAACUGGAAGUAGAUUUAUAGGGUAGUUUUUGGAUCAGAUAGGUGAUCAAUGCUUAUCUUGAUACAAUCUUUAGCUUCAAUUUGAUUGGCUACAGAGAUUCUUGUGGGUCCGUAAUCUGUGGUGUGAGUUCUCUGGCCCCCCUGAGAUAUUUUGAAGGGGCAGGAUAUUCGUGGCUCUGGUUUAUUGAGCCAAUGACUGGCUUUCACUCACUACUCUUAGUGGUGGUUUUUUAUAAUAUGCUGUAAGCUUGUAACCAUCCAAUCGUCUAAGUUUAUAACUGACCUAUUAUUACAAAUAUAUACUAACCAGGCAAAACUUUUGGUUAUAAAAGUUAAUGUGACCGAGAGACUAACACAAAAAAUUAUAACAGGAGUAGUUAAUAAUCCGCGAUUUACCGCUAUGCCGAGAGCCGUAGGGAGGAUCCACCAUUUACCCCUAAGUGUGCAGAAUGCCUUUUUUUUUUUAGUAUUAAAAUAUCAAGAUCGGACACGCGUUGUAAAAUUCUUGUUCGAAUUGUUUGCAAACUCUUCGUCACAAUAAGGGGAGUUUAAAUAUGCGUUUUAAUAUAAUAACAUUGGCAUUGAUUAAAUGUUAAUAUUCAAUUAUCAUCCCACAUGAGAAUGAAAUAUAUUAAUGAUUUAUUAAUCUAAAAACAUUAUCAUCCCACAUGAGAAUGAAAUAUAUUAAUGAUUUAUUAAUCUAAAAACAAUUUUUUUAUGUCAUUAUUUUUUGGGGUUACAGUCGAGCUUGGAGGAUCUCGACUUUAGGUAUGCCCAUUUUAUUGAGAGGAAUUACUAAUAAAUUUCGGAAAGAGGAAAAAAAUAUGAUCGUGGACAUAUGGUUUAGGAAUAUUUUCAUGUUCGUUUGACACAAGUAAAGUUCUUGAAAUGGGUGCUUCAGUUUGUACGAGCGGCUAACUUGAUAAAGUUCAAAGACAUAAAGGCAAUUUUCAAAAACUCACAUGAUCAGUUAUCGAACAAGCAUGUCGUACUAGUGUGCCCACUACACAUGUUAGUUAGCGGUUUCAAUAGGAAAAGAGCAUCAUUAGCUGUCAAUGAUAAUAUUCUUUCUCUAGUACUCGAUCCUUACGACUUUUAUAUUUAUAUCAUGUAAUUUAGAAUUUAAUUUAAUUUCUAUUAAUCUUCGAUUACAGUUUAUGUGAUCUAAUUCAUGGAUGUUUUGGCACUACAUAUCUCAAUGGAGUAUGCCAGGGAAAUUUUGGUCAUAACAACAGCCUCCAUGGGUUUAUAUAUAUUUUUAAGGUACAUAUAACAUCCUAUUUUUAGGCUUAGAAAUUUUGGUCAUUUAUAGUGAAAAUAAUUUUUUUUAAUAAAAAAAUAAAAAAGGAAAAAUAAAAAUAAAAAGAAUGACUGAAUGAAUACAUGAGCUAAUAAAAGGUUUAGAUCAAAUGUUUAAAGAAAAUAGCGAAUUUAUACUUAAAAUAGGAAAUAAAUAAGGAAGGGUCAGUGGUGGCAACUUUGGAAAACUUGUUUAAUUUAGAUCUAACUAGACAAUUUAUUUGUAAAGAGUUAAAAAUGUAACGAAAUGAUACUUAUAAGCUUAAGAGGGAGUUUUUCAGUUGGAAAUGUUGUUAGAAACCCUUAUUGGAAAAAAUUAGGACAAAAGGACUAAAAUUGUCAAGUUGAUGAAACUUGUGUUAACCUUAAUGUAACGACCCUAAAAUCUUAAAUUAUGUGUUUAAUUACUUUGUAUCAUUUUGUUGAAAAAUGAACAUUAAUGAUGCAAUAAUCAAUUUGUUAGUAAAUUUCAUUGUAUAUCCUUACAUUUAUCAUGUUAUAAUCGAAAAUAUAGGACAUUUCAGCAAAAAAUAACCCUGUAGGAAAGUCGCAUUACACCUCGAUAUAUUCGUGUGGAUAUAAAUUCUAUGAAAAUCCAAAUUUGUAUGACGAAGUUAUAGUCAAUAUAAGUUGGAAGUACAAAUUUUAAUGUUUAAAUGUGUAUGUUNNNNNNNNNNNNNNNNNNNNNNNNNNNNNNNNNNNNNNNNNNNNNNNNNNNNNNNNNNNNNNNUAUAUAUAUAUAUAUAUAACAUCUCAAAACCAUAAUAACCAUAACAUAAAAUCAGAGUUUCAAAACAUAUUAUCUCUCUAAACCAUAACAAUCACUGGAUGAUGUGUAGAGUCACGUGUAACAUCUCGUUUAAAAUUAGAUAAAUAAAAUAAAAUAAGUAAAUAAAUUAGAUAAAAUAAGUAAAUAAAUAAUAAACCCUAAAACCUCAAGAUGAAUUUUAUAUUUUUAUGUUAGCCUUAAAUCCAUAAUAAUUAUCAGAGUAUUAGCGCAAUAAGUUAAAUGUUAUUAAUUCUGGAAAUAGGGGUUUAAAAUGUAAAUUUCGAACUAGUUAAGAAUAGAUUUGUGGAAGCUGGGGAUUGUUUGGUAAUUUGGACUUGAAUUGAAAGGAUUAUUGGAAACAGGUAUAGAGUAAAUUACAGAUUUAAUUUGUAAAGGAAUUGAGAUGGAGGGACUGAAAAUAUAAGAAAGGGACUAAUGUUUGAAGAGAUAGGCAUGACUUAAACCCAUUCCCCCUCCACCCUCUUGCUACUCGGUUGCACCCAUAUAAACCCUAACCCUAAUAUCUUCUCAGCCGCCACCUUAUCCCUCCAUAUCUCCAGUCGCUUCCAUCACCUGUGUCGCCGUCAUGAACCACUGAGCACCACUGCCGCUGCUCCCACUGCCGAUGAAAACGAAGAUCAACGUUUGGACACCGUGACAGUGGGGAAGUAGGAAGAAAGGAAGCUCGUGGUUGUUAUUGCUGUUAUUCUCGGUUAGGGGUCGCAAAACCUUUCUCUUCUCCGUUUCCUUUUGUUGCUACGUUGUCAUCGUCAUCGCUCCAUGUGAGGGUGGUUGUGUUUGUGUUUUGUGAGUGUAGGUGUGUGUUGCUGCUGUGGCAAGUUGGAGAGGUGUGUGUGUCUUUUGUUGGCCAGAAAAACGAAGAGAAUCACCAUGGCAACCAACCAUGGUGGUUUUCACCGUUCUGGAGCCACUAGCCACCACCCUAGGUGGCUGUGUGUGUUGGAUUGACAUUUCUUCUGUACCAGGAUGCUUUUGAUAGUGUUUGGCCUAAAAUUAUAACUACCACCAUUAAAAAGUGGUGGCUGUCGCCUCCUACCGCCAUGGACCGCCGCCGACCACCAAUGCCCGAGGUGGCAGUGGGUGGUGUCUGACUUACUAAACAUUAAAUAACCUAAACAUCUAACCUUAGACCGAGUGGUACGUGUUUGGGUUGGAAACUCUUACUAGGCUUUAGAAAAUCCUAAGGUCAAGAAAACCCUAGUUUUGGAGUUUUGUCGGGACCCGCGUUGAAGUGUUAAUUGAACUUUAAUUAUACUCGAUAAGGCCCUACGAUUAACUUAAUGCAGUAUUGAACUUAAUGAAUUAAGUCCUUAAGGGGUUAUGUGUGGAGCACUAACCCUAGUUAUCAUUUUAUGUGGAAACCCUAAAAAUCAAGAAGCCUUAUUUUCGGCAAUGAUCAGGGCACAUAUUUGGGAUAUUCCUUGGAUUAUUAUUAUACCCGAGAAUGAAUAUGUCAAACCUUAAUCACUCCUACUUUUAUUUGAUUAAGUCCUUAAUGGGUUAAGUGUCCUUACUUAACCCUAAUCGUCAUUUUAUGUGGAACCCUAAUCACUAUUUCAUGUGAGGUAGUCACUGCUGCAAUUGACGAUGACUUGUGAUCGAGUAUUGAAUCAAGUAUCUUCCUGUAGGUGAUUGGAAGUGAGUUGAAGCUGGUAGAGUUCUUCGUUACUACGGUGGUUACCUACUAGCAUAUCGAGCUGAGUUUCACCUCACUGUGUUAGAUCUAUAUGCACAAGAAUCAUUAUUCAGUGACAUUGCUAAUAACAUAUGAUCCUAUAAGGUCACACUUUAAUCAAGUUGGUACUUAUUGAAUAUUUAUUAAGUAUUUUAUAAUUAAUAAUAAAAGUUCAACUCAUGUAUUUAAUUAAAGAAAAUUUAUUGUUUUGUGAAAAUAAUAAUAAAUGAAAGACUAACUANAUAUAUAUAUAUAUAUAUAUAUAUAUAUAUAUAUAUAUAUAUAAGUCAUGUACAAAGUUUUGGACACUUUCACCAAAGAUUGACAAACUAGCUAGUUAAUUAAGUGACUAAACAAUAAACUAGAAAAUCCAAUGGACCAUUUUAGUCCUUAAAACCAUGGGUUAUCAAGGCGAGGAGGUUGAAAGUCAACCUCCAACAUUCUUGUCCCCCAUGUUUGUUCAUUACCUUGCAUGUAAUACACACCAUGAUCAUAUUAUAUAAGGCUAGUUGUUUUAUCACUAUAUGACUAGAAGAAAAAAAUCAUUUACACUUUCAUCCAUAGAAUUGUAGGUUCUCUUGGCUUCUCCCUAUCUCUCACUUGAAGUUAGUUCUUGGUUUUUUAGAGUUCGUCUUUUGUGUCUUCCUUUUACACUUAUUAUCUAUGUGCUUAAGGCUUAAAGAGAAAAAUAUUAUACAAGAAGAAAUCUAGCAAUUUUGGUACCUUAUUCUUGUUGGUGGAUUACUUGUAGAGAAGAUCAGACUUGUUGUUCUUGCCAUCUACUUCAACACCCCAAAUCUAAGAGGGUCCAAAGUCUACGAAGGUUGUAUUUUCUAAACUCCCUAUGGUUGUUAUAAUAUCAUUCUAAGCACUUUAAAAGGAUCCUUGAUGGUUUGUUUUGUUUUCAAAUUUAUAAGAAAUUUUUAAAGCUUCCGUUGCCAGUUUUUGUGAAAAACUAUUUAUUUUAUGCAACAAACCCCUUCAGUUGUAACACUAUAAAUUUUCAAACAAAAUUUCCAUUUUUAAAACACACAAAUCUUAAAAUCACAUUUCUCAAAAAUCACAAAUGUAUCAAUUGUAAGAAUAUCCCAGAACCCUCAAACAUAAUCUCGAACAGGUGUGUACAAUCAAGUCGGCGCCUUACCGUGAUUCUGAGAAGUACCUGAAACACAUAACACACAACAUAGUAAAAACGAAGCUUAGUGAGUUCCCCAAAAUACCACAUACACAAAUAAUAAGCCACUCAUAGCUAUAGCUCGGCAUGGACCUUCCAGUCAUGCGUCUCGGUGAGGACCCUCCGGUCUCACGGCUCGGUGUGGACCCUCCGGUCAUGUGUCUCAGUGAAGACCCUCAGGUUUCACAGCUCGAGUUGGACCCUCCAGUCCUGUAUCUUAGUGAAGACCCUCCAGUCUCACAACUCGGUUUGGACCCUCCGGUCCUAACUCAGUAAGGCACAAAAUAAUAUAGCAUAUAUGACAAAGACAAAAUGCAUAAUAUCACAUAACUCAGUAUAAGCACAUAGGACCAUCCGGUCGAUAACUCAAAUAAGACCCUCUGUUCACAUAGUAUUACCACUCAGGUAAGUAUAGUGAUAAGACUCGUCUCGGAAGUAAGCAAAUAGAUCUAGUACCCCACGAACAGUUUAGACUCCGCCUACAUAAUAUAAUUAUCUCUAAUAAGCAAUUUGUAAUAACCAUUCCGAGAUGUUAAGCUAGCUCCCCCACUAAAUCUCAAAAAUGGUGAAAAUACCAUUUUACCCCUCCAUGGUCUCUAAGGUCCACAGUUGACCAAACCCUAAAACUCAACGUAAGUCAACGCUCAAGUCAACAGUCCAUGUUGACUAAACUCGUCGAAUGCAUCCAUGCGACUCGUUGAGUACCGUCGUUUUCUCUGAAGUAUCGGGAAAAUCCAACUCAACUCGUCGAGUUGUCUCAUCAACUCGCUGAGUUGUAACGCAUUUAGACUAUCAGGGAAAACCCUAGCUGACUAGUCGAGUUGUCUCAUGCACUCGUCGAGUCCCUCUAUACAAAUUCUCAUUUAGACUAUUCUAAGCAGGAAUAAGGUCCCAAACUCUAGAUCUAGCCUCCCAAGGCUGAAAUACCAUGUAAAGCUGCAAGCUUUACGUCUAUGCAUGGAAUCUAGCGCUCAAAAUGCUAAAACAAGCUCUAUAUAGGGUUUAAUGCAUAAAAUCUUGCCACUAGCUUGAUAAAGCUUGGACCUUUGGGCUCAAGGGACCUCAUAUUGUCCAUAUCUGAAGUCUCAAAUUCAUGGCAGGCUCAAACAACUCAAGUACUCAAAGAAGGAUGGAAAAAGGCCCUAAAACUCCUUAGAAAAGAGAUCUAACCAAAUAAUGAUCAAGGUGGUAACUUUUUACCUUCAAACAGAAGCUAGAAAUGAAUAAGCACCAGAUCCAAGAGCUCCCUCUCGUCCCAAGCCUUUUGUUCCUCAAUCUUUCUCCAAAAAUGCACCAAAAUACACAAUAUUAUCCUCUCCUUCUCUCACACAUAGAUAUAGCUCGAUUAGGGUUUCUCUCAGAGUUUUAGGAUGAUAAGGGAGGAUGAAAUGAAGGCUUAAGGUCCUUUAAAUAGGACACAAACCCUGAAAAUUGGGGUUUUCUCACUCUGCUCCUACUCGUCGAGUUGGGGUCCUCCAACUCGUCGAGUAGACUCUAAAAAUCACGCAACCUUUAACUCCUCUACUCGGCGAGUUGGGGCAUCCAACUCGUCGAGUUGCUCUGACAUCAUAAAUGCAAAUUUAUUAAAUGUUAUAUAUGGGAGCAGGAUGGUACAUGUAACGACCCAAUUUUCAUGACCAAAAAUUUUGUUUUAAAAACAUUACUUUAGAAAAUAUUAAAAGCUAAAAACAUUGUCGGAUCAAAUCAUAACACAAGUGAACCAUGUCUAAAAGCCAAUUCAUACAUUCAAUCAAAAUAUCAGAGUACAAAUCCCAGUGAAGCUCGUAAAUGCGGAAACCGGAGAGUGUGUGUGUGACAUGCUGCUACCGCGCCGGCUCCUUUCCCCUAGCUGAGGAGGUACCUGAAACCAAAACUGAAGACUGUAAGCACAAAGCUUAGUGAGUCCCCCCGUCGUACCACAUACCAUACAAACACGUAACAUACAUACUGUCAGGCUAUUCUGGGGUGCCUGACUACCCGGUACGGCCGUUCUGGGGUGCCGUCCUACCCGUGUCAAGCCAUUCUGGGGUGCUGACUACCCGUGUCAAGCCAUUCUGGGGUGCUGACUACCCAUGUCAAGCCAUUCUGGGGUGCUGACUACCCAUCGGUCCUAACAACCGAUCCUCGGGGACUAGUCCCCUCUUACUACCUUUAUCUCAUAUAACAUAACAAGCCAGCAUGCAAUCAUAUCAUCACGUACUGUCAGACAUAUCUGGGGUGUCCGACCUACCCUUCGGUCCUAACAACCGAACUCUACAACUAUCACAUAUACAUAUCAUGCCAGCAUAUAACAUAUCAGGUAGUAGCAAACCUAGAUGAUAUCACAAAGACAAUCAUCUAACAUACAACUCCUACUGGUGGGCCGGCAUUGUGGCCGUAGACCCACCGCUACUGGAAGGUAACUCACCUCGAAGUAGCUGCUGAUCUGAUCGGGAACUGACUGCCUACUGCUGCUGCUGCUGCUCCGGAAAUCCUCCGGCUGCAAUUCCCACAACAUACUCAAUCAAACACUGCUCACUGACCUUUGGGUAAAAUGACCAUUUUACCCCUGAUCAUGCCCUAAGUCAAAGUCAGAGUCAACUUUCAGUUGACCCGACUCGCCGAGUUGGCUUUCCAACUCGCCGAGUCCCUACCCAAACGACUGCCCUGAAACCCGAUCCUACCCGUCGAGUUAGGCGACGACUCGACGGGUUCACCUUCUUAACCAAUAUUCAAGUCCUUCAUUCUACUCGCCGAGUUGUAUGAACAACUCGCCGAGUUCAUCUUCAUCCGAAGAACACUUAUGCUAAGACUCGCCGAGUUGUAUGAACAACUCGCCGAGUCUGUUCUUGAUCUAAGGAGAUUGCCUUGAACUCGCCGAGUCAGGGCAUUGACUCGCCGAGUACCUCCAUAGAUGAGUUAAGCUUCCGACUCACUGAGUCACACCCCGUGACUCACUGCUCACUCGACACUACGAAAAGGGGACAAACUCGGAGACUCGCGAACAGACUCGCCGAGUCAUAUGAACGACUCGCCGAGUCGUUGCCAUGCAUCCACUAAAUACACAGAUUUGCUCGAUUCCAGUCCAUGCCAUUCAUAGAUCUGGGCUUCUAGGACACGAAUCACACGUAAAGUUUCCAACUUUACGUGUGGAUAUUCACCAAUAUGGAUUUUAGGGCUCAAAAUGUCUCAAAAGGGUAGAUCUAGGGCUAACAAGCAACAUGGGGCCAUAAAGCUAACAGAUCUGAGCUCCUGGAGCUCAAUCUUGCCUAGAUCCAGAGGCCAAACAUCUUAUUACGACAUACAAUGCACAUACAAGCUUGGGGAUUUGACCAAGAAGGACCCAAAUGAAGUUUUAAGCAUAGAAUCAAGGGGAAAACGGGUUAUACCUCAAAGGAACUGCUGGAAGAACACAAAUAAUGCCUGGAUGGCUUCCCUUCUUCUGGAUCUACUUCCUUCCUCCUUCCAAACCUUCAAAAACACACACACUAACCUCAAACUCUCAAGGAAUAGCUUAGAACGAGAGAUACAGGGCUUUAAGGGUCAAUGGGGGCCGGCUUGGGGCUGAUAAGUCCUUUAAAUAGGGUGCAAACCCCUGAAACUUAGGGUUUCAUCCAACAGCUAUGACUCGCCGAGUCCAGGAUAUGGACUCGCCGAGUCGCCAACUUAAACGUGUCCCGGGUCCCGCAUCCACUCGGCGAGUCGGACCUAUGACUCGCCGAGUCCAAGGCUAAAAGAAAGGAAAUACUCAAAUAACAUUUACGUACCAGGAACCGGGUGCUACAGUACAUCAGUUGUAUCAAAACCAUCUUUUAAAUGUUAGAAUGAUUUUUAUGUUAUGAUAAUCUUUGGUUUUUGGGAAACAAGCAUGGAUUUCUUUUUAGCUUGCAUCAUGUUAAUGAUUCGACCGAAGUGGCUUGCAUCAUGCUUGCAACUAUGACUCCUGAACUUCAAAAAACUUUUGAGUUUCAUGAAGCAUUUGAAAUGAUUGAACAACUGAGUCAUGUUUCAAGUUCAGGCUAAGCAAGAUAGGUUUGAGACCUUGAAUGCUUUCAUUGGUUGCAAGAUGGACAAAGGAUCUUUUGUGAGGUCACAUGUACUAAAAAUAAAAGCUUAUGUUGACCAACUUUCCUGCCUCAGAUUCUAAUUUGGGGAUGAGCUAAAGACCAAUGUGAUCCUGGCCUCACUGCCUAAGUCAUUCAACCAAUUUUUGAUGAACUUCACAAUGAAUUAUUAGGAGAUGAGCAUUAAUGAGCUUCAUAACUUGCUCAAAAUUGUUGUGAAAAACGUCAAGAAGUCUGGGAACAAUCAAGUGCUGAUGAUUCAUGAGGGUCUAAUCUCUAAGAAGAAAACUAGUACUAAUAUCGGUUAGGGGAAAGGAAAAGCUGCCAAGAAAGGCAAGGGCAAGGGAAAGGGUAAAGGGAAGCCUCCUUCCACUAACCCAACUCCUAAACCCAAGCCUACUGCUAAUGUUGAUUGCUUUAAAUGUAAUGAAAAUGAACAUUGGAAGCGCAACUGUCCCAAAUACCUAUAGGAACUUAAGAAGAUCAAAGCCAACUAGUUUGGCACCUCAGGUAAUAUGUGAUUGAAUUACAUGCAUUCCGUACUAAUUCUUGGGUAUUCUAUACUGGAAGUGGUACUAACAUCUGGAAUGAUUUGCAGGGACUAAGGAAUGUUAGAGAACUAAGAGAUGGCGAUUUGGAACUUCAUGUUGGCAAUGGCAAUCGAGUAGCUAUCAAAGCCAUAGGACAAUAUCAUCUUUUUCUUCCAAAUGUCCUUAAUCUUAUUUUUAACAAUUGUUGUUAUGUACCUAGUAUAACUAGGAAUAUUAUAUCUACUUCUCGCUUGUAUGAACAAGGUUGUCGUUAUAAGUUUGACUUUGAUUUUGAAAACAUUUUCGUGUUUAAGGAUAAUGUGUUCUAUUUUGAGACUAGUCCCACAAAUGGAAUAUACGAAAUCGAUUUAAAUGGUUCAUACACAAAGGAUAAUUCAAUAUUCAACUUAAAUAAGAAAACAAAGUUAGACUCAAAUAAAACUUUUUUUUGGCAUUGUCGACUUGGGCACAUAAGUAAAACUAGCAUUACUAAGCUCCAAAAGGAUGUGAUAUUAGAGUCAACAGGCUCAAAGUCUUUUGAUGUAUGUGAAUCAUGUAUAUGUGGCAAGAUGACCAAAGCUUUGUUUACCGGUGUUGGUGAAAGAGCUUCGGAUCUAUUAGGACUCAUACAUACUGAUUUAUGUGGACCUUUUAGAACAAUGACCAUAAGCGGUGAAAGAUACUUCAUUACACUUAUUGAUGAUUACAGUAGAUUUGGAUAUGUGUAUCUCAUGAAACACAAAUAUGAACAUUCAAUGUCUUCAAGGUUUUCCAAACUGAAGUACAUAAUCAACUUGGUAAAAAUAUUAAACCCAUACGAUCAGAUCGUGGUGGUGAAUAUCUGAGAUAUGAGUUUGAUGAACAUCUGAAGAAUUGCGACAUAGUGUCACAACUCACUCCACCGGGAACACCUCAGCAUAAUGGUGUCUCAGAAAUAAGAAAUCAUACUCUACUUGAUAUGGUGCGAUCAAUGAUGAGUGAUACUUCCCUUCCUCAUUUAUUUUGGGGUUAUGCCCUUGAAACCGCAGUUCGAACUGUAAACAUGGUCCCAACUAAAAAGGUUAGUAAGACUCCCUACAUGUUAUGGCAUGGAAAGGAUCCAUCAGUGUCUUUCUAAAAUAUAUGGGGUUGUGAAGCAUAUGUUAAAAGAGAAACUUCUGACAAGCUUGACCCUAGAUUUCAUAAGUGUAUCUUUGUUGGAUACCCAAAAGAAACCGGGUGUUCAUAGCUCGUAAAACAAUGUUUCAUGUAACUGAAUUUAUCUUGCAUAAAGUAAGUGGGAGCCCCCUUGACCUCGAAGAAAUUCGAGAGAAACAACCUUUAGUUGAAAACGAUAAUCAACAAAGCAUUUUUGAACAUGAACUUAUUAUUCAGAUGCCGGAAACCACACCAAUUGUACGAUGUUCCAGUAGAACUCCUCAUGAACCUGACAAAUUUGGAUUUGUCAUUCCUGAAUAGGAAGUCUUCUUGAUGGAUCAAUAUGAGCCCAUCAACUAAAAGGAUGCUACUGCAGACCCAAAGUCUAACAAAUGGCUUGAAGCCAUGAGAACUAAAAUCCAAUCCAUGAAUGACAAUCAAGUAUGGGACUUGGUUGAUUUACCUCCUAACAGUAGAGCUGUUGGAAGCAAGUGGAUCUUCAAGAAGAAGAUCUACAUGGACGGAAAUGUACUCAAAUUCAAGGUGUUGACUAUGAAGAUACCUUCUCGCCAUUUGCUAAGAUUGAAUCUAUUAGAAUUAUCAUGGCAAUAGCUGCAUAUUAUGACUAUGAGAUUUGGCAAAUGGAUGUCAAAACCACGUUCCUUAACGGAUAUCUUGAGGAAGAUGUUUUUAUGGAACAAUCUGAAGGUAUUGUCAAGCCGGAUAACCUAAAGAAGGUACGUAAACUAAAGAAGUCCAUUUAUGGAUUAAAACAAGCAUCUGGGGUGUGGUAUCAUCGUUUUGAUGAAAAGUGUUGGGUUUUGAGCAUUCUAACACUCCUAUGGUGUACAUGCAACCCUAAAUACCUUGGAUCUAUGUUUUCUCUAUUAUACAUGAAAUAUCAAUUUCCAAGGUAUUUAUCCUAACUAGCAUAUUAUGAAGUACAAGUAAUAUAGAAACUAGUAGAAAUACAUACCUCUUUGUUGGUGCUUGAUUCCAUGGAGCUCAAGAGCCUAGUGCCCCAAAUGUGACACCUCAAAUGGUUCACACAACAUCAUAUGCACGUGGAAUAACUUAGACAGAAAUCAUCACUUCAUGAAAUCGACUUGCCCUCCAUAUACACACAUAGUGGCCGAUUUUUCACAAGAAUAUGAUGCUUAUAUAGUUGUUACAAUUAGGGUAAACCCUAAUUGUCAUGGCUUUCCAUUUCCUUAGAUCCAUGGGUUCAAAUACACCAUGGAGCAUCCAUGGAGUAUCCUAUGGGUUUUAGCCUAACUUAACAAUCCAUGGAGUCUUAGCCCACUAUACAGGUAUGUAUGAUAUACACAACCAACCCAUAUAUUUAAUUAGUCUUCUUUUGAUCACUUAAUUAAUUCUAGAUUAAUUCUUGAUCAAUAUUAAUUAAAUAAUCUUAUUAAUAUAUUAUAACUUAUAAUAUAUUAAUAAACCUUAAGUGUUAUUUCUCUCAUUUUAUUCUAUCCAAAUGCAUGAUGCCAUGCAACCCAAAUGGACUAUGUCGGGUCGGGUCAAGUAUAUACCAAUUAUAGUUAUGGACUUAGACACUAAUCCAACAAUCUCCCACUUGGAUAAGUCUAAUAACUAUCAUUGCAAGUACGGCUUCACAACCCGACCAGCAAUCAUAGCUCUUAAAAGUUGUUGCCGAUCUCUGAACAAAUCAAUGACGCGUCCAUUAGAUAAAUGAUCAUAUAUUCCUCCAUUCUAGACAUCAUAUGGACUGAGACAUGGAUUAUAAUCAUUCUCUCUGCCAUUUGUUAUUUCCCGAUGUCUGAUUUAAGAUGAUCAACUAAUUGAACAAAUCAAAUCAGUCCAGGCUUAGCCAAGCACUUAGGGGUGCCAUCACUAAAUCAUCUAGGGGCCCACAGAUAUCUCUUUUAUCCCAUUAAGGGUAAAAGGAAUGGAGAAACUCCAACUCAUAUGCUUGUACUGACUACUAUUUGAAUCAUACAUAAAUUCACGUUUAUAACAUCGAGUUACCAAUGCGUUUUCGUGCAAUCAAUGUAUAACCAACUCGUAGUCAACAACUGAUAUCUCUAGGUUUGAAGAAUAUAAGAUAUUAUGUGGUGUAAGUGUUCUUAUCCAUGUGAAUUUGUCAUCACCAUAAUCACAAGACAAGGUGUCACACCCCAAAACCGAGAACGGCGGAAACGUUCUGGGGCGGAGGACGUCAUGUAAUGUAUCACAAUAAAUGUAAAGUAGUAAACAAGCAACAACAUCGUCCAUUCAUUAAUAGUAAAAGUUUAAUAUAUGUGUGUUCUUUCAUAGUAAUAAGACAUUACAACAAGUAAUCAAAAUAAAAGACGAGUCUUGACUGCUCUGUCUUCGCAAAACCUGGUCAUCGUACCUGUCUACUGGUGACCUGAGAAUACAAGUUAUUUUGAAAGUGUAGGUCAGCAUUUAAGCUGGUGAGUUCAUAAGUAUUUAAUGUCAUCGUUUGUAUAAGUAUGAAGAAAACAUUUGGAAUUAUUCAAUGUAAUUGUUUGUAUAAGUUUGAAGAAAACGUUUGGAAUGAAUCAAUGUAAUUUUUCAUAUAAGUUUGAAGAAAACGUUUGGAAUUAAUCAACGUAAUUGUUUGUAUAAGUUUGAAGAAAACGUUUGGAAUGAAUCAAUGUAAUUGUUUGUAUAAGUUUGAAGAAAACGUUUGGAAUUAAUCAACGUAAUUGUUCGUAUAAGUUUGAAGAAAACGUUUGGAAUUAAUCAAUGUAAUUGUUUGUAUAAGUUUGAAGAAAACGUUUGGAAUUAAUCAAUGUAAUUGUUCGUAUAUGUUUGAAGAAAACGUUUGGAAUUAAUCAAUGUAAUUUUUCUUAUAAGUUUGAAGAAAACGUUUAAAAUUGUUCUACAUUUGUAUAAAACUGAAUAAAAUAGUUUGUACAUGUUUGAAAGUUUCUAGAAAAUCUGAUAUUUUCUACUAGUAUAACCAUACUAAGGCAUUUGAUAAUCCCGUAAACCAGUGUGUUUCUAAUACUCCAUGUGAGUUUUAUAACCAUACUAAUGACCCAGACUUCCUGUAACAACGUUCUUCAGGCGUUGAAAUGUUAUGACAUUUGUCACCCCAGGCCUGCGGGCCUAGCUGUAGCUAACAACUUAGGUGCGGGAUUGUCAAUCCCGUAUAGAUCUAUACACAAGUAUCACGCUCCCCCUACAAUGGAUUAUGGUAUGUAAUACAGGACUUAAAAUGCAUACUCGAAAGUACGUGAAAUGUCUCACAAAACUUAGUAUCAAACAGAUUUACGUAUGAAAAUGUCCAUUUGUUCUUGAAUAUGAAAGUAUUUCUUUGAUAUAGUAUUUCUAGUAUGUAAAUGUUCAUGAUUUCCUCGUAAACUAUACCUAUUAUAGUCAUUCAAAGUGUGUGUUUCGUUCGUAUAGCAAAUCCUAGUGUAAUGUUCACUUGUUAUGUAAAGUAUAACAUCUAAAAUGACAUAAAUGAUCACAUAUACUUAAAGUAUAAAUAAAGGGUUUGAUUCGCAUAUCUAACUACUUUAUAAUACAUACAUCUUGGUGGGGACCACAAAAUUUAAGACAAAGUCUUAAAAACAAGGGGAAUCAAUUUUGACCUUAGAUUUUUUUUGAACGGUGGAGAUUAUAUUAUUGUUGGUGAUCCAAGUAAACAUCUUUAAACCAAUCACAAACAAGUAUUCUAGAUUUUCAAUUCUUUAAAGUUUAUGUCUUCCAUAUUUAAAUUUACAGGGAACGGGAAAGAAAUCACCUUUCAUUUAAAAUCACAUUUCUCAUCUUCUCGAAUUGCCGUCUCUCUAGAACCUCCUCACUAUCUUCAUCUUCUCCAUUAACGACUCUGGAGAUCAAUGUCAUCAUUACCUUUACUUACAGCUAAUCCGUUCACCAUUACCUUACUUCCAUCAAACCCCCACACCAACAAUAGAGUUUCUCAUGACAUUCUCCCUCUCUCUUUCUUCAACGCCACCUCCAUUCUCAAACACGGGUAGGAUAAAAUUUUUUCAAAUCUUUAUGUGUAGAUCCAUUUGUGUGUGUGUUUUACAGAAAGAGACUAAGGCCACAGGUAGGAUAAAACAUUUAAAAUCUUUAUGUGUGUGUUUUAGGGAUCUAUAUGUAUGUAAACCUAUUUAUAUGUAUAAAUUUGUGUAUUUAUGUUUAAUAUAUUUUCGAUUUUGAUGUUCUAAGAGUUUUAUAUUUCAUAUUUUCAGAUUUGAAUCUGCAAAUUCUACACAAAAAGACAAAAAGUUGGAUCUCUUAUAAUCUGUUGUAGAUAUUUGUAGGUCUUACUUACUCAAUGCAGUGUAGAUAUGUGUUUUAGAUGUGUUUUUUGUUGUAUUUUGUAAGUAUCUAUAUUUUGUUUAAAGAUAAAUGAAUUAAUUAGUUCUAUGUUUUUUAUUAUUAUUAUUUAGAUAUGUAUAAUGGAUUUCAAUGAUUUGGAAUAAGAACUAGGAACUGUAUGUCACAGAUUAAGAUUUGUAUUGCAUAAAUUACGUUUGAUUUUUUACAUCUAGAUUUUUAAUAAUUUUAUAUUUUGAUGCAUGAGUGAAGGACAUAAAAACACAACAAAACUAAUUUCCGGUUUUUGUUUUUCUCUUUAGAUGUAAGGUUUUGAUGGUAAAACCUAAAGGUGCAAAAUUUGUUGUUCCAUGAUUUAGUGUGAUUUGUAUAUUCUAUCUAUUUGUAUUAGUAUUGAAUGAGUUAUUUGUUUAUUUUUAUUAAUAAACGAGAAAAAUAUUUCCCUUUUUUUGUGUAGAAUAGUCUUUCUAUUUUUAAAUAUUUGGAGUUAUACUUUUUAUAUAAAAAAACUUGAAUGAGAUAUUGUAACUAUUCUAUUUACAAAUAAAAAAAUAUUUUGCUAGACAAAAAAUAAAUAACAAUUGAAAUAUUUUGAAGAGGUUGUAAAUUUUGUUUAUAGAUAAAAAUAUUAUGUUUGAGUAUAUAAUAUUAAAUAAGGAAAACUGUUUUCUUAUAAGAAACGAUUAACUUAAUUAAUAAAUGACUUUUGUAAACAAAAUUAUAAGGAAAAAAAUCAAAGAUAAAAAUGGCGUUGCAAAAAAAUAGAAAGAGUUAAGAUUCUUUCAAAUAUGCUGAUUAUCAUAAAUGUUGCGAUUGGUACAAAGUGCUUUGGGUAUUCUAACAGUUUAAAAAAAAAAAAACUUUUAGGUUUGUGAAAAGAAAUGUGGCGAUAUCAUGGGUUUGUAAAAUACGUCUUUUCGUUAAAAAAAUGAUUUUUUUAUAUUUAAUACUAAUAUUCAUUUUACAUUUAUAUUUAAUUAUAAAACUUUUUGAUUAAUAUAACAAAAUAGACGUCAUUUCAUUUUAAAAAAUGAAAUCAAUUAUGUAUAAGGUAUAUCCAAAUUUAUAAAUAGUUGUUUUUUAUACAAACAACAGUUUAGGAUGAUUAACAGUCUAGGAUGAUUAGAAAAAAAUUUGUCUAUAAGUUAAUAUGCUAACAUAAAAGAUGUUAUAUAAACAAGUUAAAAUAACAAAUAUUACUGCAUAAUAUUUUAAAUUUUUUUGAAUCUCUAGAUAUAUGAUUAUGUUGUUUUAAUGGGUUUUGUUUUGCAAAAUUUACUAUGAAUUAAGAAACCACAAAAAUAUAAACACUUGAAAGAUUAAUACAAGUGAAAAACAAUAAGUGAGUUUCCUUAAAAAAAAUGAUAUGUACAAAGAAAAAAAGUGAUUAAAUGUAUAUAACUUUGUACAUAUUUUUUAUUAUCUUUCAUAUUUAAAUAAUGGGUUAAUAACUUUUUUUGGACGGGAGUUUUAGUUUUUUCAAUAUCUCUGAAUAAAAUAUAAAUGAUUUUGAACUAUUACUUUUAUCCAAAAAUCUAACACACUUAAUUUUUUGUUAAUUUUUGGUAACAAAAGAACGAAUUAAAAAAAAAAUUCUAAUUUAUUGAAUUUUAACAUGCUAAAAAAAUUGACAACUUUAAGUGUAUUUAAUUAUAUCUUAUAAUAAUCAUAUAAUACUAUUUUAUUAAACUUAUAAUUAUUAUAUAAAUAUAUAUACUAAACGAAGCCUUAAACCAGAUCCUCCCGUUUUUACUAUUUCGUUUAUUAGAAGUAUUUAAGAAUUUUAUUUGUUGCUUAUUAGCUUAUUACUUAUUUGCUUAUUGUGGUGAGAAUAAAUAUUUUUUUAAAAUGUGUUUGGAUUAGCAUAUUGCGGUGGGAAUAAACAAUAAGUAAUAAACAUUUAAGUGUUUGACAAAAUAAAACAACUUAUAUGAGUAAAAUGACCAAUAAACAAUAAAUAAUAAGCAAUAAGCAUUCCCCCUCUUGCUUAUUAAAAUCAGUUUAUUUUGUUUAUUCCUACCGCAAUAAGUUGAUUUUUAAAGAUUACUAUCCAAACACUUAAAUUUGCUUAUUGCGGUUGGGUUUAGCAAUAAGCAAUAAUCAACUUAUUUUUUCCCUAUCAAAACACCCACGUAAUAUUAAUUCCAAAGCCAACUACACGAUUUAUAUUUGGAUUUGGAUUACAAGCACAAAGGUAACACAUCAUCAAAUAUGAAAUUUAUUAAUUUAUCAUUGUGGUCCCAUUUUUUCAACUAUUUGUAUUACCCUCAUUUUAAGUAUAUUUUAAAAACUAAAAAACACAUCUUUAUUUAAAACCAAAACAAGAAUGCAUGUAAAAUAAUUGCACACAAAGAAUAUAUUCUAGAAAUAAAUUUCUGAAUCAAAACAAAUUGCGGAAAAAACUUUUUUCGCUAUAAUUUGUAAUCCAUUNUUUUUUUUUAAUUUUUUAAAAAUUUUUUUUUUUUUUUUUUUUUUUUUUUUUUUUUUUUUUUUUUUUUUUUUUCUAAAAAUAAUAAGACUUUUCUGUUAAAAAAAAUUAAGACUUUGAUUUCUGAUAAAAAAAAAAGACGAGUCAAGAAAAAGACCUGUACGAAAAACGAACGGUCGAGACAACCCGUAAUACAUCGAAAGCAAAUUAUUCGUUGUUCGGGAAAAAUUUACUAAUCUCCGGAAUGAAAUUAAUCGUCGUCCGCUGCAUCGCGCGGGUAGCCUACUAGNNNNNNNNNNNNNNNNNNNNNNNNNNNNNNNNNNNNNNNNNNNNNNNNNNNNNNNNNNNNNNNNNNNNNNNNNNNNNNNNNNNNNNNNNNNNNNNNNNNNNNNNNNNNNNNNNNNNNNNNNNNNNNNNNNNNNNNNNNNNNNNNNNNNNNNNNNNNNNNNNNNNNNNNNNNNNNNNNNNNNNNNNNNNNNNNNNNNNNNNNNNNNNNNNNNNNNNNNNNNNNNNNNNNNNNNNNNNNNNNNNNNNNNNNNNNNNNNNNNNNNNNNNNNNNNNNNNNNNNNNNNNNNNNNNNNNNNNNNNNNNNNNNNNNNNNNNNNNNNNNNNNNNNNNNNNNNNNNNNNNNNNNNNNNNNNNNNNNNNNNNNNNNNNNNNNNNNNNNNNNNNNNNNNNNNNNNNNNNNNNNNNNNNNNNNNNNNNNNNNNNNNNNNNNNNNNNNNNNNNNNNNNNNNNNNNNNNNNNNNNNNNNNNNNNNNNNNNNNNNNNNNNNNNNNNNNNNNNNNNNNNNNNNNNNNNNNNNNNNNNNNNNNNNNNNNNNNNNNNNNNNNNNNNNNNNNNNNNNNNNNNNNNNNNNNNNNNNNNNNNNNNNNNNNNNNNCCGGGGCUUUGGGAGGGUCUCGGGGGCUUAAACGCAGAGUUUCGGCGCGAGAAAGAAGGGAACUGAGCAAUGGAACUCGGAGCCCUUGAAAUAUAUUUAUAGGGGCAUUUUUGAGGUGUGCCACGUCAUGGCAAGGGAUGGACACGUCGUGGGGAGUCAAACUUAUCCUCUUCCAUUGAUUGGACGCCCUCAGUCACUUGUCGGGUCGCGGCAAGCUUGUGCCACGUCGUAGCAAGCCUGACAGCCUCGGAUUUCGAACGUCGAAUUUGUAAAACCCAUAACUUUUGCGUACGAGCUUCGUUUUGACGUUCUUUAUAUGCAUGCGUAGCUGAAAAUAUGCUCUACAACUCUCGUUUAGACUUCAUUGGCUAAUUUUGACUUUAUUUUUAAUUAUUUAUUUUUAACAGGCCGGGACACGAAAAUUACGUUAAAAUUCCAUAACUUCUUCAUCCGAUGUCCGUUUUCGUCAGACUUUUCGCCGUUGCGCUACUAUUUUUGAGACCUUCGAUUCUCAUUUAGGUUGUUUCGGUCAAAAGUCUCUCGAGCUCUAUUUCGAGUUUUUAGCUGUCUACUGUUAUAUCCGGAUCUUGGAAAAAUCAUAACUUCCUCAUACGAAGUCAGAUUUGGACGUUCUUUUUAUGUACGCUCACGGUUUAAUGUUAUCUACAACUUUCAUUUAGAUACUUAAGGCUAAAAACUAUUGUAUUGAAAUUUCGUGUUUUUCGUUUAAUCGGUGUUGCCGGUUUUGCCGCGAACUUUCGGUUGGUCAUAACUUCUUCGUUAUAACUCGGAUUUUAGGGUUCUUUAUAUAUACAAAAACCUUGAUGCGAUUUGUACUACUUUAUUUAACCCAAAUAUGAUUUUAGGAAAGUUAUAUUUUGACCUAAAUUUGACUGGUUUUACAUUACAUUGUCUCUAAAUAUCGGGUUGUCACAUCAUCCCCCCGUUAGAGACUAUUUCGUCCCGAAAUUAGAGUUUUAAGCAGAAUUGAUAAAUAUGCUACGGAUAAAAGUUUUAUUUGCUCCUCGUGUUCUUAAGUGAACCCAGGUCCUCGCUUGGCAUUCCAGCGAACCUUUCACUAUCGGGAUACAACUUUGCUUGUUUCGUUUGACUUCCCUGGUAUGAUAACUCCUCUUUGUCGAACGUGUGUUGAGUGUUUUUGUCGUCUGUGAGAGUAUUACACCUUGUACCUUACAAGUAGUGUCUCCAGAUCUUCAGAGCAAUUACCAUUUCUCCUGACUCAAGAUCAUGUGUUGUAUAGUUAACUUCUUGCGUCUUAAGCUAUCUUGAGGUAUAUGCAGUGACCUUUCCUCUUGCAUAAGAACACAACCAAGCCGUUGGUUGGAUGCAUUGCAUUACACCAUGAAAUAUUCUAUCCCUUUUGGGAGGGAUAAUAUUGAUGUGAUGCGUCAGGCUUACUUUAGCGUUUGGAACGCUCUUUCUUGUUUAUAGACAAGUCUGGUGCUCCUCCAAGUGAGAAACUUGGCCGAAGGAAUCCUCUUUUGAGGAGUUCGUUAAGCUGUCUGGGAAGUUCUAGUAUCUUAGUUAGAGUUAGACGAUAAGGUGACUUGGCUACUGGGGUAGCCCUUGUAACUAAGUCAAUUCUGAACUCGAAUUGACGUUGUGGUGGUAAUCCCGGUAGUUCUUCUGGAAAGGUGUUGGGAAAGUCGCGUACUUUUGGGAUGUUCUGAAUGUCCUUCGCUUCUUGGCUCGUAUCGACGAUGUGUGAUAUUCCCUUCGUAAGCGCUUUUGAGAUUAAAUACAUGAAAUGAUGCGAAGGUUCGUACCUGAUUUGUCUCCGUAAAUAACAAGAGGUUCUGUGAUAGGGAGGUUAAGAUGAACUGCUUUAUCAAAGCACCUGAUUUCGGCUCGACGUAGACUUAACCAACUCCUACUGAUUAUGAUGUCAAAACCUUGGGGUGGAUUAGAUGUCGUGAAGAUCUAAAAGAAAGUAUGACUACUCAUGAAUUAGGGAAAAGGAUAGGUAUUUCUAAGUUUAUUCUCACGGAAGCACGAUCACUCUCAGUCUUGGGCAGUCUCCGUCUAGAAGUUCAUAGUAGAACUCAUACCUGGUUCAUUAAUCACAAUCUUGGGUAUACGAGUCGUAUAUAAUUAAGAUUGAAACUGUGGGUCUUUGGAUUGAACUUGACGUACUGCACGAGUGGUACUUCGGGGAGGUUUGCUGAGGUUUCUUUGGAAAGGGUAAGAAACAUGACAUACUCUACGCAUGAGUACUUAGGAGUUCUGAAGUGAUAGUUUCAUUAGAAAGAUGAUUUUGGAGAAAGAGAUUUACGCACGAAACUGGUAUUGUGAGGAUCAAAUAGACUCUGAUCGUAUGAUGAAAUCGGAAUCACUUGGAAAUAAAGACACUAGAUUCGAUCAUAAAGGCGUUACAGACAAAACACAACAGUGCAACUUUUUUAAUAGAGUUACAGUACUUUAGAGUAACUACAGGAAUACUGCUGCGAACGAAGUACACUAUAAAAGGCAAGUAUACGCAGCACGAGGGUCCCUUAACUGACGGGAUCUCGCAAGAGAUAAUACUCGAGUUGCACUAGUUCUAAACAUGUUUUAAAAACAUACAUAAUACUGACGAUUGGAAGUGAACCUAUACUAUAGUAGGGUCCUUCAUUGCCUCUUUCCAUUAUGAGGUCAAACUCCUCCGGAUUCGCCGUCGUUCUCCUCUAUUGGACAGUCCCUCUUAAAGUGUCCCAUUACGCCACAUAGAUGGCAUAUUCGAGAGAUUUCGACAUUGGUGGUUGAAGUAAUGUGUUGGAUCCGAGUCUUGCAAUAAUGGACGGUGUGUCCCUUUUUAUUGCAAUUUAAGCACUGCAUUUUCCAACAAAGUCCAUGAUCGUGGUAGUUGCAUUUGUUGCACUUUGGGAGAUUGCCAGCAUACUGUCUGGCCGGGUUGGGGAUAACUGGGAUACUAGAAGAAAUGGUAGUAGGAGGUAUAGAAGUCGUGGCUGUGAAGGUUGCCACAGGUUGUUGUCUUUUGCUUGCCCCUUGGGGUGAUUUGCCUUUAGCCUUAGCCCAAAACUUUCGUUUGUUAUUCUUGCGCUUGAGAUUCGGGGUGUCGUGGUAGUUUGUUGUUCAUCGAGGUACUUGAUCGUUACUUGGAUUGGAAUUAUUGUUAACAAUCCCGCUAACAUUCGCGUUGUUAGCAUUAAGGUGGACCAGAAUAGCUGACACGACAGCCGAGACUGCAGCUUGAAAGGUAGCCGCAUUAAUCUAAAGAGUUGGUGUUUGGUUGAUGGGUUGAUCAUUUUUCUUCGGCGACAUGAUUCUGUUACACGGAAAGAAAAAUGAAUUUGUGAGCGAGUAUGGUUGAACCUAGACGUAGUUCGAUUGUUCAUGUAAAGAAUAGAAGUAUGUUCUCUAAGGUUUGACCUAUAUCCCUAUGAUGUCGUCCUAGUAUGGAGUAGAAGUAAGCUCGUAGAGUGGUCUCAAGACGUUUAUCGUCCAAUCCAGGGUAUUAUUGGUUGGUAAAUAACAUGAUCCAACCUUUGAAAGAGACUUGGAAAUGAUUCCAGAGUUAAACUACCAUAGUCCAAUAACUUGACUAGAUGGGGUUUCAGAUAGACUCCAAUGAAAUCAUGAUGAAAGCAUUUGAACAAAGAUUGACACGGAAGUUAGACGACUGUCGAUAUCAUUGAUGUUUAAGAUUUAAUAGGUUUGGGGAAAUUGACCUUGUUGUAAGUCUUACAUCAUAUUCAGGGAAGAAAAGUCUUCGACAACAUAAGGACUUAAAUAAAAGUACUUACAGUACAAGGUAAUUACAUAGAAAGUACUACACAGAUCAUAGGCAAGAACAUGGUUCUAUAAAACAAAGAAGGAAGUAAGGUAUCUCCCACUGGUGAUGGUCACGCCUAUGGUGAACCCUUAGUUCGGCUAGUUGACGUUCCAUAUCCAGCAGGUAUCUUUCGUACACCCUCUGGCGUACUUGGAGUUCUAUGACAUCGGCUCGUGAUUCAGCCAGUGCUUGAAGUAGUGCUUCAUGGUCUCUCUCAGAGCUCUCACGAGCAUCUUCCAGACGAAUGGUGCGGAGGGUAUGCAUUCUCGCAUUGGUAUUAACCUCUUCGAUACAUUAGAGAGCCGUCCUGCCCUGAAUUUCGUUUCGGGCAACUCUACGGAUUAGGAUUGGUAGAACUUUGUCUGCUGAGCUCCCUUCGUUUACGUUGUAGAAGCUUCGGUCUCCAUUAAACGGCAUAGGUUGAUAUUGCUCUUCGCUCCAUGUUUCCAUGCAUUCUACCCAAGGAGGCGUCGGGCCAUAAAAAGCGGGACGAGGUUUAGGAUUUAGAAAUGGAGCUACCGGGGGUAGGUUCUCAACCUCGGUUUCGGAGUUGUCAACAUCUGAAAGGUUUUCAACAUGGUGAUCAUUCAAAGGGAUUGGAUGAUCAUUCUCUGGUCCUUCUCCAACCCAUCCAACAAUGACUUCGUUCGGAAAGUACGGGUUGCCAUGGGGAUGGAGUCCAGCCAUGUUAUCUACGCGAGAAUUGGGGUAAGGAAAUAAUUAUUAGACGAACUAUCUAGAUAAUUAUUAGAAAAUCUUCAUUAGUUACAUCGCUAUUUGUAAAGUGCAUACCAGUCAUAUGUAAUCAACACAGGAUAGGCUUUCGAAUAAGUGACCUUAACUCCAAAUUCACAAGGAAUAGGGGUAAAGCAAAAAUUUCACCGAUUCUAAGUCUAUAACAUCCUAGUUACAUAUAGCCUUAGUGUAUCCACUUAACAACUAUCAACUUAGUAAUGAAGAUCCUUUUUAGUUCUCAAGUAAGUAAUUAUGGUAACCCAAAACACCCCUAUGGUAUUUUAGACUUAGGUUCUGUUAUAAUGUUCUCAUUGUGGUAAUGUUGGUAAGUUUUUAGACUUGUUGCCAUAUNAGUUUUGACCAUAUGUCUCUAAGCCCACUUGUGUUGCCCAACAAUCGUAAUUCUUUUGUACUGUCCUACUGACAUUGAUUUUAGUAUGAAUGCAGGCACGUAUACUCACUUAAAUAUUUUAUUAUUUUAAAGUAUAAACUCUAAAUCAGAGUAUUUUUAAUCCCAUUGUAUUUAUAGUUAGUAUAUCUUUUAUGGGUUGAUAUACUCAAUUCACUAUAAACAAUGCUCUGAUACCAAUCUGUCACACCCCAAAACCGAGAACGGCGGAAACGUUCUGGGGCAGAGGAUGUCAUGUAAUGUAUCACAAUAAAUGUAAAGUAGUAAACAACCAACAACAUCGUCCAUUGCAUUAAUAGUAAAAGUUUAAUACAUGUGUGUUCUUUCAUAGUAAUAAGACAUUACAACAAGUAAUCAAAAUAAAAGACAAGUCUUGACUGCUCUGUCUUCGCAAAACCUGGUCAUCGUACCUGUCUACUGGUGACCUGAGAAUACAAGUUAUUUUGAAAGUGUAGGUCAACAUUUAAGCUGAUGAGUUCAUAAGUAUUUAAUGUCAUCGUUUGUAUAAGUAUGAAGAAAACAUUUGGAAUUAUUUAAUGUAAUUGUUUGUAUAAGUUUGAAGAGAAUGUUUGGAAUUAAUCAGUGUAAUUUUUCAUAUAAGUUUGAAGAAAACGUUUGGAAUUAAUCAACGUAAUUGUUCGUAUAAGUUUGAAGAAAACGUUUGGAAUUAAUCAAUGUAAUUGUUUGUAUAAGUUUGAAGAAAACGUUUGGAAUUAAUCAAUGUAAUUUUUCGUAUAAGUUUGAAGAAAACGUUUGAAAUUGUUCUACAUUUGUAUAAAACUGAAUAAAAUGGUUUGUACAUGUUUGAAAGUUUCUAGAAAAUUCGAUAUUUUCUACUAGUAUAAAAGUAUUCUUCUACCAAGACUCGACUAUUUUGUAUGCUUACCUUUAGAAGUCCAAUAUCUGUUCAUAAGUGUGUGUGUGUGGUUUAAAAACUCCAAAACUAUAACAAAAUGAUGUUUUUCAUGCCUAAAUAAUAGUUAUGUGUAAAUAUAAAAUCACUAAGGCAUUUGAUAACCCCAUAAACCAAUGUGUUUCUAAUACUCCAUGUGAGUUUUAUAACCAUACUAAUGACCCAGACUGCCUGUAACAACGUUCUUCAGGCGUUGAAAUGUUAUGACAUUUGUCACCCCAGGCUUGCCGGCCUAGCUGUAGCUAACAGCUCAGGUGCGGGAUUGUCAAUCCCGUAUAGAUCUAUACACAAGUAUCACGCUCCCCCUACAAGGGAUUAUGGUAUGUAAUACAGGACUUAAAAUGCAUACUCGAAAGUACGUGAAAUGUCUCACAAAACUUAGUAUAAAACAUAUUUACGUAUGAAAAUGUCCAUUUGUUCUUGAAUAUGAAAGUAUCUCUUUGAUAUAGUAUUUCUAGUAUGUAAAUGUUCAUGAUUUCCUCGUAAACUAUACCUAUUAUAGUUAUUCAAAGUGUGUGUUUCGUUCGUAUAGUAAAUCCUAGUGUAAUGUUCACUUGUUAUGUAAAGUAUAACAUCUAAAGUGACAUAAAUGAUCACAUAUACUUAAAGUAUAAAUAAAAGGGUUUGAUUCGCAUAUAUAUAUAAACAUGUUUUAUUUCCAAAAGACAAGAUGUUAUCGUGAAUAUAUAUAUCAUACGAAAGUUCCUAUGAAGUAGUUAUGAAUCACAUAUGAUUCACUCGAUAAAAAGAGUAUAUGGUGAAACUUUAUGUUACACACGAUAACAACCGUGUGUUUACUUGUAUUCCCCCCCUUUAAAAGUGUAUACAACGAUUUAAAAGUAGUUUGUUUGAUAAGACAGUGUAAAGUAAAAGAAAUCCCUUGUUUGAAAACACAGUUAUAAAUCACAUAUGAUUGAUUAUAUAACAAAGAGUAUAACAACAGAUUUAUGUUUUUCACACGGUGAUAAUCGUGUGUUUACUUGUAUUCCCCCCCCUUUAAAGUGUAUAAAAUGCAUUUAUAAAACAUUUGAAAGUGUUGUUUGUAGGGGUAGGAACUCACUUGAUUGAAGUGGUUGAUUUGAAGUAGUCGAGAAAAGAAUCAAGCAGAACUUCGACAGGAAGAGUUGAAAACGCGGGAAAUCUCGGGAUUCUUGGGAAACUUGGGAAUCUCGGGAACACAAAACCUUCCUUCGGGACUUGAAGGUGAAAACCUGGGCUUUGGGAGGUCUCGGGGGCUUAAACGCAGAGUUUCGGCACGAGAAAGAAGGGAACUGAGCAAUAGAACUCGGAGCCCUUGAAAUCUAUUUAUAGGGGCAUUUUUGAGGUGUGCCACAUCGUGGCAAGGGAUGGCCACGUCGUGGGGAGUCAAAAUUAUCCUCUUCCAUUGAUUAGACGCCCUCAGUCACUUGUCGGGUCGCGGCAAGCUUGUGCCACGUCGUGGCAAUUCUGACAGCCUCGGAUUUCGGACCUCGAACUUGUAAAACCCAUAACUUUCGCGUACGAGCUCCAUUUUGACGUUCUUUAUAUGCACGCGCAGCUGAAAAUAUGCUCUACAACUCUCGUUUAGAUUUCAUUGGCUAAUUUUGACUUUAUUUUUAAUUAUUUAUUUUUAACGGGCCGGGACACGAAAAUUACGUUAAAAUUCCAUAACUUCUUCAUCCGAUGUCCGUUUUCGUCAGACUUUUCGCCGCUGCGCUACUAUUUUUGAGACCUUCGAUUCUCAUUUAGGUUGUUUCGGUCAAAAGUCUUUCGAGCUCUAUUUCGAGUUUUUAGCUGUCUACUGCUAUAUCCGGAUCUUGGAAAAAUCAUAACUUCCUCAUACGAAGUCAGAUUUGGACGUUCUUUUUAUGUACGCUCACAGUUUAAUGUUAUCUAAAACUUUCAUUUAGAUACUUAAGGCUAAAAACUAUUGUAUUGAAACUUCGUGUUUUUCGUUUAAUCGGUGUUGCCGGUUUUGCCGCGAACUUUCGGUUGGUGAUAACUUCUUCGUUAUAACUCGGAUUUUAGGGUUCUUUAUAUAUACAAAAACCUUGAUACGAUUUGUACUACUUUAUUUAACCCAAAUAUGAUUUUAGGAAAGUUAUAUUUUGACCUAAAUUUGACUGGUUUUACAUUACAUUGUCUCUAAAUAUCGGGUUGUCACACAAGGUUAGUGGCAAAUCUAAACACAUAUGGACUGAAGGUUGUAGGCUAGUGAUUAAAAAUACUCUUGAUUAGUUCUUGAAAUUAUUUCAGGAUCAUUUAGACUCCCACUGUCCUCUUGACAUAUAAGACUCUCUUGUCAAGAACCAUUCCUUGACAAAACAAAUAUUCAAGAGUUAGUGUGGAUUCUUAUCAAGACAAACACUUCACACAAUUGGCCUUAGUUGGUCUUUAUUUUAUCCAAAACAUCACAACUUACCAAUUUCAAAUGUACCAGAGUAAGAAAACAUUUUACUCUACAUUUGACAAGUAUUUUAAACCUUUCUUAAGAUUAUGUCACUCAAGGCUCUAUCUUGGAGUAUGACUCUAAGAUUUGAUUUGGAACGGACUAUGAUUUAUCUUUUGAUUUAACCAUUUCAACAAUUCAUGAUUCCUCUCCUUAGUCAAACAAAUGCACUAAGGUGUCCUUAGAGAAUCAAUUGUGAUAUAGUUUCAUAAUCACUAAGAUAGUCAUAAAAAAGGAUACUCAAGUACUCUCCCAUCUCUUCAGAUUGGAGAAACUUUUAUCUUUCUACCUUAUUUGAUUCUUCUUAUCCGUUCUGCCAUACAUUGAAACUUUUCUAAUGUUUCAGAAUUGAACUUAAACUUGUAAGCAUAACCAUAUUUACUAAACUUUUGUAAAUCAUAACGAAUAAUCUUAUCAACCUUUGUGGUGGACCUGACCAGCACACAACCAAGUGUACCUAAUCCUUUAGUCCUUCACUUGACUCACACAUAAAUGUGAACAAGGUCUUAGUCUUAAUUUCCCAAAGAUGAAAUCAUUCAUCACACAAUACAACUUGCAUGAUUCCAAGUUUCUAUACGAUUGAAACUUGGGUGAUGAGAAUCUUUCCUUAUUUGGUAAAUUACGAUACUACCACAAAUGAAAGAAUCAAAUCCAUUUACCAAUAUUGCUUAUCAAUGGAAACAUAUAAAUAACAUUAUUUUUUCAUAAAUGCCAUUGUAAGGAUACUUAAAAUAAAUAAAACAAUUUUUUUAUCUUAAAAACUUGCGGAAAAAAAUAUACUUACAAUGCAAAUACAUAUGAAAAACAUUUUGUUGUCUAUUCCUAAGCUAUAUAUAUCAUAACUCUUAUGCAGUAGCACAAAAUUCUGAUCAUCGGACCAUGCGAUCGAAAUCCACCGAAGCCAAUAGAUGGAUCAAGAAGGAUCCAGAAGAAGAUUUCGAAGAGUACCAAUAGAUGAAAUACGAGGAAGAAGAUUUCCGAGAAGGGACCAGAUAGAGAAAGAAGUUCGGGAGAUACCAUCAAUAAACCUUACCCUAUCAAGAGGAGUGUGAGAACCUCCACCUCUCAUUUCAGGAAGCAACCCGCAAUUAACUACCUAGCCACACAUAUAGACUGGAGAGGACAACCGAUGAUCCAUAACCGACAUAAACUCACUACACCGUACUUCGGGCCAUAGCACCCAUAGACCGGCAAGCAGAUCAAGAGAACAAUACGGAUCACCUACACUCCUUAGAAAAGGAGAUAGUCGUUAUAGGACAAAGAACCCUUACAGCUACAACCUGGACAGUCAUCACAGAACUGAGAACAGAGGAGGCCACUCGCGAAAUAGAAUCAUGCCGACACAUGAAGGUAAUCAGCAUACUGGUGCAACACUAGUUCUAUAAAUAGACCCUACAACAUUUCAAAUUGCGGUAACAGCCGCCGUGACAGCAGUCAUAGCACACCUCGGCGCUAACAACACAAACAAAAGCAGGAACAACGCCGAAAGUUCCAAUCGUAAUAACAACCAGGGAAACCUCGAGUAUGUUCCUGCAACGACGCCCCAAAUCAAGGACCUACUAAAAGACAACAAAUAGUGAAAUUCCAUACCACCACCAUCCCUACUACCUCAGUGCCGACAAGACCAUAUGUUGGAAACCUGCCAAAAUGCACCAAGUGUAGCUUUCAUCACAAAGGAAAGUGCAGGGAAAUGCACUGCAAGAACUGUAAUGAAAAGGGGCAUACCACAAAUUUAUGUAGGGUGCCGGCUCAACAAACCGCCCAGAACACAAAAUCUGGGAUGAGUCGGACUUGCUACAAAUGUGGAGAAGUAGGACAUUUCAUAAAGGAGUUCCCGAAGACUAAAAACAAAGAUAUCAGGAGCGUCGGAAGUGUUUUAGCAACAGAGCGUGGGAAAGAAGUAAUAGACCCCGCUGAGAUUCCGGUACGUUCAUUCCCGAUAGCACAUAUGCAUGGAUACUAUAUAAUAGCAACGCGGAGAGGAGUAUUGUGAGUCGUAGAUUUAAUCAAUUUCUCAACCAAAAACCUCAAAAACUUAAUCGAAAUUUUUACAGUAGAAUUGGAAUAAUCAAAAGCACUAGAGACGUGUACAUAGGGUGCACUCUAACACUAAAUCAAGCAAUUCAUUCAAACCAUCCUAAAACUGGUCACAAUAAAAAUUUAUGACAUUUUCAUUUUAACAACGUAUUAGUUAGUUUCCUCAACAUACCGAUAUCAUAUAUUACGAAAAGUCCAUUCGCCUAAACCCAUCGAGUAAUAGAACCCUCGUUGUCUAUGGCGACAAACCGGACACAAACCCCCGACUCACCUUUUACAACAAGACUCAGAAGUACCUACACAGGAGGUACCACGCCGUCCUAGCCCGUGCUGUGGAUAAGAAACAAGAAGAGAAAGACAUCAUGGAUGUUGAAAAAGCCCGUAACCUUCUCGAUAUAUUCCGAGAAGAUCUCCUGGGAAUACCAUCCGUACGACAACCCGAGUUCAAAAAUCAACCUAAGUGCAGUAGUUGUGGAAAAGGGUUGUUGUAAAUGCCAUCUCACCCAAGUUAAUCACCCCACUCAAGUAGAGACUAUGGACCCAUACUAGUGAAUCUAUGAUUACUAAGUGUAUAUAUUGGAGCCCUAUAUAAUUAAGAUUCUACGGACUUAGGGUUGGUAAUUCCGCUUUAAAUCCUUUUCCUUGUUUGGAUGUGGGCUUAGAAUAGAAUCACCGAUUCGACUGUCUUUUCAAUCUUAAUUAUAUACGACUUAUAAACACAAAGAGAUGAUAGAUGAAUCAGUUAUGAGUCAUACCAUGAACUCCAUGACAAGUUACCCAGGACAGUGGAUGGACAUGCUACCACUUGAGCGAUCGUAGACAAAUCAACCAAACCCACACACUUUCUACCGACCAAGGAUACAAAGAAAAAUAGAAAAGCUAACAGGAGCAUAUACAAAGAAAAUUGCGAGACUGCAUAGUAUACCACUAUCUAUCAUUUUGGAUAAGGGACAGGCGAUUCGCCUCGUGUUUUUAAUAGUCGUUAAAGAAGUCCUUUUUAUCACCCUCAAACUGAAAGACAAAGAGGAAGAACCAUUCAUCGAAUCCUUAUACAACAUCAACUAUUACAUUAACAUCAAGGUCACGUCAUUCGAAGCUCUCUGCAGAAGCAAGUGUAGAUCACCUCUUUGAUGGGAUGAGGUAGGUGACACACAAAUAGCUAAUAGGCAAGUUCCUAACAACACUUUCACCAGCCCCCAGAUCAUACGAGAAACUACAGAGAAGAUUGUUCAAACCCGUGAAUGAUUGAAGGCAUCCCAGGAUCGGAAGAAGAUCUUGUCUGAUGAGACUCUUGUUAUUCCACUGGAUGAAAUUGAAAUCAACGGGAGUCUAAACUUCAUCGAAGAACCGGUGGAAAUCAUGGAUCAGGAGGUCAAAAGGACGAAACAAAGCCGCAUACCCAUAGUGAAGGCCCGUUGGAACGCCAAGCGAGGACCUGAAUUCACUAGGGAACGCGCGAAUCAAAUAAAAAAAAAAAAAAAUAAAAAAAAGAAACACCCCCAAUUGUUUAGUGAUAUCCCGUCUACAAGUUGAAUUUCGGGGCGAAAUUCUUUUAACGGGGGGAGAAUGUAACAAUUGGUAAAAAUAGGAACGAUCGUACGAUGCUAUCUUUUGAUUAUUAAGCAAUAUGAGUAUUUUAUUAAGAAUGGUUGAAGGAAUUUAACCUCUUUUAUUUAAAUAAGUUAUUGUGAAAUAUAAAACAAGUAACUAUUGAUAAAUUUCGUUAUGAUGUAUGACAUCGAACCAUCACCGGUUUGUGAAAUUAGCAUAUAACAUCAUUUAAAUGCAACAAACUUAAUUUUUGUAUCAACAUGUCUCUAGUUGAUAAGUAAGUUAGGUUCUAUGUAAAUCGUUUGCUUAAUAGAUGUGAAGGAUCUAAAUUUGACAAAUAUACGAACCAAAGUGACAAAACGUGUUUAACGAUAUGGUUAACCGGUUAAAUGUCACGAAAUUAUACAUUGCUCAAUAAAUUUUAUAUUUAAAUAAAUUAAAAUAUAAAAUGAAUUAUUAUAAGGUAUAAUUAAAAUGUAUUUAAGUGUUUUUGAAUAAAAAGAAUAAAACAUAAACAUUAAAGUUCAAAUACACAAAAACUACAUUGUUAUUUUAUACUAAGUAUACAUGUAUGUAUUUGUAUAUAUGUAUUAUUAUCUAGUGAAUGACUAGUUAUAAGUCAUGAAUUAAAAUGAUUUCAUGUAAGUUUUAUGAUGUCUAAAUCAAUUAAGAUAAGAGAAUUGGUGGAGAUAAGUGCCAACUUAACUAAUAAGUGCUUAAUCACUUAAGACAUUUUACUAAGAAUGCUUAUUAAUCCCUCUUCUAAUUUUCGAGAUUAAGACCUUCCCUCUCCUUAACUAGAACUCCUAACUAACUAAAUAACUAGUAGUUAGUUAGUUAACUAACUCUAUCUCUAAACAACCACCCAAGCAAGUGGCUAGACAAGAUCACAUCACUUAAACUCACAUCCCAUCACAAGCUAGUCUAGGUUUUGUCCCCUUAUCCUCUUCCACCCUUUCCUCCUUCAUAACCACGAAAUUUCCUCUUCAUUUUACCCUCAUUUGACCAGCCAAUACUCCAAGUAAUUACUCUCAACCUUCAUCUCAUUUUCAAGCACAAGAACUUCCUUCCAAAGCCAUCAAAACCAUGAACUAAAGGGUUGCUGUCCCUUUUGUGUUUCAGCCACCAUUUCACCCAUCUACACCUUCCUUUUGCUUGAUAUUUUUACCACCAAAUACCCCUGGAAGUUACUUGUUUUGAUACUCAAAAUUAUUGAUUCAAAACAGUGAGUAAACUACCCUUUUUCUUGCACUUUUGCUGUGAAAUUUUCGUGACAGCAACAUAGCCAAAAGAGUGGCUGUUUUGGAGCAUCAAACCAACAACCAAAAGUUCAUCUUCAACUUUCCAUUCUUCAAGUAUUCACAUAAGGUGAGUUCAUACCCCUACAUUUUCAUGUUUUAUUCAAGUUUUAAGGGGGGGAAUACAAGUUAGAACACUAAACAUAACUUAAAUUUAAAUGACAGCUUUCUACAGAAAAGUUGAGUCCUGUUCACGGACUGUUUUGACCAUCUUAAACUUAAUAUCUUUCAAAACUGUACAAUAUGCAAAUAGUUCAAGUUUAUACCUUUCUAAUGACUACUCGCACGCGUUCAUACGAUUUUUCUACAAUUUAUGGCGAUUUUUAUAAAACUGCCUGUCAUUUCAGAAGUGAUUUCGGACCAGUCUGUGAAGAUGUUCAUUUUCACACUAGUUUGAGACCACUAAAAAUCAUAAUAAAAAUUGGGAACAAAGUAGACUCAUUUUAUAAACUCUCAGAGGUGACGGAUUCAGUUUUUGACUUACGAUGAUUUUUCUAUGAGUUUUCUAAAAACAGGGACAGUAAAGGGUAAAACUGUCAAAAGUGGUUUAUAGAUUUAUUAACACCUUCUAACAUUUUUGAGCAAUGUUUAUACAUUAAGGAAGUUAAAACACAAUCAUUUAAAUAUGUUUAAUUACCAUUUUUACAAAAGUGAUAAGUACAAAAAGGUCUUUAGUAUCAAACUUAAGGAUUAUUUCAUGCAAAGUUUCUAAUAAAAACGUAAGAAUAUGAACAACAAUUACGAAACAUACCAAAUUAUCUUUUAAAACUUAUACAUAUAUAUAACCAUAUACAUAUAUAUGUUUUGUUUACAAACUUGUCUUCUACAUCAAAAAUUUCACUUUACUCGUUUUUAUCAAAUGAAUCACUUUUGAUUUAUUACUACUAUGUGAAAACUCUUGUCAUACUUUGCAUGCACUAGAUUUAUACAAAGUAUUUAGAAAUUCCAAAGUAUCCUUCGUUGUUAAACCGUUUUAAUACAUUUUAAAAACUUAUGAUUUAUGCAUUGUCAAAACUUUGUGAGAAAGGAUGAUCUUUGCAUACAAAACUAUUACUUUAAUACAGACUUAGUUGAGAAUCCGUGAGACAAGUACAUCUUCAAACACUGUCUUUUUGCGGAAGGUGACCCUCCUGGCCACAGUUUUUACAAAACUUCUCACGACAUGGGCCAGGGAUACGAUGGUGGUAACUGCACCUGUUGCACCACGGGAGAAUACUAGCAUAUCCAGUGGUAGGUGCUUGAGCUGAGGAACCGACGACAGAAACAGCAGCACGGGUAGUAGCAGCGUGAACUGCCACUGUUUGCUGUUCUUCGAGGACUCCUGCGAAGGCUGACUCUUUUUCUUCUUCCAAAAUUUUCUUUUCUCACCACUUCUCUCUGUCAGUUCAGGAGUGGUGGCUGCUUCCUCUAGGUCAUCACUAUGGUCAAUCAGGGUUUACGCUAGGCAUUUGGCGCUGUAGUAGGUGUCUGGCUUCACAGCCAAGACAUUUUCCUUGGUUGGCUGGGUCAACCCCCAGAUGAACCUCUCAAUCUUUUUUUCUUUCCGGGGUAACCAUAACCGGGCAGAGAAGCGCCAAGUCAUCGAAUCUGGAAGUGUAAGUGGCGAUAUCGGAACCCUUCAUCUUUAGGUUCCAGAGUUUAUGCUCCAGCUUCUGCAUUUCGCCCCGAGGGCAAUACUCCGCAAGCAGGAGUUCCUUCAUGAUCUCCCAACCCAUAGCAUUGGCUACAGGUAGGGUUAAGGAUUUGACUCGGCCAUUCCACCAAGUCAGAGCUUUAUCGGUGAACGUGCAGGCGGCGAAGUUCACCUUGUCGGAUUCUGAACAUGCAUAGAUUUCGAAAAUAGAUUCGAUUUUCUCUAACCACCGAGUUAGGGUUAUGACACCUCCAGUGUCAUCGAAAGAUGUGGGUUUUGCGUUCAUAAAGUCCUUAUAGGAACACUCUUUCCGGUGUCCCUGGCUACCUUCCUGGUUUUGGGGCUGAGUACCACCUCCUUGCCCGCCUGAACCACUGGGGUUCAUUUGCGACAUGAUAGCUGCCAUAGCUGCAGCAACAGCUGCUUGGAACAUGCCGGGAUCAAAUUGAGGUGGAGGUGGUGGCGGAGGAGGAUUGUUAUUCUUUGAGCUGGGUCUUUUCCUUGGAGGCAUCUUGAUCUAAAAUAGCCAGGAAAGAGAGGAUCAUAAGUCCUCUGAAUUGAAUCAAGAGAUAUGGAACAAGAGCUAUCUCGUUAUGACAGACAUAUGGUUCUAUAAGCGAUAAGCAGGAAAGAGUUAUCAAAGCAGAUAAACUAUCGCUAAAGAAGGAACGAGUAGCAAUACUUGGAAUGAUGUUCUACAACGUAUUCGGAUUUGGCUAAAAUACUACCAUAGUAUUUUACGUUUCGCUGCGACGAUGACUCAUUUUCUGGAUAUUAGGUAAGUUUUAGGCAUGCUGCACACCACAGUCACUCCCAAGCACAUGUUGGCCGUGUCUCGAAUGAAUAUAGUUGAUCAGGCUAUAUUGACUCUAGACACAACUACAUAACUGCCCAGGUUUAACCGCAUCACACAACACCCAAUUACUUAUGUUUUGUUCUACUCGAGGUUACGGAUUCCGGCGGUUAGGUAUACUUGUAUACUUUUGAAAAUACUUAUAUUUUAAAGUACACUUUUAGUUCAGAGCAUUUCGGCCCCUUAGUGUUUAUAGUCUUAUACCAUGUAAGGUUUGGUAUACUAGUUCACUAUAAACAAUGGCUCUGAUACCAAUCUGUCACACCCCGAAACCGAUGGCGGAAACGUUCCGGGGCGGAGGACGUCAUGUAGUAUCGCAACCAAUGUACAUAGUAAGCAUAGUAAACACAACCAUUACAUUACAUAGAAAUAUUUACAUUGUCUGAAAACAAAGUGUUACAAGUGUUAUACAUAUAUAUCANUAUAUAUAUCAUAUGAACAAAAACUAAGACGAGUCUUCUAUACGCUCCGUCUUCUCCAAAAGAUCGCAGGGUACCUGUCUAAUGUGGACCUGAGAAUACAAGCAGUUUGAAAAUCAGCAUAAAGCUGGUGAGUUCAUAAACGGUUUGUUUUCGUAAAAUAACAAGUUUCCUUUGGUUUUCUGAAAAAGUCGUUAUCCAAGAAAAUCCCAUAUUUUCUUAUAAGGAAAGUUUAGUUAUCCGUUUGUUACACAGUGUCGUUAAGAGCAGUUAUAUUCUCCCAGGAAAAACCCUUAUUUUCCUAAAAGUCGUGGUUAGUUCUUGGUUCGAAAUGCAAUGUACUAGAAUCUACCAUACUUGUAGUAUUAGAUAAGUAUUCUGAAAGCCUGGUCAUCCUAUACACGAAUGUCGAAUAUUUACUAUACCUAUCUGAAAUUUCGAAUCUUUGGAGACACUCAGAGACGUACACUAGCUGUAUAUUCGAAGUUCUGGUGACAUCCAAAGGCGUGUUUUAGACGUAUUUCCGAAGCUCUGUCGAUAUCCAAAGGCGUAUAUUAGACGUAUUUUUGAAACUCUGUCGAUAUCCAAAGGCGUAGUUUCGAAUUAUUUCUGAAACUCUGGUGACACUCAAAGACGUACUCUAGCUAUAUUUUCGAAGUUCUGGUGCCAUCCAAAGGCGUGCACUAGCUGCAUUUUCGAAGUUCUGGUACUAUCCAAAGGCGUAUUUUAUUAGUAAUAAUCCUAAUUUAUUAUUAGCAUGAAUCCUUCGUAAAUAAUAAAAUGUAACAUAGAUUAUAACGUUUUAUAAAGAGAUCUACAAUCAAUCUGAAAGCUAACUCUACAAGUUAAACGGUUGGUCAAUACGGUUUCAGUGUUAAAACCAUAAGGAAUAUGAAAACAUUUCAAAUGAAAUAAUAAGUUUGAAUACAAGAUUUCCUUGUACUUUUGAUUGUAUCCCCCCUGAAAACAUUGAAACACACGGAAAAAGAUGUAGGGGUAUGAACUCACCAGUCGAGAAAUGUGCCGGCUAGGAUGCUAAGUGUCAGUUCAGGGCUUGAAAACGCGUGAGGAUCCUAUGUAAUAUGAAGAGAUACAUAAUUCUAUCUAAUUAGACUUUGAACUACUAUUUAGAAUAGAAUAUACACUCUGAGGCACGAAAACACUUCAUUUUAAGUGUUAGGAGUGAUCCGGGUAGCAUCUAAGGGGGUGUAUGGCCUAGACAUGGAGUUUGCUCUUCAAGAGUAAACUCCUAAUGGAGAUUACGACCCUAAGACCAUAUCCCCAUGAGUUUACGACCAUAAACUCAUGGGUGGUGGGUUCUUGGUUGCUAAAUGGUCUUAUAACACUUGAGGUAUGAUGCUAGGUUUAGUUCUAGGGCAUUGGAAAGGGGGUUUGACCAUCAAAGGGAACACUUUAAGGAGUUUAUGGUAGUAAACUAGGAGUUUACGUUCGUAAACUAUCAAGUACUCUCUCCUUAUGUGUUUUGAUUGUCCUAGGUUAAUCACAUGUGAUUCUAGUUCAAUAUACAAGCCAUGGAAGGAAGUUAGGGCACCAUUUGACCACCUUAUAGGAGUUUACGGCCCAGGAACCAUUCCUUGGGGGGUUUACGGCUGUGAACUACUAAGGGGAUGGUUUCUUUCAUGUUUAAGGCCCUUAACACAUUGGUGGAUGAUUCUAGACAUUAUUCCAAGGCUUAAGAGGUGUUUAAGGGGCAUCUUAACACCUUAAAAGGUGUUUACGACCUAUGAAAGGGUGUUUACGGUCCAAGCAUGUUCUUGGGCCAUAAACUCGUGUUUACUCCUCAAAUGUUAAGGUUUUGAUGUUCUAAGUCCAAUCUUGUAAGUCCUUAGGUCAUAUCCAAGCUCUAGAAGUGAUUUGGGAGGGUUUUGGGGCUCCAAAACCCCAUUUAUGUGUGUUUAUAGUUUUGGAGUGUUCCAGGGCCGUAAACACAUGUUCUUGGUCCUAUUUCAUGAUUUUCCAUGAAUUUGAAAGCUAAACAUGUUAAUCUAUGAGCUAGGAUGGAUAUCUUACCGAUUUGGAGCUUGAAUUGGGUGGUUUUUGGAUCAAAAGCUUGGAUUUGUUGAGAGAGAGUAGAGAGAGAGGGUGAAAAAGCUUCAAAUGAAGUUCUUUCAACUUUAUAUAUGGUUUAAUUUUGGGGCCCGGUGGAAUUCUACACGAUACUGACGUUAAACGAGGCUUUUGGUCGUACCCGAUUAAGUGUUUGUAACCCGACGUGGUCGAAACUAAAAUUUUCCAAUUAAAUAUCGAAAGUGUUUUCACGUGUUUUUAACAUGUUUGGACACCCAUAAGUCAUAAUAAAAGUCUUAAAUUAAAUUACCUAAUCCAAAAUGUUAACGGAAAAAUUGGCAAAACAAACGGUUUUACUGACGGGAACGGGAUAUUGUGACAGAAAAAUUUUCGGAUUGUCACAAAAUGUGACAUCUCAAAUGGUUCACAAAACAUCAUAUGCACUUGAAAUAACUUAGAGAGAAAUCAUCACUUCAUGAAAUCGGCUUGCCCUCCACAUACACACAUAGUGGCCGAUUUCGCACAAGAAUAUGAUGCUUAUAUAGUUGUUACAAUUAGAGUAAACCCUAAUUUUGGAUCCAUAGGUUCAAAUACACCAUAGAGCAUCCAUGGAGUAUCCUAUGGGUUUUAGCCCAACUUAACAAUCCAUGGAGUCUUAGCCCACUAUACAAAUAUGUAUGAUUUACACAAUCAACCCAUAUAUUUAAUUAGUCUUCUUUUGAUCACUUAAUUAAUUCUAGAUUAAUUCUUGAUCAAUACAAGUUAAAUAAUCUUAUUAAUAUAUUAGAACUUAUAAUAUAUUAAUAAACCUUAAGUGUUAUUUCUCUCAUUUUAUUCUAUCCAAAUGCAUGAUGCCAUGCAACCCAAAUGGACCAUGUCGGGUCGGGUCAAGUAUAUACCAAUUAUAUUUAUGAACUUAGACACUAAUCCAACAAAAACAUCAAAAGGUUUGGUUUUUCAGAAAGUCCCGAUGAACCAUGUAUAUACAUCAAAGCAAGUGGGAGCCAUAUUCUUUUUCUAUUCUAUAUGUUGAUGACAUAUUACUGAUCUGGAAAGAUCUUCCGACAUUGAAGGAGACUAAGGCCUACCUUAGUAAGUCCUUUCAAAUGAAAGAUCUAGGGGAUGCUGCAUUCAUACUCGAUAUUAGAAUCUAUAGCGAUAGAUACCAAAGACUCAUUGGUUUGAGCUAGAGUACCUACAUUGACAAAAUCUUGAAACGUUUUUCAAUGGAUAACUUGAAACGAGGAAUUAUUCUCGUACUGUCUGGUACCAUUCUUUCUAAGGCUAACAACCUUAGUACUGAAGAUGAGAUCAAAAUAAUGAAACGCAUACCGUAUGCUUGAACAGUGGGUUCAAUUAUGUAUUCUAUGACAUGUACAAGGCCAAAUGUAGCUUAUGGUAUUAGUAUAACUAGUAGAUAUCAAGUUAAUCCUGGAGAAAAGCAUUGGGUGGCUGUUAAGAACAUACUUAAGUACUUAAGAAGAACUAAAGAUAUGUUUAUAGUCUAUGGAGGAGUUGAAAAGGAGCUCACUAUAAGAUGUUACACUGAUGCCGGUUUUAACACUGAUCGAGAUAACUUACGAUCAUAGUCGGGAUAUGUGUUCACAUUUAAUGGAGGAGCCAUUGCUAGGAAGAGUUCAAAGCAAGAAGUGGUUGUGCUCUCUACAACAAAAUCAGAGUACAUAGUUACAUGUGAAGCGACUCAAAAAGUUAAAUGAAUGAAGAAAUUCAUCGGUGAUCUAGGUGUUGUUCCAAGCAUCAAAAGUGCCAUUGAUAUGCUUUGUGACAACAAUGGUGCCAUCGCUAUCGCAAGAGACUCGAUGGUUAGUAAAAAGACUAGACACAUUCAAUGAAAAUUAAAUUUCAUUUUUUAGGAAUUAGAAUUGGGAAAUGUAUGCAUUGAAAAGAUUCAUACAGAUGAUAAUAUAGCAGAUCCGUUCAUAAAGGCUCUACCUCAAAUCAAGUUUGAGAUUCAUGCAAAAGGAAUCGGUCUACGAUUAGCUAGCGAUUGGAUUUAAAUAUGUACUUGACUAAUAUUUGGAUAUUCAGAACUAUGUAGCAAUGAUAUGUAAUCUCCUCUGAAUAUGAGACAUCACUUUUGUGUUGAAUAUUAUUGUGUUCUAUAUUAGCAUGUUAUUCAAUCCUUGAAUAAUGCAAUUAUUCAAAAUUUGUCCAUACCCAGUCAUUGUUGCGAGAGCAACUGUGAAUUAAGACUAAUAUGAAUCGGCUUGGUUGAUUUCAAGAGGUGAAAUAGCAAAGUGUUGCGUCCAAAUUCAUAUGUACUUGUUUGAGAACAACUAUUGGAAAUGACUUGCAUCAAGAGUUACUUCAUGGAUCGAUAUCAUAAUUGAAUCUUGAUCACAGGAAAAUAUAUUUAUGUAUUUCGACCUGAGAUGCAUAUUGAAGAACUCAAGUAUGGGGAUUAUUAUACUUUGACAUGGUUAAACACUGUUCGUAACCGUGCAGUUAUAAAAGCCUUCAUUGGGUAUAUCAUGAACUAUAUGAGAGUGUGUUUGUAGUCAACAUGGGAUUUGUUCCUCUUAUGUGUUGAGAUUUAGACAUCUAAGGCAUCUUUCUUUAAUGUUGAAUGGCAAAUGAGAAUGAUCACGUUCCAUGUCUCAUAUCCAACAUGAUGCAUAUAACAAAAAGAAUAUUGAUACACUUACCUUAUACUUCAAUUGUAGCUAGUGAGCUCCUAGAAUUAGAUGUUGAUUGAUGGCACCCCUUCGUAUGUUAUUAGGGGCAGUAGCCCGUUGCUAAACAUCAGUUAUUGUCUAUGUCAGUCUUUAAUUGAAUCUUGUGCAAGUGGGAGAUUGUUAGAUCUAUAUGCCCAAGAAUCAUUGUUGAGUGGCGUUGCUAAUAACAUAUGAUCCUUUAGGGUAACACCUUAAUCAAGUUAGUACUUAUUUAAUAUUUAUUAAGUAUUUGAUAAUUAAUAAAAAAAUUCAACUCUUGUAUUUAAUUAGAGUAAAUUUAUUGUUUUAUGAAAAUAAUAAUAAAUGAAGGAACAAACUAGUUAUUAUAUCAUAUNNNNNNNNNUAUAUAUAUAUAUAUAUAUAUAUAUAUAUCAUAUGGUAUGAUAUAUAAGUCAUGUACAAAGUUUUGUACACUUUCACCAAAUAUUGACAAACUAACUAGUUAACUAAGUGACUAAAAAACAAACUAGAAAAUCCAAUUGACCAUUUUAGUCCUUAAAACUGUGGGUUAUCAAUGCUAGGAGGUUGAAAGUCAACCUCCAACAUUCUUAUCCCCCAUGCUUAGAUUAUGUCCCAUGUUUGUUCAUUACCUUGCAUGUAAUACACAACACGAUCAUAUUAUAUAAGGCUAGUUGUUUUAUCACUAAAUGACUAGAUGGAAAAAAUUCAUUUACUCUUUCAUGCAUAGAACAGUAGGUUCUCUUGCCUUCUCCCUCUCUCUCUCUCUCACUUGAAGUUAGUUCUUGGGUUUUUAGAGUUCAUCUUUU
rnacentral:lncRNA from 1 species